rnacentral:lncRNA from 1 species
AACAACAUCGAUCAAUUUCUUUUUUUUAUUUGUACACCUUCUCACAACUUUAUCUUCAGUUGUGAUGUGAAUAUUGACACUGAUCUACGAACCAUUGAAAUGCAUUAGCCAUGGUAGCUGUGACGUCCCGUUACGUCCAACAGAGUCAGGCGUAACGGAAGCCGUCACUUCAGAGUUGCAUCAGGAUCAGUUAAGGAAAACAGUAUCAUGUACAAGACGCAGCAGCUGCCAUGAGUAGGCAAGUUUUUAUUACAUAGACACCUCAAGUGUCGACUAAGCCUAAGUGACCAUGACGAUAGAUCGUCACCCAUUUCUAGUGCGAGCCUUCUAGACCAACCAUGGAGGGCAUCUACUCUCCAUAGUCUUGAUUGCCAACAUCCUCAUAAUCAUACUCCACUUCCGAAUAACCAGAGUCGUCAAGAUCACCAGACUCAUCAUAAGUACCAUUCUCUAGUGCCUCAGAGUUCUCAUAACUCCCUUGUUCUGAGAAAAAACAUAAGCGCAACUGAGUACAUAUAAAAUACGUAAUCCGCAAGUCGCAGGGAAAAGUGGAUGUAUGAGUUUUUUUAAAGAGGAAAAACUUUAUCGGCCAUGGCUACCACCACCGAGCCAUUAGCUUAAAAUACUUUGUAGGUCAAAAAAAUUAUUUUCCCUUAACCUAUUAUGUUGAAAAUUAAUUUUAUUUAUAAAAUCUACUAGCGACAGAGCAAUGUGGGAUCUUACAUCCUGUGUUAGAGAAAAACCCACACGACGCACUUCCAACCCCGAAAGCUGGGAGUGAUAUCACAUUUAUUCUGAUCAGAGGUGUACUGCUUUGCCCAUAGCAUCACUAGGUCCAAGUCGUCCAUGCGCUACUCGUGCGCACGACUAGACCAAGGAACCAAAACCUUUAACCAGCCCGUAGACUACCUCUGCUUUUCCACCUUGCCUUACUAUAGGUCCGCGGGUCUAGUCCCCUGACCGGCGGUCCCACCCUAGGGUGACUGUACCUACCUGGGUACAACCACCUUCUCACUCAUGCAGAGGUAGCUACUUGGCAUGGGUAGUCGGUUCAGCCCGUCCCAUUCCAGGUCUAUGGUCAGUAUGGUUUGUGCCGCUUUUGACGUAAGCGCUAGUUGGUUGUGUCCUAAUGUAAUACGCUAUGUAGAGGAGUCUGCCAUCCAAGCCAACCCUAAACGGAUUGCCUUCACCAACAUGAGCUCCCCUACCCACCAAAUUUUUAUUUAUAAUGUAACCCUGCCCGAGUCACGACUACUUAAUAUAGAUACUUCACCUGAUCUGGUCCAAUUGCCAAAUCAGUGGAUCCACCUGAUCCAAAUUUCAUUUUAUUUAUGAAAUGUAUUUAUUUUUAGUUCUUAUGCAAAAUUUUGGAAAUGACCCAUAGCCCGGAAAACAUUUAUCAAGACAUGAUCAAGGAGAUGACGACUUGCCGGGUAGCGCUCCGACCAACUCGGAACCACCAGAUGUGGGUCCUAUGCCUGAUAAUUAUUUCACAAAGAAGUUUAUAUUUUUCCCUAAUCAAGAUCCAAGCAUCAAGUAACACUUCCAUACGGUGCAAUCCAUUUUAAUUAAAGAGGUAAUGAUACAUGCUAGUGUGUAAUUAGAAGCAAAAUGCAUACAUCACAUCAAGAAGUACUCCCUCCGUUCCAAAAUAAUUGUCUUUCUAGCCAUCUCAAAUGGACUACAACAUACGGAUGUAUGUAGACAUGCUUUAGAGUAUAGAUUCACUUAUUUUACUUCGUAUGUAGUGACUUGUUGAAAUCUCUAGAAAGACAAUUAUUUCGGAACGGAGGGAGUAGUACGCACGUGCACAUCACAAAGAGCAAGCAAGCAAGCUCAAAAGGAAAAAACGUGUUUAGCUGGUCGAACCCAACCCCGGCAGAAAUAUCAUUUCUUUUUUCUCCAACUAGUCAUCUUCCCCAGCUCUCUACCUCUCUCUCUCUCACUGUCACUGGUAUGCUCAGCCACGAACAGAACCAACUCCAUCUCUCUCUCCCUAACUACAGAGCAGGUCGCCGCCGGCUCGAUCUGCCACUUCCGGACAUCUCCGGCGACACCGUGGACACCCACAGAAUCCCCUCGACUCCCUCUACCAUAUCCCCCCAUUUAUUUGAUCCGCCGCCGCCAAAAUCGCCGCCACCCUCAAACCCCAGCGUCGUCUGCAUCGGGUCCGAUGGGUUCACCACGGGCCGCAGUAGCAAUGGCAUAUCCCUGCCUACAACCUCCUCCAGCAGAGCUGCACGCACGAGGCAUGCAACUACGGCCGUCGGGAGCGAGCAUCUUAACCGGCGCGGCUCCGGCAACAUGGCCGCUACCGGCGCCUGGCUCGCCUUUGUCUACUGCUACUAGUGUAAGUGUCAGUCCAAAUUUCUCUCUGUGCAGUGUUCUUACCUCUACUGCUAGUGUUUGUGCUAUGACUCCCCUUACUGCCAUGCUUCUUGUUAAUAUCAAGACCAAGGAAUUAAUCAAGCUUUACUCGAUGGUGUGGACGUGGUCUCCAGAUUUAUUCUAUAUUGUUUAUUCAAUUUUUAGCUCUACUACACUAUCCUCGCACUACUAUGAUUCUUUUUUAAUUAAGCUCAUAACUAGGAAUUAACCAGUGAAUUCCUACUAUUACCGACUUGAUCAAAAAGCGACAAGUUAAUUGCUUCUGAUAGUUAGGUGCUGCCACAAACUAAAUCUAAAUGUUGCUUCUACUGUGUGUGCGCGUGCACUCAUUUCUGGACCCUACAAUAGUCAAGUGAACAUUGACAUUGAUCACUCAAAACAUACUUAGAAAGGGGAUCAGGAAAGGGAAAAUAAAAGGAUAUCAGGAAUUUAUUUGUACAAGAUUUGCACAAAGUAUGUUUAUUUAUUUUUCUGUUUUCAGAAUGAGGCAUGUGCAAAUGAGACAUGGCAAACAUUAGCCAAACAAUGUUCAAUACAACUAGGAAGGGAUCAUUAAGAUGAGUAGCAUACACAGGAAGCUUGAGCUAUUAGCUGUACAUGUAAAUCUUAGCAAGUUAAUAUUUGGGGUUUAAUUCUCAGCAUGACAUGUCUAUUAUAUACAUAGAUUUAGUACAAGACAGAGAUGGACAUGCAUAGUACACAUGCAUCACUAAACCACCAUGUACCAAUUUGUCUUCAUCUAAUUUAUGUGCUUUCUUUUUCUAACCAUCAUUCUUCUUUUUACAAAGUAACUAGAGUCCAAAAGAUCAGGUGUUCAUGUUCUAAGCAAAGAUGAAGAUGGAUCAAGCAAACAAAGCUGCAAAAGCAAGGCACUUGAAUAGUACCUGAUGGCAACUCAGCAUCCGACCAAAAGAGUGGAUGGGGAUGGUGGGGAGAGCUUGGUUCUCUCUUGUGCGUGUUGUGUGCAGUAGAGGAAGUCAAAGGUGAAAGGAGGAGGCUGCUAUUUAUAGUAGUGUAGGGUGCUAGGUCGGUUUGGUAAAAGAGAGAUGUGGCUGACAUGCAUGGUUGCAUGAGCAUGCAAGCCUCCACAUGUAAUCAUGUGAGUUGUACAACGGACAAGUGUAUAGUGCAUGGUUCGACACGAGAUGGCAUAUAAUUUGUGUGUAAGGAAUGAGACAAGGGCCUAAUUAUAAAUCUGCAAACAAUAAGGGAGUUGGAGAAGAACCAUUGUACAUGGCUAAAUACUAACUUUUUUGGUUGCAAUAAAUUUUUGAUAUUAGUGUUGUGGUCAAUUAUAAUUAUUCAACUAACUAUGCCUUGUGACACUGGUGUAACAUAGCGCCGUCAAAAAUAUUGUUAUCUAAUUUUGAGGGUUUUUACAUCCCUUCCCCCUUCGAAAAAUUUCGUCCUCGAAAUUUGAGUUGUGACUCGUAUAGGCUGGCCCAAGUCUAACCCUCUCAGCCUAAUCAUGUAUAGGCUAGCAUUAAAGAUUAUACACUCAAUGCAUAUGGGAUUGUUGUGGAAGACAGGCUCAACAAUUAUUGGGCCUCCGAGUGAGUCUACUUCUAUGAGUUUGGCUAGGGAGGUUCGGUCCAGACUACAUGUCUCAGCAAAGUGUCGGGAUAUGAAAGGAUAUGUUGCCCUUGAUGUAAUAAAAUAAAUAAUAAUAAUACUAAGACUACUGCAAGAGGGAUUUAUAGGUUACUGAUGACCCACAAGUGUAGGGAAUCUAUCGUAGUCCUUUCGAUAAGUAAGAGUGUCGAAUCCAAUGAGGAGCAGAAGGAAAUGAUAAGCGGUUUUCAGUAAGGUUUUCUCUGCAAGUACUGAAACUGUAGGUGAUAGAUAGUUUUGUGAUAAGAUAAAUAGUAACGAGUAACAAGUAAAUAAAGUAAAUAAAGUGCAGCAAGGUGGCCCAAUCCUUUAUGUAGCAAAGGAUAAGCCUGGACAAUUUUUAAUAGUGAUAAAGGAGCUCCCGAGGAAAAAUUGGGAAUUAUCGUCAAGCUAGUUUUCAUCACGUUCAUAUGAUUCGCGUUCGGUACUUUGAUAACUUGAUAUGUGGGUGGACCGGUACUUGGUUACUGCCCUAACUUGGACAAGCAUCCCACUUAUGAUUAACCCCUAUUGCAAGCAUCCGCAACUACAAAAAGAAGUAUUAAGGUAAACCUAACCACAACAUUAAACAUAUGGAUCCAUAUAAGCCCCUAAUGAAGCAACGCAUAAACUACGGUUUAACCUUCUGUCACUCUAGCAACCCAUCAUCUACUUAUUACUUCCCCAUGCCUUCCUCUAGGCCCAAAUAAUGGUGAAGUGUCAUAUAGUCGACGUUCACAUAACACCACUAGAGGAAAAGACAACAUACAUCUCAUCAAAAUAUCGAAUGAAUACCAAAUUCACGUGACUACUAAUAGCAAGACUUCACCCAUGUCCUCAAAAACAAACGUAACUGCUCACAAAGCAUAUUCAUGUUCAUAAUCAGAGGAGUAAUAAUAUGCAUAAAGGAUCUGAACAUAUUAUCUUCCACCAAGUAAACCAAUUAGCAUCAACUACAAGGAGUAAUCAACACUACUAGCAACCCACAGGUACCAAUUUGUGGUUUUGAUACAAGAUUGGAUACAAGAGAUGAACUAGGGUUUUGGGAGGAGAUGGUGCCGGUGAAGAUGUUGAUGGAGAUUGACCCCCUCCCGAUGAGAGGAUCAUUGGUGAUGACGUUGGUGAUGAUUUACCCCUCCCGGAGGGAAGUGUCCCCGGCAGAAUAGCUCUGCCAGAGCCCUAGAUUGAUUCCGCCAAGAUUCCACCUCGUGGCGGCGGAGUUUCGUCCCGUAAGCUUGCCCACAAUUUUUUCCAGGGUAAAAGUGAUGAUAUGGCAGAAGAUGGACGUCGGAGGCCCACCAGGGGGCCUAGGAGAUAGGGGGCGCGCCCCCUGUCUCCUGGACAGGGUGUGGGCCCCCUGGCAUAUUUCAGGACUUUUGGAGCUGUGCAGAAUAGGUUUCCAACGUUUGCUCCUUUUCUAGCUAGAAUUUCAGCUGCCAGCAUUCCCCCUCUUCAUGGUAAACCUUGUAAAAUAAGAGAGAAUAGCCAUAAGUAUUGAGAUAUAAUGUGUAAUAACAACCCAUGAUGCAAUAAAUAUUGAUAUAAAAGCAUGAUGCAAAAUGGACGUAUCAACUCCCCAAGCUUAGACCUCGCUUGUCCUCAAGCGGAAGCCGAAAUUGAAAAAUAUGUCCACAUGUUUAGAGAUAGAGGUGUCGAUAAAAAUAAAAUAUGGACAUGAGGGCAUCAUGAUCAUUCUAAUAACAACUACAUACAUAAAUUUUGUCAUAUGAUUCUCUAUGCUCAAGAUACAAGCAAUUCAUAAUGUCAAGUAUGGUUCAAAAACUUCAUUGGGAACUAACAAACUAUGAUCUCAGUCAUUGAAGCAAUUGCAAUUUAUCGUAACAUCAGAAAGAGUCAAUAAUGGAGCUUUUCAGCAAGCUCACAUACUCAACUAUCUCUUAGUCUUCUACAAUUGCUAACACUCACACAGUACUUGUGGUUAUAGAGUUUCAGCCGGACACUGAGAAAGAUAGGGGCUUAUUGUGUUGCCUCCCAACGUAUUCACCUUUAGGUGAUGUCAACAAUAAUAGCCCAUGCUAACUUACAUCCAAUUGGAUAUAUAUAUAUCAUGAUCUUUCAAACACGAGGAGCUUGCCAAAGGAUAAAAUGAAAAAGGGACAGGUGAGGAUCACCUUGACUCAAGCAUAAAGUAAAAACAUAAAGUAAAAGAUAGGCCCUUCGCAGAGGGAAGCAGAGGUUGUCAUGUGCGUUUAGGGUUGAUGAACAAAAUCUUAAUGCAAAAGAACGUCACUUUAUAUUGCCCCUUGUAUGUGGACCUUUAUUAUGCAGUCCGUCGCUUUUAUUACUUCCACAACAAGUUCGUACAAAGCUUAUUUUCUCUGCACUAAUAAGUCAUACAUAUUUAGGUAGCAAUUUUAUCGCUUGCAACAUGACAACUUACUUGAAGGAUCUUACUCAAUCCAUAGGUAGGUAUGGUGGACUCUCAUGGCAAAACUGGGUUUAAGGGUAUUUGGAAGCACAAGUAGUAUCUCUACUUGGUGCAAGGAAUUUGGCUAGCAUGAGGGGGAAAGGCAAGCUCAAUAUGUUCGGAAGGUCAAUGACAAUAUACUUUAACUGAGAUGUCGGAAAACAUAGACCAUUACGUUGUCUUCCUUGUCCAACAUCAACUAUUUUAGCAUGUCAUACUUAAUGAGUGCUUCACAAUCAUAAAAGAUGUCCAAGAUAAUAUAUUUAUAUGUGAACCCCUCUUUCCUUAUCACUUCCUAUUAAUUGCAACGAUGACCAAGGCUACGUUCAUCAACUCUCAACAAUUUUUAUGCCUCAUACGUUCUAUGUGUGAAGUUAUCACUAUCCAUAAGAUCAAUAUGAACUCCAUUAUUCUUUCUACUUUCUCAAGAUCAUAGCAACAUAGCAAGGCCCUUGAAUCGACACUAAUCUUUAUUAUAGAUAACUCACGGACUCGAUUACAAAAAGAGAUCAAAAAGCAAAACUCGAAACUACUUGAUACCUAAAUUUCAAUCUACUAGAUCAAGAUACUACUAAAAGGAUCGAACUAAAUAAAACGGUAAAGAUAGGAGUGUGAUGGUGAUACGAUACCGGGGCACCUCCCCCCAAGCUUGGCAGUUGCCAAGGGGAGUGCCCAUAUCCAUGUGAUUAUGUCCUCGGAGGUGGUGAAGUAGGAGUUGUUGAUGAUGUAGGCUUGUCGUCCGUCUUCCAAGGCAUAGGCUCUCCAUCAUAAAAGGAUGAACGAGUCUCCGGGAUCCUUAAAUCUGCAGCCAAACUCAUUCGCUUGAAUCUAUAUUCAUACUCACAGUUCUGAUUUUGUAGGUCAUAGAUCUGGGAUUGGAGGUGCUCGAUUUUCUCUUGAAGCUUGAAGAUGGUCUCCCAAAUGACUUUAGCAUCUAGCUUGUGGUUGUUGGUGAACUCUGUGAUCAUCAUCUAGUUGGCGUUGAGUCCACGCUCCACCAUCCCUUGGCACUUUAAAACUUCCUGUUCCAUGGCUUCGAGCUUUGUCUCCACGCUCCCGGUAUGCCUUGGUCCCUCCACAUCGCGGAUGUGCAGCACCCCCUCACGCAUCUCAAUGGUUUGAGGAUGAUGCAGCACCUCCGCGAGAUAGGGGUUGAUAACCCUCUCGAAAAACUUGUCCUUGGGAGCGCUUGGAGACGCCAUGAUGCUCUAGAUCUGAAAUAGUAACAACUCGAAACGAAAACAGUGGAUAUUUGCGUGAUACGGUGGUCAAAACCUUCGGGAGUAUAUAUAAUGAAUUUUUAUCGACCAAAAUACAUAACGUGCAAGAAAACGGAGUCCGGGAGGCACACGAGGUGCCCACGAGACAGGGGGCGCGCCCUACAAGGGGGGGUGCCCUCCACUCUCGUGGGGGCCUCGUGUCCCUUUCUGACUACUUCUUUCUUCCUAAAAUUCUUAAAUAAUCCAAAACUGAUAAAAAUUGCCAUUAGAGUUGUUUUGGAGUCGGUUUACUUACCGUACCACAUACCGAUACCUUUUCGGAGUCUAGAACGUUCUGGAAAGUGUCCCUUAUGUAUUCCUCGGGGGUUACUGUUUCAAUAAUAUUAGUUUCAACAUUGAUAGGAUUACCUGAAAUAUAAUGUUUAUUUCUUUGACCAUUUACCACCCUCGGAUUUGUGCCUUCGAAGUUGUUGAUUUUAUAGCACCAGAACGAUAGACCUCCUCGAUAACGUAGGGACCUUCCCAUUUUGAGAGAAGUUUUCCUGCAAAAAAAAUUAAACGAGAGUUGAAUAAUAACACAUAAUCUCCUAUAUUAAACUCACGCUUUUGUAUCCUCUUAUCAUGCCAGCGUUUGACUUUUUCUGUGAAUAGCUUGGCAUUCUCAUAUGCUUGGGUUCUCCAUUCAUCAAGUGAGCUAAUAUCAAACAACCUCUUCUCACCGGCAAGUUUGAAGUCAUAAUUGAGCUCUUUGAUAGCCCAAUAUGCCCUAUGUUCAAGUUCAAGAGGUAAAUGACACGCUUUUCCAUAAACCAUCUUAUAUGGAGACAUACCCAUAGGAUUUUUGUAUGCAGUUCUAUAGGCCCAUAAUGCAUCAUCAAGUUUUUUGGACCAAUUCUUUCUAGAUCUAUUCACAGUAUUUUGUAAAAUUAAUUUGAGCUCUCUAUUGCUCAACUCUACAUGACCACUAGACUGCGGAUGAUAAGGAGAUGCUAUUCUAUGAUUGACAUCAUACUUAGCAAGCUUCUUACGGAAAGCACCAUGAAUAAAAUGUGAACCACCAUCAGUCAUAAGAUAUCUAGGGACUCCAAACCUCAGAAAAAUAACUUCUUUAAGCAUUUUAAUAGAAGUGUUAUGAUCAACACUACUAGUUGGAAUAACUUCUACCCACUUAGUAACGUAAUCAACAACAACUAAAAUAUGUGUAUAACCAUUAGAGGCAGGAAAAGGUCCCAUAUAAUCAAAGCCCCAAACAUCAAACAGUUCAAUAACAAGAGAAUAAUUCUUAGGCAUUUCUUGACGUCUACUAAUGUUACCUAUUCUUUGACAUUCAUCACAAGAUAAGACAAACUUACGAGCAUCUUUAAAGAGAGUAGGCCAAUAAAAACCAAAUUGUAGUACCUCGUGUGCAGUUCUAUCUCCAGCGUGGUGUCCCCCAUAAGAUUCAGAGUGACACUUGCAUAGAAUCUGUUCCUGUUCAUGCUCAUGCACCCAACGUCUAAUAACACCAUCUACUCCUUUAUAAAGGUGUGGAUCAUCCCAGAAGUAAUGUCUUAAAUCAUAAAAGAACUUUUUCUUUUGCUGGUAUGUGAAACUAGGCGGUAUAUAUUUAGCAACAAUGUAAUUAGCAUAAUCAGCAUACCAAGGAGCAGUACGAGAAGCAUUGACGACCGCUAAUUGUUCAUCAGGAAAGCUAUCAUUAAUAAGCAGUGGGUCAUCAAGAACAUUCUCUAACCUAGACAAGUUGUCUGCAACGGGGUUCUCAGCUCCCUUUCUAUCGAUAAUAUGCAAGUCAAAUUCUUGGAACAAGAGAACACAUCUAAUGAGUCUAGGCUUAGGAUCUUUAUUUUCCAUAAGAUAUUUAAUAGCAGCAUGAUCAGUGUGAAUAGUAACUUUGGAAUCAACAAUAUAAGGUCUAAACUUAUCACAUGCAAACACAACUGCUAAGAACUCUUUUUCAGUAGUAGCAUAAUUUCUCUGGGAAGUAUCAAGAGUCUUACUAGCAUACUGGAUAGCAUUCAAUUUCUUAUCGACUCUUUGCCCUAAAACAACACCUACAGCAUAAUCACUAGCAUCGCACAUAAUUUCAAAAGGUAAAUUCCAAUCAGGCAGCUGAACAAUAGGUGCAGUGAUCAAAGCUUUCUUAAGUACUUCAAAUUCUUCUACACAAUCAUCAUCAAAGAAAAGGAAUAUCUUUUUGCAAUAAAUUAGCCAGAGGCCUAGAGAUUUUAGAAAAGUCCUGAAUGAACCUCCUAUAAAAACCGGCGUGACCAAGGAAACUUCUUAUACCUUUUAUGUCCUUGGGACAUGGCAUCUUUUCAAUAGCAUCAUUGGCCUUAUCAACUUCAAUACUUCUCUCAGAGAUCUUGUGCCCCAAGACAAUGCCUUCAUUAACCAUAAAGUGACACUUUUCCCAAUUCAAGACGAGACUAGUGUCUUCGCAUCUCUGUAAAACUCGAUCAAGAUUGCUCAAACAAUCAUCAAAAGAGGAUCCAUAGACUGAGAAGUCAUCCAUGAAUACCUCACAAAUCUUUUCACAAAAAUCAGAGAAUAUAGCCAUCAUGCCUCUUUGAAAGGUUGCAGGUGUAUUACAUAAACCAAAAGGCAUAUGUCUAUAAGCAAAAGUACCAAAAGGGCAAGUAAAAGUAGUUUUAGAUUGAUCCUUCGCUGAUACAGGUAUCUGAGAGAAACCAGAAUAACCAUCUAGAAAGCAGAAAUGUGCGUGUUUGGAUAGUCUUUCUAGCACUUGAUCAAUAAAAGGUAAAGCAUAAUGAUCUUUCUUAGUAGCUUUAUUAAACUUACGGAAAUCAAUUACCAUCCUAUAACCUGUAAUAAUUCUUUGCGGGAUCAAUUCAUCUUUAUAAUUAGGAACAACGGUAAUACCUCCCUUUUUAGGAACACAAUGAACAGGGCUUACCCAUUCAGUAUUAGCAACGGGAUAAAUAAUACCUGCCUCAAGGAGUUUUAGUAUCUCCUUUCUUACCACUUCUUUCAUCUUGGGAUUUAAUCGUCUUUGAGGAUCUCUAACUGGUUUGGCAUCUUUCUCCACUGAAAUUUUAUGUUGACAUAAUGUGGGACUAAUGCCCUUAAGAUCAUCCAGAGUAUAUUCAAUAGUUGCUCGGUGCUUCUUCAGAGUUUUCAAUAAUCUUUCUUCUUCUUUCUCUGAAAUGUUAGCACUAAUAAUAACAGGAUAUAUUUCUUUUUCAUCAAGAUAAGCAUACUUAAGAUUAUCAAGUAAGGGUUUAAGUUCAAACACGGGAUCACCCUUGGGUGGAGGGGGAUCCCCAAGAAUUUCAACGGGAAGGUUAUGUUUCAGCAUAGGUUCCUGUUUAAGGAACACUUCAUCUAUUUCCUCCCUUUCCUUCAUAAACAUAUCAUUUUCAUGGUCUAGCAAAUAUUGUUCUAAAGGAUCGGUUUGAGGAACAGCAAUGGAAGCAAGACCAAUAAUUUCAUCCUUACUAGGUGGUUCCCUUUCACGAGGUUGUCUACUAAACUUAGCGAAAUUAAACUCAUGAGACAUACCAUCAAUGCCAACAGUGACAAUAUUCUUUUCACAAUUGAUCUUAGCACUAGCAGUAUUCAAGAAGGGUCUACCAAAAAUAAUGGGACAAAAAUCAUCUUGUGGGGAACCAAGAACAAGAAAACCAGCAGGGUAUUUAACUUUCCCACAAAAAACUUCAACAUCUCUAACAAUCCCAAUAGGUUUAAUGGUAUCCCUAUUAGCAAGCUUAAUAGUAACAUCAAUGUCUUCUAAUUCAACAGGUGCAAUGUCAUGCAUAAUUUCUUUAUAUAAAUCAUAAGGUAUAGCACUAGCACUAGCACCCAUAUCACAUAAGCCAUGAUAACAAUGGUCUCCUAUUUUAACAGAAAUAACAGGCAUGCCUACAACAGGUCUACGUGUCUUAGUAUCAGGUCUAGCAAUAUUGGCAGUCUCACCCAAGAAAGAAAUAACAUGCCCAUCUAAAUCCUCAUCCAAGAGAUCUUUAACCAUAGCAAUACUAGGUUCAACAUUAAUUUGCUCAGGAGGUGUAUAAGUCCUAGUAUUACUCUUAUGAACAACAGUCGAAGCAUUAGCAUGAUCUUUUAUCCUAACAGGAAAAGGAGGUUUUUCAACAUAAGCAGUAGGAACAAUAGGAUCACUAUAGGUAAUAGUCUUUUCUUCGACUGUAAUAGGUGCAACUACUUUCACUUCAACAGGAGGAUUAUAUUUAAACCACUUCUCUUUAGGGAGAUCAACGUGAGUAGCAAAAGAUUCACAGAAAGUAGCUACUAUCUCAGAGUCAAGUCCAUACUUAGCGCUAAAUCCACGGAAAGCAUAGGUAUCCAUAAAAGAUUUAACACAAUCGAACUUAGGUGUCAUACCUGACUCCUUACCAUCGUCGGAACCCCAAUAUUCAGAGUUGCGUUUAAUUCUUUCCAAUAAGUCCCAUUUGAAAUCAGUAGUCUUCAACAUAUAAGAACUAGCACAGGAAGUAUCGAGCAGGUUGCGAUUAUCAAGAGAAAGCCGAGCAUAAAGGUUCUGAAUAAUCAUUUCCCGAGAGAGCUCAUGAUUGGGGCAUGAAUAUAACAUUGACUUAAGCCUCCCCCAAGCUUUAGCGAUGCUUUCUCCUUCGCGAGGCAAGAAAUUAUAUAUGUAAUUACGAUCACGAUGAACAAGAUGCAUAGGAUAGAACUUUUGGUGAAAUUCCAACUUCAAUCGCUUAUAAUGCCAAGAUCCCAUAUCAUCACAUAUCCUAUACCAUAUAAAUGCAUCUCCCUUCAAAGAUAAAGGGAAGACCUUCCUUUUGACAACAUCAUCGGGAAUACCUGCAAGCUUAAAUAAUCCAUAAACUUCAUCCACAAAGAUAAGGUGUAAAUCGGGAUGCAAUGUUCCGUCUCCUGCAAAUGGAUUAGCUAGCAGUUUUCUAUCAUACCCGAAGGAAUCUCAAAGUAAAUAUUUUCAUAAAGUUCAGUAAGUUGAGAAGCAACUCUUUGCUCUUCUGGUUGGGGUGAAGAUACCCCAAACAAGCCCCUCAAAGGAUUAGUUUCCAUAGUGACAAGUAACAGAAAAUCUCAGCACACUAUAUAAAUGUUUCUUUACCAAGUUCCACUCACCAAAAGCGCUACACUCCCCGGCAACGGCGCCAGAAAAGAGUCUUGAUGACCCACAAGUGUAGGGGAUCUAUCUUAUUCCUUUCGAUAAGUAAGAGUGUCGAACCCAACGAGGAGCAGAAGGAAAUGAUAAGCGGUUUUCAGUAAGGUUUUCUCUGCAAGCACUGAAACUGUAGGUGAUAGAUAGUUUUGUGAUAAGAUAAAUAGUAACGAGUAACAAGUAAAUAAAGUAAAUAAAGUGCAGCAAUGUGGCCCAAUCCUUUAUGUAGCAAAGGAUAAGCCUGGACAAUUUCUAAUAGUGAUAAAGGAGCUCCCGAUGACACAUUGGAAAUUAUCGCCAAGCUAGUUUUCAUCACGUUCAUAUGAUUCGCGUUCGGUACUUUGAUAAUUUGAUAUGUGGAUGGACCGGUACUUGGGUACUGCCCUAACUUGGACAAGCAUCCCACCUAUGAUUAACCCCUAUCGCAAGCAUCUGCAACUACAAAAGAAGUAUUAAGGUAAACCUAACCACAACAUUAAACAUAUGGAUCCAUAUAAACCCCUAACGAAGAAACACAUAAACUAGGGUUUAAGCUUCUGUCACUCUAGCAACCCAUCAUCUACUUAUUACUUCCCCAUGCCUUCCUCUAGGCCCAAAUAAUGCCGAACUGUCAUGCAGUCGACGUUCACAUAACACCACUAGAGGAAAAGACAACAUACAUCUCAUCAAAAUAUCGAACGAAUACCAAAUUCACAUGACUACUAAUAGCAAGACUUCACCCAUGUCCUCAGGAACAAAUGUAACUACUCACAAAGCAUAUUCAUGUUCAUAAUCAGAGGAGUAAUAAUAUGCAUAAAGGAUCUGAACAUAUGAUCUUCCACCAAGUAAACCAAUUAGCAUCAACUACAAGGAGUAAUCAACACUACUAGCAACCCACAGGUACCAAUUUGUGGUUUUGAUACAAGAUUGGAUAUAAGAGAUGAACUAGGGUUUUGGGAGGAGAUGGUGCUGGUGAAGAUGUUGAUGGAGAUUGACUCCCUCCCGAUGAGAGGAUCGUUGGUGAUGACGUUGGUGAUGAUUUCCCCCUACCGGAGGGAAGUGUCCCCGGCAGAACAGCUCUACCAGAGCCCUAGAUUGAUUCCGUCAAGGUUCCGCCUCGUGGCGGCGGAGUUUUGUCCCAUAAGAUUGCCCACGAUUUUUUCCAGGGUAAAAUUGAUGAUAUAGCAGAAGAUAGACGCCGGAGGCCCAACAGGGGGCCCAGGAGAUAGGGGGUGCGCCCUAUAGGGGGGGCGCCCCCCUGUCUCCUGGACAGGGUGUGGCCCCCCUGGCAUAUUUCUUUCGCUCAGAAAUUCUUAUUAAUUCCAAAAAGUUGUUUCGUGGAGUUUCAGGACUUUUGGAGCUGUGCAGAAUAGGUUUCCAAUGUUUGCUCCUUUUCCAGCCAGAAUUCCAACUGUCGGCAUUCCCCCUCUUCAUGGUAAACCUUGUAAAAUAAGAGAGAAUAGCCAUAAGUAUUGAGAUAUAAUAUGUAAUAACAGCCCAUAAUGCAAUAAAUAUUGAUAUAAAAGCAUGAUGCAAAAUGGACGUAUCAGUUACCCGUGACCACGUCCGAAGCUGCAUUCACUUGUGUCGCAUCGAUGUGUUUCAGGUGGUAUGGUACACGUGCUAGACCACUAGGACCACGUCCGCGGCUAGCCACAAGCACAUUCGCACGUACUUGUGCUGAAUUAGCCCGAUGCUUGUUUUGAGGUGGGACAGUUCCACUCGUGCCAGGUUGUGGUUGACUCUUACUCAGGCAUUUGUUUUGUAGUGACCCUUUUGUCCACAACCAAAACAGACAACACUCGCCUUUGGGCAAUCUCGAGCGAUGUGUGGUCCACCGCACACAUGACACUUUAUAGGGGCUUUAGGAGGCAUAAAGGGUGGUCUAGGGGCUUGAGGGAGAGGAGGACAGAUGGGUCCGACCAUUGGUGGGCGGACUAGGCCAACAGAGUUGUAUCCACUCCUCAUGAGGAACCUCUGGUCCAUUCUAGAUUUCUUUCUCCGUUCUUCCUCUAUGGCUAAUUGCCGAUUCUCAAUAAUAAUGACUCGAUCUACUAGCUCCCGAAACUUAGUUAUAUUUAUAGGGGCUAUGAUCAGCUGUAUGGAUGGCUUCAAUCCUUCUAUGAACCGGUACACCCUUUUGGUCUCAGUGUUUGUGUCUUCUGAUGCAUAGCGGGAUAGUGAGUUAAACUCAUCUAGGUACUCUGCGAUGGUUUUAGACCCUUGUUUAAGGCUUAGGAAUUUCUUACUUUUUAGUUCCAUCGCACUUUGCGGGACAUAGUUAUCUCGGAAUCUCCUCUUAAAUUCCUCCCAAGUAACUAUGUGGUUUUCGGGUAUGAUAAUUUGGACAUUUCUCCACCAUGUGGCAGCAGGACCAAUUAACCGAUGGGAUGCAUACCGAACUUUUUCUUGAUCCGUGCAUCCCACAGUGUUAAGUUUCAGCUCUAUGUCCAUCAACCAAUCCUCUGCGGCUAAUGGAUUGUGGCGGUUGAAAAGGUUGGUGGUCUAGUCUUUUGGAAGUCUCCAAUCGUGACACCUUGUUCUGGGUUUUUAGUCAGUUGGCCUCUCGUCACACUGAACAUCUGCUCCAUGAACUUAUUCUGGUGUUCUAGAGAGUCUCGAUGAGACUGCUCCAUCCACUGAUACAUUAGAGCAAGUUGAUCGGAUCCAGGGGCAUGAUGGGGUAAUGGUGGAGGUGGAGGUAACGUCACUCUAGACAACAAAUCUGCCAUGUUCCUUAGCCACUCGGGUGCUAAAUCUGAUGGGUUCCCAUUGUCUUCGAAUGACUGACUACCAGAUGCCAUCGCUACCGAUCUGGUGGGCAAGGCAUAGGUUAUAACGAUAGCUACUACAUGUGAAAAUAUUUUAUUUAUUUGAUUAGAGGUGAGAUUUUAGCCCACACAGUACACUUCACGCUUCCUUUUUUGGAGCAUCUAUUUAAACAGUGCACUUAACAGCGACAUACUAGAAAAUUUUGCGAAACAUUUUUUUACUUGUUGUUGGCCGAAGAAUAAAAGCAGUCAAACAAAGUGAUUCUUUUUAUCAUGACAGAGGCAAGAGAUUAAUCACAAUUCAAAAAUAGAGCCACUUGCACAUGCACAUGCACACACAAGUUCUUCAUGUACCGGAUUAAAAGCAUUCAAUCAUCAAGUGCGUGACAUACAUCAAUUGAACUCAUGAAGUGCUAGGAAAAAUGUAGCGGCAUCAGCACAUAAUAUAUAUACUAGCCCAACACGUGAUGUACCAAGGCAUGGACUGGAAUGAAGAGAUCACCCGAAAAAAUCUACCAUACAUCAGACGCCAUUAUGAAGCAUUGGCAACAACGUGGCAACAACAUCACAUACAGUAUUCCAUCAUACAGAGCAAGGAGCAUAAAAAGAACCAGAAUUUAAAAUGACAUGGCAUAUGCGUCACACGAGAUCACCUAGUAGUAGAAUAUCAGUACAUCCAUAAGUCCACCGGUCCACAUGAAUACAUCACAUAACAUAAUCGCAACACCACACAUGACUAUUUGUCGUACCAUCAGGUUACCAUGACUAUCUAUAUAUGUACCUAGAAAAAAAGUAUAUAUGUCUCCCUAUCUGCCUGUCGGGACCAAUCUGGGUAAAUAUGGUUGUGUAAACUCUAGAAGGGUAGCUAUGUCUACAAGACCUUUCUAAUUAUGUACAAAAUCCAAAAGGACAACCUCCAUGCAUCUGCCUAAACAUCUAAUAAGUGGUGGAACUAACUCUGCGAGGAGUAACUAUCUAGCAUGAUGCCACAACCUUGUUAGAAAACUAACUACUACUACUAAUAGUACGAAGUCAAUCCUCCCUGAUGAGAAGACUAGGUGAAAUGGUGAGGAGCAAGUCGGGGUUGAGGACAGAAGUCGGUGAAGGUAUAGACUGACUGGGUGCGGUGCCUCUGAAGAGUGCCUACUUGGUCUAACAGGUCCUGAACAAGCUGAGGUGUAGGUGGACACCUGUACGGUGUAGAGGGACGAGACACUGCUCGAGCGGGGGAACCCCUAAAAACUCUAGGAGUUGGGCAGUCUGCACGAGGGGGUGGAACUGCUUGGUACAAAUGAGGAAGAGCGGCAGUCAGAGUUAGUGGUGGUAAAAACGUGAGAGGUAAAACAGGAGGACGUGGUGGAAGUGGAAGGAAAGCAAAAGUGGACGCAAAAUGGUGAAGGAGCGACAGUGGGUGGAGGUGCUGACGAAUUCCCUGAUUACUCUUAUUGAUGAGCCAAUUGCCUCUACCACGCAAACAAGGAGAAGGUGGCAGGCAUGGAAAAUAUGUAAAGUGGCAUUCCAUGCCGCACCCUAAAGUGCUGAAGCAAAGUUGUAUUGUGCGACACUAUGCCUAGAUGGGACAUCUAAGCCCUCGGGUAUGUGCACUGUGACUAAGUACCCCGUGGAAUGAUACGUCUCUAAAGUAUCUAUAAUUUUUGAUUGUUCCAUGCUAUUACAUUACCCCUUUUGGAUGUUUAUGGGCUUUAUUUUACACAUUUAUAUCAUUUUUUGGGACUAACCUACUAACCGGAGGCCUAGCCCAUAUUGCUGUUUUUUGCCUAUUUCAGUAUUUCGAAGAAAAGGAAUAUCAAACGGAGUCCAAACGGAAUGAAACCUUCGGCAACAUGAUUUUUUGGAAGAAUAUGAUCCUGGAGACUUCGAGUCCAUGUCAGAAGAUCCUCGAGGGGGCCACGAGAUAGGAGGUCACGCCCCCCUUACAGGGUGGUGGCCUCCUAUCUCGUGGGCCCCUCGAGCACCUCCCGACUGACUUCUUUCGCCUAUAUAAGCCUACGUACCCUAAAACCAUCAAAAAUCAAGAUAGAUUGGGAGUUCCGCCGCCGCAAGCCUCUGUAGCCACCAAAAACCUCUCGGGAGCCUGUUCCGGCACCCUGCCGGAGGGGGAAUCCAUCACCGGUGGCCAUCUUCAACAUCCCAGCGCUCUCCAUGACGAGGAGGGAGUAGUUCACCCUUGGGGCUGAGGGUAUGUACCAGUAGCUAUGUGUUUGAUCUCUCUCUCUCUCGUGUUCCCUCUAUGGCACGAUCUUGAUGUAUCCCGAGCUUUGCUAUUGUAGUUGGAUCUUAUGAUGUUUCUCCCCCUCUACUCUCUUGUGAUGAAUUGAGUUUUCCUCUUAAAGUUAUCUUAUCGGAUUGAGUCAUUUAUUUGAGAACACUUGAUGUAUGUAUUGCCCUGUUUAUCUGUGAUGGCAAUGAGAUAUCACGUGCCUCUUGAUGUAUGUUUUGGUGACCAACUUGCCGGUUCCGCCCAUGAACCUAUGCAUAGGGGUUAGCACACGUUCUUGACUCUCCGGUAGAAACUUUGGGGCACUCUUUGAAGUACUUUGUGUUGGUUGAAUUGAUGAAUCUAAGAUUGUGUGAUGCAUAUUGUAUAAUCAUGCCCACGGAUACUUGAGGUGACAAUGGUGUAUCUAGGUGACAUUAGGGUUUUGGUUGAUUUGUGUCUUAAGGUGUUAUUCUAGUACGAACUCUUGAAUAGAUUGAUCUAAAAGAAUAACUUUGAGGUGGUUUCGUACCCUACCAUAAUCUCUUCGUUUGUUCUGCGCUAUUAGUGGCUUUGGAGUGACUCUUUGUUGCAUGUUGAGGGAUUUUUAUAUGAUCUAUCUAUGUUAUUAUUGUUGAGAGAACUUGCACUAGUGAAAGUAUGAACCCUAGGCCUUGUUUUCUAUCAUUGCAAUACCGUUUACACUCACUUUUAUCAUUAGUUACCUUGCUGUUUUUAUAUUUUCAGAUUAGAAAUACCUAUAUCUACCAUCCAUAUUGCACUUGUAUCACCAUCUCUUCGCCGAACUAGUGCACCUAUACAAUCUACCAUUGUAUUGGGUGUGUUGGGGACACAAGAGACUCUUUAUUAUUUGGUUGCAGGGUUGUUUGAAAGAGACCAUAUUCAUCCUACGCCUCCUACGGAUUGAUAAACCUUAGGUCAUCCACUUGAGGGAAAUUUUCUACUGUCCUACAAACCUGUGCACUUGCAGGCCCAACAACGUCUACAAGAAGAAGGUUGUGUAGUAGACAUCAAGCUCUUUUCUGGCGCCGUUGCCAGGGAUGUUAGCGCUUGAAGGUAUAUCUUUAGAUCUUGCAAUCGAAUCUUUUUGUUUCUUGUUUUAUCACUAGUUUAGUUUAUAAAAGAAAACUAUAAAAAAAUGGAGUUAAGUUUGUCUCAUAUUAUCUUUUUAAUAUCUUUCGUGAGCAUGAUGGAAAGGAAAAUUGUGCUCAAGUGCUAGAAGAAGAAUGCAUUAAAAUGCUUGGUAGUAAAUCUUUGAAUGAUGAGCAUGAUUGCAAUGUUGUUAGUAUGAAUUCCUUGAAUAUCCAUGAUGCUAAUGAUAUGCAAAGCCACAAGCUUGGGGAAGAUAUGUUUGAUGAAUAUGAUAUAUUUUGUCCCCCAAGCUUUGAUGAGCAAAUUUAUUUUGAUGAUAGCAUGCCUCCUAUUUAUGAUGAUUAUAUUGAUGAAAGUGGGUUUGGAAGAGUGACAACUUUAGGAAGUAGUGAUCCCACUAUUUUGGAGGAUGUUGAAUCUUAUUACGAUGAACAUGAAAGUGGAUUUGGAAGAGUGUAAACUUUAUUUAGUGAUGAAUCCACUAUUUCGGAAGAGGUUCCAAUUGAUUAUGAGAACAAAGUUGCUAUCUAUGAUGAUUAUUGUGAUGACUUGUAUGCUAUUAGGAAUAAUGAUAACCAUGAAACUUGUCAUCAUGAUUUUAGUUUUGAAUUGGAUUAUGCCUCACAUGAUAAUUAUUUUGUUGAGUUUGCUCCCACUAUUAUUCGUGAGAAGAAAUUUGCUUAUGUGGAGGGUAGUAAAUUUUAUAUGCUUCUAGAUCAUGAAAAGAAUGCUUUAGAUGCUGGUUAUAUUGUUGAAUUCAUUCAUGAUGCUACUGAAAAUUAUUAUGAGGGAGGAACAUAUGCUUGUAGGAAUUGCAAUAACGUCAAGUUUCCUCUCUAUGUGCUUACAUUUUUGAAGCUAUGCUUGUUUUACCUUCCUAUGGUAGUUGAUUAUUGUUCCCAUAAGUUGUUUGCUCACAAAAUCCCUAUGCAUAGGAAGUGGGUUAGGCUUAAAUGUGCUAGUCAUAUGCUUCAUGAUGCUUCCGUUAUGUUUCAAUUCUUAUCUUUUUGUGAGCAUCAUUGUCAUCAUCAUGCCUAGCUAGAAAAGCAUUAAAGAAAAGCGCUUGUGGGAGACAAUCCAAUAUUUAUCCUUACUGUUUUUGUGUGUCCACAUGAUUAUGCUACUGUAGUAAUCAUGUUUUAUAGCUUUUGUUUCAAUAAAGUGUCAAGUAAGACCUUUAGGAUAGCUUAUGGUGAUAGUUGUGUUGAUCCUGCUGAAAAUCAGAAACUUUUUCACCCAGUAAUUUAGUUUUUUUAAUUCACAGAAACGUUCGUCUAGUCUGAUUCUUUUUUCUUUGGAUUGGUACACAAAUUUCUUAGAACUUCCUAAUGUUGUAGGAUUUUUGGAGUUCCAGAAGUAUACGUUUGAUACAGAUUACUACAGACUGUUCUAUUUUUGACAGAUUCUAUUUUCUAUGUGUUGUUUGCUUAUUUUGAUGAAUCUAUGAGUAGUAUCGUAGGAUAUGAACCAUAGAUAAGUUGAAGUACAGUAGAUAUUACACCAAUAUGAAUUUAGAAUGAGUUCAUUACAGUACCUAAGCGGUGGUUUUAGUUUCUUAUACUAAAGGAGCUUACGAGUUUUCUGUUGAGUUUUGUGUUGUGGAGUUUUCAAGUUUUGGGUAAAGAUUCGAUGGACUAUGGAAUAAGGAGUGGCAAGAGCCUAAGCUUGGGGAUGCCCAAGGCACCCCAAGUUAAUAUUCGAGAAUAGCCAAAAGCCUAAGCUUGGGGAUUCCCCAGAAGGCAUCCCCUCUUUCGUCUUCGUUCAUCGGUAACUUUACUUGGAGCUAUAUUUUAUAUUCACCACAUGAUAUGUGUUUUGCUUGGAGCGUAAUUUUCUUUUCUUAGUAUUUUCUUGCUGUUAUUUAGAAUAAUGUUUUGCAUCUUUAGUUUCAAUAAAAAAGUCAAGGAUAGCCUUUGCCAUGCUUAUUUUGCUAUUAUACAUGUUGCUGUUUGAAAACAGAAAGUUUACUGCUGUUGCGAAAAUUCCCUAGAAAAGUCAGAGAAUGGUAUAAUGUUGAAACCUUUUGCAUGAUGAGAUCUGAUAAAUUUACUACAGUGGGAAUUUUAUUUCAUAAUUUUUGGAGUUAGGAAAGUAUGGAUACUCUUGCAUUUUUUACAGACUGUACUGUUUUGGCAGAUUGCUGUUAUGUUUGCAUUGUUUGCAUAUGUUUGCUUGUUUAAUAAUUCUAUUUGAGGAUAGGAAUAUUAAAUAUGCAGAGGCAUUUAGUAUGAAAUGUUGAACAAUAAUUUUAUUGAUUUGUUAUAGUAGAAUAUGAUAAGGUUUUGCAUUGGUUUGUACUAACCUAUCUCACGAGUUUUUGUUGAGUUUGUUGUGAAUGAAGCUUUUGAGAAAUAGAGAAUUCAUGAUAUGAGAGAAAUUAAGGAGACACAAAAGUUCAAGAUUAGGGAUGCCCAAGGCACUCCAACAUAAUAUUCAAGAAGUCUCAAGCAUCUAAGCUUGGGGAUGCCCGGUAGGCAUCCCACCUUUCUUCUUCAACAACUAUCGGUUAGUAUCGGUUGAGCCUAAGUUUUUGCUUCUUCACAUGAGUUGUGCUAUCCUUAAAAUGUCAUUUUAUUUUAUUUUGUUUGCUAUUUGAAUAAGAUACCAAGAUCUAAAAUUUCUUAAUGUUAGAAAGUCUUCACAUAUUUGCACAAUUAUUCGACUACUCAUUGAUCUUCAUAUAUCUUUCGGAGUAGUUUGUCAUUUGCUCUAGUGCAUCACUUAUAUCAUUUAGAGCACGGAGGUGGUUAUAUUUUGUAUAAAUUGUUGACCUCUCAUGCUUCACUUAUAUUAGUUUGAGAGUCUUUUAGAGCAGCAUGGUAUUUGCUAUGAUUACAAAGUUGGUCCUAGAAUGAUGAGCAUCCAAGUUGGGUAUAAUAAAAACUAUCAUAGAAAGUGAAUUGGAUGCUAUGAUCAACUUGAUGCUUGAUAAUUGUUUUGAGAUGUGGAGGAAGUGACAUUAAAGGCAUGCUAGUUGGGUGAUUAUGAAUUUAAAGAAUGCUUGUGUUGAAGUUUGUGAUUCCCAUAGCAUGCACGUAUGGUGAACCACUUUGUGAUGAAGUUGGAGCACAAUUUUAUUUAUUGAUUGUCUUCCUUAUGAGUGGCUGUCGGGGACGAGUGAUGGCCUUUUCUUACCAAUCUAUCCCCCUAGGAGCAUGCGCGAAGUGCUUUGGUUUUUGAUGACUUCUAGCAACAAGUAUAUGAGUUCUUUUGAUUAAUGUUGAGUCCAUGGAUUAUACGCACUCCUUCACCCUUCCACCAUUGCUAGCCUCUCUUGUACCGUGCAACUUUUGCUGGUACCAUACACCCAUCAUAGUCCUUCCUCAAAACAGCUACCAUACCUACCUAUUAUGGCAUUUCCAUAGUCAUUCCGAGAUAUAUUGCCAUGCAACUUUCCACCGUUCCGUCCAUAUGACACGCAUUACUUUUGUCAUAUUGCUUUUUGCAUGAUCAUGUAGUUGAUAUUGUAUUUGUGGCAAGGCCACCUUCAUAAUUUUCAUACAUGUCGCUCUUGAUUCAUUGCAUAUCCCGGUACACCGCCGGAGGCAUUCAUAUAGAGUCAUAUCUUGUUCUAUCUUUGAGUUGUAAAUCCAUAAAAGUGUGAUGAUCUUCAUUAUUAGAGCAUUGUCCUAGUGAGGAAAGGAUGAUGAAGACUAUGAUUCCCCACAAGUCGGGAUGAGACUUCGGACUUUACAAAAAGAAAAAAAGGAAAACAAGAGAAAGGCCAAAAAGAAAAAAGAAAAAAAAAGAGAAGGCCAAAGAAAAGAAAAAAAAAGAAGAAAAAGAAGAUAGAAAGGACAAUGCUACUAUCUCUUUUUCCACACUUGUGCUUCAAAAUAGCACCAUGAUCUUCAUGUUAGAGAGUCUCAUAUGUUGUCACUUUCAUAUACUAGUGGGAAUUUUUCAUUAUAGAACUUGGUUUGUAUAUUCCAAUGAUGGGCUUCCUCAAAAGUGCCCUAGGUCUUCAUGAGCAAGCUAGUUGGAUGCACCCCACUUAGUUUCUUUUGUUGAACUUUCAUACAUUUAUAGCUCUAGUGCAUCUGUUGCAUGGCAAUCCCUACUCACUCACAUUGAUAUCUAUUAAUGGGCAUCUCCAUAGCCCGUUGAUACGCCUAGUUGAUGUGAUACAAUCUUCUCCCUUUUUUGUCUUCUCCAUAACCACCAUUCUAUUCCACAUAUAAUGCUAUGUCCAUGGCUCACGCUCAUGUAUUGCGUGAAAGUUGAAAAAGUUUGAGAAUAUUAAAGUGUGAAACAAUUCCUUGGCUUGUCAUCGGGGUUGUGCAUGAUUAAAUACUUUGUGUGAUGAAGAUAGAGCAACAGCCAGACUAUAUGAUUUUGUAGGGAUAACUUUCUUUAGCCAUGUUAUUUUGAGAAGACAUGAUUACUUUGAUUAGUAUGCUUGAAGUAUUACUAUUUCUUAUGUCAAUAUGAACUUUUAUUUUGUAUCUUUUGGAUCUGAACAUUCAUGCCACAAUAAAAAAAUUACAUUGAGAAUUAUGCUAAGUAGCAUUCCACAUCAAAAAUCUGUUUUUAUCAUUUACCUACUCGAGGACGAGUAGGAAUUAAGCUUGGGGAUGCUUGAUACGUCUCUAACGUAUCUAUAAAUUUUGAUUGUUCCAUGCUAUUAUAUUACCCCUUUUGGAUGUUUAUGGGCUUUAUUUUACACAUUUAUAUCAUUUUUGGAACUAACCUACUAACCGGAGGCCCAGCCCAUAUUGCUGGGUUUUUUUUGCCUAUUUCAGUAUUUCGAAGAAAAGGAAUAUCAAACGGAGUCCAAACGGAAUGAAACCUUCGGCAGCGUGAUUUUUUGGAAGAAUAUGAUCCUGGAGACUUGGAGUACACGUCAGAAGAUCCUCGAGGAGGCCACGAGAUAGGAGGCCGCGCCCCCCUUACAGGGUGGUGGCCCCCUAUCUCGUGGGCCCCUCGAGCACUUCCCGACCGACUUCUUUCGCCUAUAUAAGCCUACGUAUCCUAAAACCAUCAAAAAUCAAGAUAGAUCGGGAGUCCCGCUGCCUCAAGCCUCUAUAGCCAGCAAAAACCUCUCGGGAGCCCGUUCCGGCACCCUGCCGGAGGGGGAAUCCAUCACCAGUGGCCAUCUUCAUCAUCCCGGCGCUCUCCAUGAUGAAGAGGGAGUAGUUCACCCUCGGGGCUGAGGGUAUGUACCAGUAGCCAUGUGUUUGAUCUCUCUCUCUCUCUCGUGUUCUCUCUCGUGUUCCCUCUAUGGCACGAUCUUGAUGUAUCCCGAGCUUUGCUAUUGUAGUUGGAUCUUAUGAUGUUUCUCCCCCUCUACUCUCUUGUGAUGAAUUGAGUUUCCCUCUUGAAGUUAUCUUAUCGGAUUGAGUCUUUUAUUUGAGAACACUUGAUGUAUGUAUUGCCCUGUUUAUCUGUGGUGACAAUGGGAUAUCACGUGCCUCUUGAUGUAUGUUUUGGUGACCAACUUGCGGUUCCGCCCAUGAACCUAUGCAUAGGGGUUGGCACACGUUCUUGACUCUCCGGUAGAAACUUUGGGGCACUCUUUGAAGUACUUUGUGUUGGUUGAAUUGAUGAAUCUGAGAUUGUGUGAUGCAUAUCGUAUAAUCAUGCCCACGGAUACUUGAGGUGACAAUGGAGUAUCUAGGUGACAUUAGGGUUUUGGUUGAUUUGUGUCUUAAGGUUUUAUUCUAGUACGAACUCUUGAAUAGAUUGAUCCGAAAGAAUAACUUUGAGGUGGUUUCAUACCCUACCAUAGUCUCUUCGUUUGUUCUCCGUUAUUAGUGGAUUUGGAGUGACUCUUUGUUGCAUGUUAAGGGAUUGUUAUAUGAUCUAUCUAUGUUAUUAUUGUUGAGAGAACUUGCACUAGUGAAAGUAUGAAUCCUAGGCCUUGUUUCCUAUCAUUGCAAUACCGUUUACGCUCACUUUUAUCAUUAGUUACCUUGCUGUUUUUAUAUUUUCAUAUUAUAAAUACCUAUAUCUACCAUCCAUACUGCACUUGUAUCACCAUCUCUUCGCCGAACUAGUGCACCUAUACAAUCUACCAUUGUAUUGGGUGUGUUUGAGACACAAAAGACUCUUUGUUAUUUGGUUGCAGGGUUGUUUGAGAUAGACCAUCUUCAUCCUACGCCUCCUACGGAUUGAUAAACCUUAGGUCAUCCACUUGAGGGAAAUUUUCUACUGUCCUACAAACCUGUGCACUUGCAGGCCCAACAACGUCUACAAAAAAAAAGGUUGUGCAGUAGACAUCAUGGAACACGGGUCAUGAAACACUUUGUAGUACGGUGCAAGCAACACAACAAGAAUACGAAGAAGCACAAUCAAGAAUAGAGCAAAACCACAGUACUCGACACCCGUACGACACAAUCUACCACUCAACAUCCUACAUUAAGAAAUUAAGAAUUUAGUACUGAUUUAGGACAAAAUAAGUACGUAUAUUCUGAACACAUUUUACUUGCAUAAUUCUAAGUAUGAGGUUUAAUUUAUUUAAUCUACUCUUGACUUGAGUCACUUUUUUUCAAAGAGUAUAUAUAGGAGACGUAGAACUUGAGAUGACAAGAGAUGGAUUUUUUUGAGAAACUUUUAUUUUCUUUAGGUAAGGAGGGAACCUGUCUUUUCUAAGGCUUAACAGACUCUAACUAAGUACAUGACUCUUUCCUUAACGAUGCUCUGAUACCACCUCUUCUGUGACGCCCUGUUACGUCCAACAGAGUUAGGCGUAACGGAAGCCGUCACUUCAGAGUUGCGCCAGGAUCAGUUAAGGAAAAUAGUAUCAUGUACAAGACGGAGCAACUGCCAUGAGUAGGCAAGCUUUUAUUACAUAGACACCUCAAGUGUCGACUAAGCCUAAGCGACCAUGACGAUAGAUCGUCACCCGCUUCUAGUGCGAGCCUUCUAGACCAACCAUGGAGGACAUCUACUCUUCAUAGACUUGAUUGCCAACAUCCUCAUGAUCAUACUUCACUUCAGAAUAACCAUAGUCGUCAAGAUGACCAGACUCAUCAUUUGUACCAUUCUCUAGUGCCUUAGAGUUCUCAUAACUCCCUUGUUCUGAAAAACAACAUAAGUGCAGCUGAGUAUGUAUAAAAUACGUGCUUCGUAAGUCGCCGGGAAAAGUGGAUGCAUGAGUAUUUUUAAGAGGAAAAACUUUAUCGGCCAUGGCUACCACCACCGAGCCAUUAGCUCAAAAUACUUUGUAGGUAAAAAAAAUAUUUUCCCUUAACCUGAAAAUCAAAUUUUAUUUAUAAAAUCUACUGGCGACAGAGCGAUGUGGGAUCUUACAUCCUGUGUUAGAGGAAAACCCACACGACGCACUUCCAAACCCGGAAGCUGGGAGUGAUAUCACAUUUAUUCUGAUCAGAGGUGUACUGCUUUGCCCGUAGCAUCACUUGGUCCAAGUCGUCCAUGCGCUACCCGUGCGCACGACUAGAUCAAGGAACCAGAACCUUUAACCAGCUCGUAGACUACCUCUGCUUUUCCACCUUGCCUUACUAUAGGCCCGCGGGCCGAGACCCCUGACCGCCGGUCCCGCCCUAGGGUGACUGUACCUACCCGGCUACAGCCACCUUCUCACCCAUGCAGAGGCAACUACUUGGCAUCGGUAGUCGGUUCAGCCCGUCCCAUUCCAGGCCUAUGGUCAGUACGGUUUGCGCCGCUUUUGACGUAAGCGCCAGUUGGUUGUGUCCUAAUGUGAUACCCUAUGUAGAGGAGUCUGCCAUCCAAGCCAACCCUACAUGGGUCGUCUUCACCAACAUGAGCUCCCAUACCCACCAAAUUUUUAGUUAUAAUGUAACCCUGCCCGGGUCACGACUACUUAAUACAGAUACUUCACUUGAUCUGGUCCAAUUGCCAAAUCAGUGGAUCCACCUGAUCCAAAUAUCAUUUUAUUUAUGAAAAGUAUUUAUUUUUAAUUCUUAUGCAAAAUUUUGGAAAUGACUCAUAGCCCGGAAAACAUUUAUGAAGACAUGAUCAAGGAGAUGACGACUUGCCGGGUAGCGCCCCGACCAACUCGAAACCACCAGAUGGGGGUCCUAUGGGUCUGAGAUCGACUCCUGAUAAUUAUUUCACAAAGAAGUUUAUAUUUUCCCUAAUCAAGAUCCAAGCAUCAAGAAACAAUUCCAUACGGUGCAAUCCAUUUUAAUUAAAGAGGCAAUGAUACAUGCUAGUGUGUAAUUAGAAGCAAAAUGCAUACAACACAUCAAGAAGUAGUACGCACAUGCACAUCACAAAGAGCAAGCAAGCAAGCUCAAAAGGAAAAAUGUGUUUAGCUGGUCGAACCCAACCCCGGCAGAAAUAUCAUUUCUUUUUUCUCCAACUAGUCAUCUUCCCCAGCUCUCUACCUCUCUCUCUCACUGUCACUGGUAUGCUCAGCCACGAACAUAACCAACUCCAUCUCUCUCUCCCUAACUACAGAGCAGGCCGCCGCCGGCUCGAUCUGCCACUUCCGGCCAUCUCCGGCGACACCGCGGACACCCACAGAAUCCCCUCAACUCCCUCUACCAUAUACCCCCAUUUAUUUGAUCCGCCGCCGCCAAAAUCGCCGCCACCCUCAAACCCCAGCGCCGUCUGCAUCGGGUCCGAUGGGUUCACCACGGGCCGCAGCAGCAAUGGCAUCUCCCUACCUACAAACUCCUCCUGCAGAGCUGCACGCACGAGGCGUGCAACUAUGGCCGUCAGGCGUGACCAUCUUAACCGGUGCGGCUCCGGCAACAUGGCCGCUACAGACGCCCGGCUCGCCUUUGUCUACUGCUACUAGGGUAAGUGCCAGUCCAAAUUUCUCUCUGUGCAGUGUUCUUACCUCUGCUGCAAGUGUUUGUGCUAUGACUCCCCUUACUGCCAUGCUUCUUGUUAAUCUCAAGACCAAGGAAUUAAUCAAGCUUUACUCUAUGGUGUGGACGUGGUCUCCAGAUUUAUUCUAUAUUGUUUAUUCAAUUUUUAGCUCUACUACACUAUCCUCGCACUACUAUGAUUCUUUUUUAAUUAAGCUCAUAACUAGGAAUUAACCAGUGAAUUCCUACUGUCACCGACUUGAUUAAAAAGCGACAAGUUAAUUUCUUGUGAUGGUUAGGUGCUGCCACAAACUAAAUCUAAAUGUUGCUUCUACUGUGUGUGCGCGUGCACUCAUUUCUGCACCCUACAACAGUCAAGUGAACAUCGACAUUGAUCACUCAAAACAUUCUUAGAAAGGGGAUCAUGAAAGGGAAAAUAAGAGGAUGUCAGGAAUUUAUUUGUACAAGAUUUGCACAAAGUAUGUUUAUUUAUUUUUUUUGUUUUCAGAAUGAUGCAUGUGCAAAUGAGACAAGGCAAACAUUAGCCAAACAGUGUUCAAUACAACUAGGAAGGGAUCAUUAAGAUGAGUAGCAUACACAGGAAGCUUGAGCUAUUAGCUGUACAUGUAAAUCUUAGCAAGUUAAUAUUUGGGAUUUAAUUCUCAGCAUGACAUGUCUAUUAUAUACAUAGAUCUAGUACAAGACAGAGAUGGACAUGCACAGUACACAUGCAUCACUUAACCACCAUGUACUAAUUUGUCUUCAUCUAAUAUAUGUGCUUUCUUUUUCUAACCAUCAUUCUUCUUUUUACAGAGUAACUAGAGUCCAAAAGAGCAGGUGUUCAUGUUCUAAGCAAAGGUGAAGAUGGAUCAAGCAAACAAAGCUGCAAAAGCAAGGCACUUGAAUAGUACCUGAUGGCAACUCAGCAUCCGACCAAAAGAGUGGAUGGGGAUGGUGGGGAGAGCUUGGUUCUCUCUUGUGCGUGUUGUGUGCAGUAGAGGAAGUCAAAGGUGAAAGGAGGAGGCUGCUAUUUAUAGUAGUGUAGGGUGCUAGGUCGGUUUGGUAAAAGAGAGAUGAUGAGAAAAAGGGUUUCCCCCCGCUUUAUAGAUAAAGCAUCACCGAACAACCGAAUCCUGCCGAUACAAACACACACACCACACACCACACACACCCAAGGCUGGAUACAAGGACGCUGAUAACAGCAACACUACCCCGACAAAAUCCUAGCCAACAUCAGAUGAACACAAUCAGUACUACUACGAUGAUGUCGGGGCCCUCAACCAUGGGCGGGCCACCGCGAAGAGGAGAAGCCGAGUAGGACGAACAAUGAGCUCCAAAGGGGCGCCUUCAGCAAGGAAACGACACCAUCGUGUCGCCACCGCCCAAUCCAAGGAUUAGAGUUUCCCUCGGAGCACUCCGACGACAAAUGAGAUGCCGCGACGGCGCCUUCAAGAAGGGGACGACGCUGGAACGCCGCCGCCGUCGGCCUGGCAGAGCAGAACGGGUUUUCACCCCGGCCAACACUCAUCGUCACCGGAUUGGAUGAACGACCCACCCCGGUCAACACGCCGCCCACACGACCAUGCUGACCGGACAACGCCCGAGCCGCGUGCUCCGCCCAAGAGCACCCCGGCUACCACCAACCGGGCCGCCGCCACGGCAUCCGAGCCCCACCCUCAACCAGGACACACCGAACGGACGCGGCUGACCAGAACGAAGCGGAAGCUCGCCUUCCACCCCAAAGUCGACACCUUGGCAUGAUCGGUGACCUCGGCGGCCGGAUCAGGGCCAGGGGAACUCCGGCGGCCACCCGCGGCAGCCGCCAGAUGCAACGGAGGGGGCACCCUGCCCCUUCCCGGAGUCCCCUGCCACCACCAGUAGGCCUCGCGCGCACCACCACACCAUGGCGCCACCCCGGCCUGACGAGCCCGUCGCUGAGUCCAAAGAAGAGGGAGGGAGCUCACCCGAGUCCGACGCAGACGAACAGCCGCCGGAGAGAGCCGCCGUUGCCGCGUGCAGAUCGGACAACCACCAGGCCGCAGCAGCGCCGCUGCAGCCCACCCCACUCCGAGGUCAAGACCGACCUCGGCCACCGCCCCGCGCCGCCCGCCGACAUCCAGGAGCCGGAUCCGGGAGGAUGGGGCCGGAUCCGCGCGAGCACGCCACCGCCCAGAUCGGGAAACCCCGCGGCCGCCACGCCGCAGACGAGCUCGCCGUUCGACGUCGCGUCNNNNNNNNNNNNNNNNNNNNNNNNNNNNNNNNNNNNNNNNNNNNNNNNNNNNNNNNNNNNNNNNNNNNNNNNNNNNNNNNNNNNNNNNNNNNNNNNNNNNNNNNNNNNNNNNNNNNNNNNNNNNNNNNNNNNNNNNNNNNNNNNNNNNNNNNNNNNNNNNNNNNNNNNNNNNNNNNNNNNNNNNNNNNNNNNNNNNNNNNNNNNNNNNNNNNNNNNNNNNNNNNNNNNNNNNNNNNNNNNNNNNNNNNNNNNNNNNNNNNNNNNNNNNNNNNNNNNNNNNNNNNNNNNNNNNNNNNNNNNNNNNNNNNNNNNNNNNNNNNNNNNNNNNNNNNNNNNNNNNNNNNNNNNNNNNNNNNNNNNNNNNNNNNNNNNNNNNNNNNNNNNNNNNNNNNNNNNNNNNNNNNNNNNNNNNNNNNNNNNNNNNNNNNNNNNNNNNNNNNNNNNNNNNNNNNNNNNNNNNNNNNNNNNNNNNNNNNNNNNNNNNNNNNNNNNNNNNNNNNNNNNNNNNNNNNNNNNNNNNNGGCCGUCUCGCGCCAGCCGCGGAGCACGAGGGGGAGGAAGAAGAGGCCCCGCCGCCGCCCCCACCGGCCGGGCUUCGCCCGCCGGCGUCGCUGGGCGGCGGCGAGGGAGGAGAGCAGAGGAGGGGGAGGUGGGUUACGGCGGCUAGGGUUCCCCCCUGUCGCUCGCGAGAGCGACACGGGAGGGGACGGGGGUAGAUAAAUACAUAUGGAGCCGAGUCGUAAAAGAGAGAUGUGGCUGACAUGCCUGGUUGCAUGAGCAUGCAAGCCUCCACAUGUAAUCAUGUGAGUUGUACAACGGACAAGUGUAUAGUGCAUGGUUGGACACGAGUUGGCAUAUACUUUGUGUGUAAGGAAUGAGACAAGGGCCUAAUUGUAAAUCUGCAAACUAUAAGGGAGUUGGAGAAGAACCAAUGUACAUGGCUAAAUACUAACUUUUUUUGUUGCAAUAAAUUUUUGAUAUUAGUGUUGUGGUUAAUUAUAAUUAUUCAACUAACUAUGCCUUCUGACACUGGUGUAACAUAGCGCCGUCAAAAAUAUCAUUAUCUAAUUUUAAGGGUUUUUACAGUAGCCAUGAUAGUUUCAUUUAUAUUUGAUGGAAUGUUGUAACGAGAUAAUUUUAAGGCAAGACACAUGAAUCAUAAGUUGAAACCUUUUUUUUCCUGCAGGAACCAAAGUUGAAACCUUCAUAGCUUCACAGUACAAUUUCAUUAAAAUUAUGCGUACAUAUAAACAAAUCAUGAAGGAUUGAUAGUAAUGCCAGAAACAAUUCAACUUCGUUUCGCCGACAUGUUGGACAUCCUUCAAUCGGCUUCACCUGCCAUGCAGCAAUAUUGAGUGCACAACACAACUGCAGGGAAAGAUUCACCCCGGUCGUUGCGCCACAGUAGUAAUGACUAGUGAGCAGUCAAAUCAUAGAGCCCCACCUUUGCCAUAGUAAGUUGCUCGGACGAAGCAACCAUCAUUUCUCUGUUCCUUAAAUCCACUGGUACUCCCAUAUUCCCACAGUAAUAAGUUGCUCGGGCGAAUCAACAAUCACUUCACCUUUCCCUCAGUAAGUACUAGUACCUCCUUUUUUUACUCUAGAAACAACCACAAGCGAAUAUUGGACGGUAGCAGCACGACAACUGAAUAAAAAAAUUCUAUAGUAUGAGAAUAAUUUUGAACGUAAGCCAUUGAUUCACUCUAUCCAAUGGUCAUAGUUCGAAAAUCCAAACAAAACCAAGCAUUGGAUCAACUCUUUUAGCACUCAGAUUGUUGCCGCCUACUCAACUGCCUCCCCACCUAUAUAUCCGCUGACGUGUGAUGACCACAUGAGCUAUCCGUUCAGAUCGUAUGUUAAAAAAUAGAGGUCGAUAACUAAUGCAGCACCUCGGGCCAACGCGGCCAUAUCGCAUUUUGCACGAGAAAUUACGCACCAUGUUUCGUUGACAUGUGGUCCUGUUCUAACAUGUCAGUGAGACGAUGGCAAGUCCUUUUCUACUAGUAUUUCCGAACAGACGUGUAGGCCGGGGCACCUCUUAGUGUACCGUGGCAAACUGGCAACCGUCCACCGACUCUUCGCCUUUCCCUCUCGAUUUGGAACUGCUGUCGCACGCUCUUCCUACCUCCUUCAUUUGCCUUGACCCUUCCUUCUGCCAUUGUUUGAUCGUCUUCUCCAUGGAGAGAACAGGGCCGAAACGACCCCGUUAUUCUUGCCUCGAUCUGAAAGAUGACAUGGUGUGAUGUCAUCACCUCGGCUAGCAUGGCAGGUUCGUUCAAAACCAUUCUCGACUCAACUAAUAACAUCAUUAAAAGGAACCCAAGGGUCCAGGAGCGGUUUGAUCUCCCCUAUCUUCUUCGCUGUGACCCUGAUGACUGGCGUGGGACGACGGAGGCCUCACCUUGUGUAAGUUGAUGCCGCUUGAUAAUGAUACGUAUGAUGUUAAGAUGCCAUCGCUUGAGGGCAAGGAUUGGGCAGGCGCAAAUAGAGAUUGGGUUGUUUAUAUUGGGUACAACUGCGAGUGGGAACUUGUGAAUGUGUACACUCGUCACCGGGUUCCACUUUGAAAAAUCUCAGCAGACUUCCCAAAGGUUGAGCACAUCGGUAUUCUACGCACGUUCAAAUACGAUCAUGGUGUCUGUCUUCUAUGGAAGAUAGCAAUUCGUCGAGUUCCCAACCGCUCUUGGAAUUACAAGAACUAUGAAGUUGUUGUUAUCUUCGACAAGCUUGUUGCCAUCCUUUGUGGUUCGACUCAAUGGAUAUUGCUCAAAAAUCAGUUUCUAUACAAGGAUGUGUACUGUGAUGCAAUUCAAUACGAGGGUCCUGUGUUUUUGCAUGGGAUACUCGUAGUUUCGAUACGUUUUUCUUCCGCCGUAAUUAUAAUUGUUUCAUCCACAUGCAUGCAGGUUUGCAAGUCUCCCUUUACUAAUUAACCUUCUUCUUGUGUUUCCAAGGUCCUGUGAACAUUCCACCACCUAUACUUGAAAAUUUUUAUAACCAAGGGGGAGAUGACGAUGGUGAUGAUCACGAGCAUGAGGAUGAGCAUAACUUAUAUACUUAGUGGCGCCUAGCAACUAAUUCCGAUGGAUCACCUCUUCUUGUCUGUAUACAGCGCACUGAGUUUGUUACUACUGAGGGAGCAUGUGUUGUCUCCCAUGGUCGCACUCUCCAGACCUAUUCCAACACUCGUUGCAUGGUAUUCAGGAUGGAUACUAGUGUGCUAGCGCCAACACCUUCUCCCUGGUACAAUAUUGAUAGUCUUGGAGAAAACUUGCUCUUUCUUGGACAAAACUAUCCGAUGAUGGUGAAAGGCGAUCCAACUGUCGUUGACACAAUGUUACUACCAUUUAUGAGAAGCAAUUGUAUCUAUACCUCGGACAUUUGGGUGGUUCCCUACCCUGGUACUGAUAUAGUAGGCCGCUUCAGCCUGGAUGAUCACUCCUGCGUUGGUCUCGAGAUUGACAAUAGAUGGCCCGUCCUAGAGAAUCACUUGUGGUUCAAAGCAAGUGUUUCCAACGCCGAGGAUUGGUUGAGUUGAAGUUCAUUUCAUUGCUUGUUAUUUGUUGUGUGAUGAAAACUUUAGUAUUUAUAAUGUAUCCUCAUUGUCAUUGUGGGUUGAUGACCUUCUGUAUGUAAUAAAAUGAUAUGCCUGUGAUAAACUUACUAAAUUUAUGAAUGGCUUUCGAGUCGCUUCUCUGAGUGAGUGCUGCGACGAGGCAAAAAAUAUUUUCCGAAUACAUAGUUGUACGUGCAUUGCAAUAGGUUAUCGGAUGAGGCCAAUCAAUAAUAGUAGUACACUAUUUGUACUAGCUUCACAUGCUUUGCGCACCAAGCGGGUGGUUCUACUAUAGCUGUGAAUCCCAUCAUCCUAGGUCCUCGGAUGAGUCCAGUAGAAAUUGCAUUCUGAUGUUUGGGUUCAAACUUUCAGAACUGCUGCACUAUCUCUACGUCUACGUACACGUAUUACAACAAGUUUUAAACUUGAGACCAGCCACCCACCCGCACAAAGAACACUUUUUAACCUAGCACAGACUCCAGGAAAUUUGGCCAUAGUGUAAGGUGGGCCAUAUGUUAAUGUGUCGCUGUACGUAACCAGCACCUCGAAUCAUCGAUACUACUACUAUAUAAGUAGUAGGAGUAGUAGGGUGACAUGGGCCAGAACAAGCAUUCACGUCCAGGAGUACGACACACGCCACCAGCACGACUUCCAUCUGACACCAUAUUUCUUGGAGUCCGUGCCACAACAAUCUCUUCAACCUCGUCGUUUCUCUAACUCAACCAUCGCGCGUCAGGCGAGGUGGGGGUUUGCCGAUAGUCAGUUUUCUCAACUGCGGUCCCACUUGUAAGGCCAACUCCAACGCACGACCCCAAGCGGACCUCCGUUUUGCUCAGAUUCUGACCGUUUGGGUAGGGCAAUGGGGUUGUGUUCCGGCCAUUUUUAGGAUGUGGUGGCCACGCGCCGAACGCGUGGACGCAUCCCGGCCGCGUACAUUUUUCUUGGCAAACACAUAUCUUUUUUUCAUCAUUGAUUUUUUGGUACAUGGAAAUACAUCACCAAAAUUUUGACUAGAAAAGCAAGACCAAAGAAAACAAGAGCCACAAGAAUACAUUUUAGAAGAUAUCCAACUUCCAUAACUGCUCCUGUAAGUUGGAUUAGUGCCUUCUCAAUGCAUUCAUUGUUGAUCUACAAAGGCUCGAUCUUGCGUCCUGCUUUCUUCUUUGAGUGUAAAGAAGUAGACAUUGCUUCCUCGCAUCUAGUCUCAUGUCUAGCCUCUAUUCUAUCAACAAGUGCACAAGUCUCAUCUCUAGCCUCUAUGCUAGCUAAAAUUGCUAGAGAAUCUACUAAAUUGCGCUCUAUCAAUAUAUCGAUGUACUCUUCUUCCCAAUACCAAAACUUGCAUCCAUUCUACACAACAAAAUUUUAAGUUAGCACAACUAGUCUAAUCCGAGAGCACAACCGAGGAUUUGGUCGAGUUCUUCCUCCUUUUGCCGACACGUGGGACAUCCAGCAUCCAGGUCGUGUCAUGCAAGAAAAUAGAGUGGUAGUCGAAGCCACGUGAUGUACAUUUGGGUUAAAAUGUAAAUAGAAUCUUACUACUCUUGAGUAACUCCAAAAGCGACAACCGAAGAUCUUUAUUGAAUUUGUUUUUCAUCACCAGCACAUCGAGGUGAAAGAUGUGCAGGUUCAGUGGGUCCUCUUGCAUUUUCACUGACAUGUGGGACCACAUAUGAGCAAACAGACGAUGGGCUCCACACGUCUGCUGGCUGGCUGAGAAGAAAGAUAGAGGAGGGCUGAGCACAGACUCUAGAAAAUUUGUUCUACAUAACCAGCACCUCGAUAUUUGUGUGUGGUUGUUUCUAGAAUAAAAAAGAAGGUACUCCUAUUUAUGUUACUUCCACUACGCCUAGCCUAAGGUUAGUAGGUGACCUUGCGCUUGGCUCUUCGCCUCUUCCAGAAGUCGAACGUUCUACAGUAGUACUUCUGGCAAUCUGACACCAAAUGAACUGCUGCACGUCCACCGCUUGUAAGUAAAAGUUUCUCCUCGUGCUGCGAGCCACCACACAUGCGUUGGCGAGGGAGAAGGCGUAAUCAAGCUUCUCGUCGUUCUGCGACUUGACGGGACACAUCAAAGUUAUUUAGUAUGUACUCUCUCAAAAAAAAGGGUUGACCAUGUCAUGGCUACCAUCCCGUGCUCCAUCGUUGAGUACGUGCACUAUUCACAUGCCAUCGAGGAGAAAUAAUAUUGUGUAGUAGGUGUCAUCAAAGUGCAUGACUCACUUACGCAUUGCUUAUCUGAUUAUCUCCAUUUUCUUGCAUGACAUGUGCACCUUGAUGCUAGAUGUCUCGCGUGUCGGGAAACGGAUGAACAAAGCUCACGUAAAAGAAAAGAGUUGAAGAACAUAGAUUUCAGACGACCGAGAAGGAGCAAGGAACCUCGUGGUGGAGCGUCUGCAAGGAACAUUGCAUGUUUUCCCCUGUUUUUUGCCGCCUUCCCACCUAUAAACAAAUAAAAGAACUUGAACUCUUCGCUAACCACUAGAAAUGAUGCAUCAGGAUGCUAAGUUGAAGAUGUUUUAUAUUUUAUAUUGAUAACCACGCAGCCAGCCACACAUGUAUAGAACGCAUGCAGCCACGCAUGUACACACGCCAACACACUAACUCCAUCCGAUCCAACUCAUGCACAUACGCGCAUAGUAUGGAGCACACAAUGCACGUACACAACACGUGCAUGCACACACACUCGGCCGCAGAAUGCACGUGAAUAACACAUGCUUGUGUACACACUCGGCUGCAUGGAGGCGUGCGCCAUCUGUGGCGACGUCCAGUUUGUCGUGCUAAGGAGAAGCUCACACGCAACGGCGCCUACACAUCUCUUGCAGCACCUCUUUGCCGUCGUUGCUCAACGACUAGUCAGAGACGAAGACGACCGCAGCCUCGGCCUUAGAGCUAGCACUGAUGGAAAAACACGCACGUUGCAUGCACAUGAGCAUGUACGAAGUGCCCAUGAUGUGGUGCAUCCCCAGUUGCCUCUACUCCUUUAGCGCAUGUUGUCUAUCAAGGCGGCUGCAUGCCUAAUGAUGAUGUGGAUGAGAUCUUCUAGGACUCAUAUGAUGACGAGAAAAAUUAUGAGACACAAGGUGACGUACACCAUCAAGGUCCACAGUCAAGGGGUGCUAAAUGCUAAGUGCUUAGAUGUGCUUAGAUGAGGUGCUAAGUGCAUUAAAUGGCUUAGUAACUCAAUUCUUCAUUGCAUAGGUGCUUAGUUUAUUGUUGCUAAGCUUGCUUUAUUUAAUUAGCUAUAGACUCAAAAAUGUCUUUCCCGUUUCUUCCCGCGGUCACCAAACUAGUAUCUCUCUUUUUAGUUAACUUGCCACAUCAUAUUUUAUGCCUCCGUGGCAGGCUUAGCAACUAUACAUGGUGGAGCACUGGUAGAGGCCCAGGCUAGUCAUAGUGGGGAGUAACUUAUACUGUAACAUAUUACUAUGUUACUCUAAACAUCUCUAUAAACCGGAAAGGAGGGAGUAGAAACAUAGACUAGUGUCAUAUGCAGAGUAUGGGAGAACAUGAUAUUUCCACAUCCGGACAGCCCAAGUUGGCUUCUCACCUUCUUGGCCCAACAAAAACCCCUCCCCCUCCCGCGCGCGCUUCCCGCCCGGCGCCAGCUGAGCCCGCCACUCCACAUUGAUGGCAAGUCAGGGCGACGCAACCUCUCACUACUUCCUCCAUUGAAGCGGCACGCCGACCGAGGGCACCACCCGCUGCACGUCCGACAUUUCAGACUACACAGUGGAGAGUAACUUUAGAGCAAGUACUACAAUUAGAUGACAUAAGCAAGCUAUAAGGAUUUAAAUAUAGUAUUUGUGCUUAGUUGAAGGAGAGAGAAGAGGAGAGAGAAGAGAAGUAGAUUGUAAACUUGUAACCGGUUGUAGCAGGAGGCCCAACAUACUUUGUUAGACAAAAGGUGGGGCCAUUAUUAAUGAUAUAGUAUUUAUAAUAAAGGGACUAACGGACACCUUAAUUACUCCGGUUUUUUCAAACAAACCUUGGUGGGGCUAUUAUUGACUUGGACGUGGGGUUUGGGGGCCAAAGGCCUACUAUUAUACUUGGUCUUACUCGCACGACCGACCUGACAUGCUCUACCCUAGCCGCCGCUGUAUCAUAUGGUUUCGCACCGUUCCAGAUCUUAGCGUCUCCACAUAAUUCUUCUCCAGCCCUUCUUCCGGCGUGCUCCGCGAGAAGGGACAGCAGUCCUCCGAACCCCGCCUUUCGUGAUCCUGUACGGGAGAGGGGCGAUCAGGUUUUUGGGUAGCACACUCCUGUGACUGCUGCCAGCGACGACUUCCUUAAUGACAGCCUUCUUCCCCGACCUCGGUAACCUCUUCAUCAGCGGCAUGAGUGACAACAUCAACCACAUCGGUUCUGCUCCCACUGUACAGUAUGUGAUUCUGUCCUCCUGGUUUAGUCCGCGUCAUUACUUUGAUGUUUUCAAUUGUCGUCAUGAUCUAUUUACUGCUGAUUCAGAUUAAUUCUCAUAGUAAAUUGCUCAUAUAAUUCAACAAUCCAAUCCAAAAACCUGAUUAUAGGCAAUUUACUCCGAGUGGUUUUGCUGCACUUUUGAAGCCGCCUACUUUUAUGGGGGUGCAAUAUAAAAGGUGGCACACAAGAGUAGUAUAUUGGUUUCAGAUCAUGUACUACUAUGACGCCACUAAGGGUAAGCAUAAGGGCGAUAUUAAUCCUACACAGCAGGAAGCUUUUGAGAACAUGGAUACCCUCUUCAAAGCCGCCCUGCAGAGUGUUCUUAACGAUUCCAUUGUGGAUUCAUAUAUGUCGUUUGACAGCGGCAAAGACAUGUGGGUUGCGCUCGAGGCCACGUUUGGGCCCUCGGGCGCUGGCAACGAGUUGUACGUCAUGGAGCAAUUUUGUGACUACAAGAUGACUGAUGAGCGCUCUGUUGUUCAGCAGACUCUUGAGAUACAGUCACUCCCUAAGGAACUUGAGUACUUUAAGUGUGUGUUGUCGGACAAAUUUGUUGCUGGGACCAUCAUUGCCAAGCUUCCACCUUCGUGGAACGAUUUUGCUACUUCUCUGAAAAACAAGAGACAUGAGUUUUUUGUUUUGGAUCUCAUUAGCACUCUUGAUUUUGAGGAGAAGGCGAGAGCAAAAGACACACAUGCUCGGGUCACUGAGGGAGCUUCUAGUGCCCACCUGGUACACGAGAACAACUUCCAGCCCAACCAGCCCCAAAACAACAAGAACAAAUCUAAGGGGAAAGGCAAGUUUGAUGCAAAGAACAAGCUGUCACAUUCUACCAACUUCAAGAAGAAUUCUCAUAAUACGAAGGGAUACAAACCUCAAUUUUGGUAGCACCGCACAAAAUUUAUAUGGCUGCAUCUACCUGCUGCCAGCUAACCUCAUGGUGCUCCAGGUAUUCCUACAUUCGUAACUAGGUACAAUGACCACCGCAAGAUGAAAUUAGCUUAUUCGUACGUUGACUUGCUGAAUGCAGUGCGGAACGAUCCUAUCAUGUGUGCAGGAGCAAAUAAGCAGUGUAGUCGAAGGUGGAAAUCAACCAAGGACUUAUGAAAUUAUAUAUAAUCUUCCUCAGGCAGGUCAGUAUCCCCUUCAUCCAGAUGAUCGUGUUUUGUCAUGCCGAGCUAUUGAUAUAUGCUACUGUUUUGCAACACUGUUUAAGUAUAGCUACUGUUUUUCUAUCUUUUCAGAUUCAGGACAAUGAAGAUGAUUUCAGGGGAACUGCAUAAUAUGGACUCAUGUUGGGUCAUCUCUAUUGCCUCAUGUGUUUGCUGCAAAUGUGUCAGCAUCAAUUGCAAGAUGAGGCAGCUAGCUAGUUGUGGAGUUGCCAACAUGCUCAAAGUGCUCGCAACAUUGAGAAGAAACAAGCAUGCCCAGAAAAUUAAUGCGUGCGCAGGGAGGCCCUUUGCUCAGAGAAGCAUCGAUCGAUUUUCUUUAUUUCCACACCUUCUCACAGCUUUGUAUUGGUUAUAGUAUGGUGUAUCAUUGAGAUGCAUAAACAUGCUGAACUUUUGUUCUUCUGAAUGUUAGUAUGCAUACCGUAUCUUCUGAAGCUUAGUUUAAUGUGAGUGUCUGCAUCCAGUACCGCAUCCUCUAAUUUGGUGGAUGCCAAGUUGAAAAAGGUUACCAAUGAGUAGCCAUAAGCUAGAGGCGUCUCUUUUUUUUCUUUCGAAUGGGCAAUAAGCUGGAGAGUGUCUCGGGCGGCCUCUAGCACAAGGCCCUCUAGUACGAAAACGGGCAGCCGACUGGGCCAAUACAAAAGCCUAUCCGUCUUAAAGCCCAUUUGUUUUUGUUUUUUGCAAGGAGAAGCCCAUGUUUCUAGAAGAGGGGUGAUGCGGAGCAUCCUACGGUCAUCUCCAUGUACACCUUCAUAGCACAUCAAGCCCCAAGUGGACCUACCGGAGUUAAGGUGAACCCGCUCUUCUUCGAGAAUAUCAUGAAUAUCCAUUGGACUUGCUUGCUACCUCACCAAAGAGCUCUAUGUGUCCUUAGAUAUGAAGACCGACGACCACAAGCUGGUGAGGAACACCCCAAAGGAGUAGGAGAAGGACCCCAAGGCCACAAGGAGAAAGAAGGAGUGCAACAAGACCAAAUCUGCACCUCCCAGGCGACCCCGUGCCCACGGGCCCCGAAGACCCCGUGUGCACGGGCUACUCAGGGAGCUGGCGCUGGAGCACCCCGUGCGCACGAGCCAGUACCGUGCCCAUGGGACCCCCGUGCGCACGGGCCCAACUUACCCCGUGCGCACGGGCUCAUCAGGAUGGGCGGCUGUGAUCCCCAAUCCGAGCCCCUCUUCACUCACUUCGACCCCAAGACUAUAUAUUCUGUACCUAGACCAUUUGUUAGGGGAAGCAAAGUAGUUGAUACACAUUGGUGAGCUUUGCUCCAUGGAUUCACUCCUCUAGGAGAUCAAGACCUCCUCUUGGAGUGACCAAACAUCAAGACCUCCUUCUUGGGGAAGGAUCCCAAUCAUAGGAUCAUCAAGCCCUCAUCUCCUUCAUAGGAUUUGGGAUGAACUCUACCAUGUAUCUUAUUUCCCUUUGUUGUUCAUGUACCUUGUGGAUCUUAUGUGUUUGAUUGUCUAGUGGAUGUGUGAUUUGACUUGUUCUUGAGUGCUCUUCUUGUUUUCCCUCCUUUGUUCAUCUUGUUCUUGGGGAUUCCACCUCCAAUUCAUGAAAGAUCUUCUCUAUAGGGUUCCACCCUACAUCAUAUGGUAUCAAGAGCCAGGUUUCUCAUGAAAUUGGAGCCCCCCUCUUAGUUUUCUAGCAUAAUUUUGCUUGUUCUUGCCCAAUUUCGAAAAUCCCCACAAAAAUCUACAUCAUAUGGUAUCAUGAGCCAUGGUUUCUCACGAAAUUGGAGCCCCACUCUUUGUUUUCUAGCUUGAUUUUGUUGUUCUUGUCCUAAAUCCGAAAAUCCCCACCAAAAAUAGCCCCAAUUUUUUUUUGUGAUUUGUUGGUUUAGUGUGAUUUUGUUGGAUUUGAUCCAUGAAUUUGGUGUUUAGCGGCUUCUGAAUCAUCAUGCCAAGGUGGAUAUCAUUACAUCAACAUUACAUAAUAGAUGGGGAUACAUACAUAAGGCAUACAAUGCCACACGAAUACAUCAUCACAAUACAUAAGAGCAUCAUCCGACUACGGAUGAAACACAAACAGAAGCUCAAACGACAUCCACCCUGCUAGCCCAGGCUGCCGACCUGGAACCUAUCCCCUGAUCGAAGAAGAAGCAGAAGAAGAACUCAACGCAAGCAAGCAUCACUCUCGCGUCAUGAUCAUCGAUUAACUUGUACCUGCAACUGUUGUUGUAGUAAUCUGUGAGCCACGAGGACUCAGCAAUCCCAUUACUAUGGGUAUCAAGACUAGCAAAGCUUAAUGGGAAAGGAAGGGGUAAAGUGGUGAGGUUGCAGCAGCGACUAAGCAUAUAUGGUGGCUAACAUACGCAAAUAAGAGCGAGAAGAGAGCAAGCAGAACGGUCGUGAAGCUAGCAAUGAUCAAGAAGUGAUCCUGAACUCCUACUUACAUCAAACAUAACCCAAAACCGUGUUCACUUCCCGGACUCCGCCGAAAAGAGACCAUCACGGCUACACACACGGUUGAUGCGUUUUAAUUCGGAUCUGGUGUCAAGUUAUGUACAACCGGACAUUAACAAAUUCCCAUCUGCCUAUAACCGUAGACACGGCUUUCGAAAGAUUAUACCCUGCAGGGGUGUCCCAACUUAGCCCAUGAUAAGCUCCCGCGAUCAACGAAGGAUAUACCUUCUCCCAGGAAGACCCGAUCAGACUCGGAAUCCCGGUUUACAAGACAUUUCGACAAUGGUAAAACAAGACCAGCAAGACCUCCCGAUGCGCCGACAAUCCCAAUAGGAGCUGCACAUAUCUCGUUCUCAGGGCAACACCAGAUAAGCUAAGCGUACAGGUACCGACGUAACCCAAGUUGCCAAGGGAUGGUCCCGCACGGUGCUCUAGUUUGGACCAACACUUAGACAAGCAUUGGCCCGGGGGGACUGUAAUAAAGAUGACCCUUGGGUUAAUUACUCCCAAGGGAAAUAUAGGUGGUGGUGAGGCAAAUGGUAAAACCAAUGUUGGGCCUUGCUGGAGGAGUUUUAUUCAAAGCGAACUGUCAAGGGGGUCCCAUAAAUCACCCAACCGCGUAAGGAAUGCAAAAUCCGGGAACAUAACACCGGUAUGACGAAAACUAGGGCGGCAAGAGUGGAACAAAACACCAGGCAUAAGGCCGAGUCUUCCACCCUUUACCAAGUAUAUAUAUGCAUUAAUUAAAUAAGAGAUAUUGUGAUAUCCCAACAUAAUCCUGUUCACCAUGGAGCAAUCUUCAACUUCACCUGCAACUAGCAACGCUAUAAGAGGGGUUGAGCAAGGCGGUAACAUAGCCAAACAAUGGUUUGCUAGGAAGGGUGUCAAAGGUUAGAGGUUCAUGGCAAUUUGGGAGGCAUGAUGAGCAAAAGAUAGGUAACGUAGCAAAGCAAUAGAACGGAGCAACUAGCAUAGCAAUGAUAGUAGUGAGAUCCAGGGUAGCGGUCAUCUUGCCUGAAAUCCCGCAAGGAAGAAGAACGAGUCCAUGAAGAAGACGAACGGAUGAAGCUGAACCAAGUGUAGACGAACGAGUCCUCACGAUCGCAACGAAACAGGAACUAUCGAGAAGAAGCACACAACAAGGUAAACACACCACACAUAGACAAGACAUGAUGCACAACCAAGCAUGAUGCAUCUCAAGACUACUCAUGGCAAGAGAUGAUGCAAACAAGAGCAGCACAUCAAAGCAAGUUUAAAUGAGGCCGGGAACAACAUAUAACAAUUCCGGUAAGUCCUCAUAUGCAAGUUUCGAAAUUGGUCCAGAUCUGAAUAAACCUUAUGUUCAAGUUGUUAAACAGCAAGUUAAGAUGCACCAAGAUGAUCUACACAAGAUUCUAGUCAAGUUACAUAUAAAGUUCAUUUAAUUCGGAGCUACGGCCUAGAAGAUAUGAGCAAAACAAGUUAAACAUGGCAUUGGUGCAAAAUGCACCCCAAACAUCAAGCAAACACCUUAAAACAUGGAUGCAACAUGAUAAUAUGAAGCUACAUGCAAAAUCAAGCAAGUUUCAUAUAGAGCACACUCAAAACGGAGCAACGGUUCAACACACACAUACUAUACAAGUUAUAGCAACAAUCUGUCCAAAACAGCAACUAGGCAUAUUGCAAGCACCAAAACAAUAUGCUACAGCAUCACAAUAUGAAAACAAAAGACAUGGGCAUGAUGUACAGGUAAAGCAUAACAAAACAUGAACACUGAGCUAACUCCAGAAAUCACUAGAACAUGCUCAAACACACAUGGCAAGAUUGCAAAUAAUAACAGUUCAGACUUUGCAGAAAAUAACAUCAGGUUGCAAUAUUUAGAGCUAUCAAACAAUAUGUUACAGGAACUUAUCAUGGCAAAUAAAGGCAUGGCAUGAAUCUACUAAUUGCAUAGAUCAAAAGUCCCUUACUGACCAUGAGCCAAAAAGGGUCAGAAAAUAUGAUGGCACCCAUGUAAACAUAGCAAGUUAUAUUACACAUUCAAACAUGGCAGGAACAACGAUAAGUAGGCAUGUAGAUGAGCUUGUACCACUCACCACAGAGCAAUACAUGGCAUGGCAAGGCAACCAACAGUAAGAAGACAUGUUUGUGAAGCUAAGCAUGGCAAUAGCAAGUUCAUAGGGUACAUGAAUCACUAGCAACAAUCAUGGCAACAACUGAACUUAAUGUUAACAGGCUGACAGCAACAAUAUUUAGCAACUUUGGAGCAAUAUUACAACAAUCUACAGCAAGCUAUAAAUGCAACCAGGGGCAUGGGUGGACAGAGCAUGACAUGUAUAACAAAACACCCUUAAUGGACAUCUCCUGAUUAUGCAUAGAAUGAUUUGUAGAAGCAGGUUUACAUAGCAUCACGAAAUAACAGAUUCAGCCUAGCAAAACAGUACAGCAAGUACACUACUUAACAAGCUCGAUUCACUCACCACAAGUCAUUGCAUGACAAGAUAAGCAUAGCAUCAUCAAGAAGGCAUGUUUAUGAAACAAACCAAGGCAAGAACAAGUUCAUAGCAUGUAAGGAUCAACUACAACAACCUUGGCAAAAUUGAAUAACAUGUAAACAAUCUGCCAGGAAACAUUUUGUAGCAAAGGUAGAGCACGAAACUGAUAUGCUAGACUACCCCAUAAUUGCAAACAGAGGCAUAAAUGGACAGAGAACAACCAUAUAUUCAAAACACCCUUAGUGAAGUAUCUCAAAAUAUGCAUGGAUCUCUCUGUAGCAUCAAGUUUACAUGGCAUCAAAAUAACAACAGAACAGGGACUAAAAUCAGCAACAUUACGAAGCCUAGUUUUCGUGCUUGUGCUAGUCACCACAUUGAUCACAAAAAUACAUGGUAAGCACCUCCGUGAAGAAGACAUGCCAUAGAUCAAAACACAUGUAGACAUCAACCUCAUAGGAUGCACACAUCAAUCAUGGCAAAAAUGACAAAAGAGCAAGUUCUGUUAACAGACAACAGACAACAUCAUGAAGCACGCUUGCAACGAUGAUUCAGGCAUCAAGAUGAGCUCAAAUGAACAUGAUGCAAUGGAAUAAAAUGAAGAACUCGUUGAGGCAAACAAUUUGACAUAUUACACGCACGAAACUGAGCUACGGGUGCAGAGAUACAGUGCGAUGAACAUGGCAUGAUUAUGUCAGGGAUUCGGGGACUUAGUGAAAUCGAGGUCAACCUGCGGAUCUGCACGGUUUGCGAGGUACGCCGGAGUUGCCGGAGAACACGCCGGAGUUGCCGGGGACGAUGCUGGGGAGGCGGAUCCGGGGCUAUACCAAGGCCACUUGGCAAGCCUCGGGUCAUUCCGAGAAAGUUUAACACCCGCCCACAACAGGAGACAAAAAGGGGAACGCCGGAGGGCAUAGAAGUGUCGGAUCGCAAAACGGACAACGGGGAAAAUGCUCGGAUGCAUGAGACGAACACGUAUGCAAAAUGAAAUGCACAUGAUGACAUGAUAAAAUGCAGCACGCAAGCAAAUGACAUGGCAAUGACGACAAAUAACUGGCAGACAGCUGGCGCAUUGAAUUCGGGGCGUUACGACACUCCUCCACUAUCAAGAGAUCUCUUCCCGAGAUCUUAGGACCGAGACGGAAGAGAAAAAGGAAGAGGGAAACAAGAACUCAAGAGAAGAAGCAAAGAAUCGAGAGCACUUGAGAAGAAGAGAGGAACAACGAGAAUGACGAGAAUGGAAAGCUCACGGAAUCAGAUAGAUUAUGAAAGCACUCCGGUUAGAAUGAGAUAAGAAACGAAUAAGACUGAAAGGAUUUAGGCAAACUCCGAUUGAACAUGGAAAGAAUAGAACACGAGCUUGAGAGGAUGGAAUGAUACUUGAUGAAGGCAUGACACAAAACCUCCGGAAAGAAUUGAAAGAGUUGAAUGAAAAGAACGGAGAAGAAAAUGACAACUUGUGCCAUGAAUGAAAUAGAAAGCAACCUUAGAAGAAAAGAUUGAAUGGAGUUGUUGAGAAAAUUCAACAACGAAAAGAAUAAGCUUGUCGUGGACUUAUGGAUAACAUCUCAGAAAUUAUGAGGUGAUAACCAGCCGCAAACGAAAAUGAUUGGAUAACUUAGAAGAACGAAGAAAUGCAAAACUCCACUUCAAAAGUAUACAGAGGAUUAAUUGCACUUCGAGACGCAAGAAGAAAAGAUACUUGAACUCCACCCACAAAAUCUUGAUGAACUCUUGAAGAAAAGAUUAAAUCAUGAAGAACCACCAUGAAGAACUCUGGUAACAAAAGGAUGAUGAGAUAGAAGAAGGAAAAUAAUAAGAUGAGCAUUGCGAUGAUUUAGAUAGAGGUUCCGACGUAAUGGCUGAGGAAAAUUUGAACUCCGGAAAAGAAAAGGUGAACAACUUGGAAUCGAGAAAUUAUUCAACAUGAAUAAUCUCCGAAGAAAGGGGUUAUUUACUUGAACGCAAUAAGAAUAAGAUUUAUUGUAUGCUUAUACUUCAUCAAAUUAAAUUGAUGACAAGCAAUGGAUUUUGCAUACUACUUAUUCUUCUUGAAAAGGAUUGAGAAGUGACAAAUCACAAACUUGAGAAGCUCUUCAUGAACCACCGUUAGGAUUGAAAGAACGAAUGGAUUGAUACGAUAACAAAGGAAAAGAAUCUGAAUGAACCGCCGUAAGAAUUAGAAAAUGAUUGAUGAAAGAGAAUGAAUCACCGGGAAGAAUUAGAAGAACCAAUAUGCUCGAGGGGAUUUAGAUGCAAAAGGACAAGGAGAUCAUGAGCUGACUAAAAAACACUUGAACGGAGCACCGGGAUAAUUGGAUAACGGUAGCUGAAACAUGAGGACGAAGAAUUCUUCUAGAACGAUGGCCUCCGGUGAAAAGAAACAUAAAUCAACUCCUGACAAACUCCGAAUGGUUAAGAAAAGAAUAUCUGACAAAUGGAAUAAUUCGAGAGAAUAACAUGAAGCUAGAACCACGAAACUUCGAGAGAACGGACAAGGUUUAGAGGAAAACUCUUCUUCGGUAUUCAAAGCUGAGAAAGACGACGAGAAACACCACCGAAAUUACUGAGAUACUCCGGGAGAAUGGAAAGCAAAGAGGUUGAGCCAACAAUGAAAAGAAUUUGAAAAUGAUCUUGGAGAAGGCAUGUGACUGAUGGAAUCCAUUCUUACGUCAACUCUGAAAAGGAUUUGAUAUAACUCCGGGGGAAUUAGAAGAGUCAGGUAAGAUCCUGGGAGAAGACCUGUGGAUUAGGGCCCACUAACGAGAAAACACCGUUGAAAAGGAUUGUUGAAAAGAUAGAUGAUGCACCCGAACAAUUGAAAUAUUUGAAUGAGGUGACAACCUCGAAUAAAUUCGAACACAGACGAAUCUCCUGAGAUGACUUGAAUACUCCGGAAGGAUAAACUGGCGAGAGGAGAACGAGCAAGGAAAAACACUUGAGCCGAGGAAAAGAAUAUAAUCACUACUGAAAAACUUGAAUUGAAUCCACCGGAAAAAGAAAGGGAUGAAGAAUGACGAACGAGACGAGAAUUCACCAGUUGAAACAAUUGACGAAAGACUGAAGGGGCUCCACACGAAUGAAAAUUAAUGGCCGAGAGAGAGUCAAACUCCGGGAAGAAAAGGGUGGGAGGGCGGAAAAACAAAAUCAUCUUGGAAGGGGAAAUCGACGAAUAUCUUGAAGAGAAAACACCGGUUGAAAUCAUUGAGGAGAGAGAGCAAAAACUUCGCACGAGUAGGAUGGAUACUCGAUUAUGGACUCCGGUUCCGAGAAGAAGAAGGGUGGGCGGGUGGGAAAGAAAACAACUGAAGAUUGAACUCAAAGAUGAAGAGGCUCGAGUCAACUUGACGAGAAAUGCACCGGAUAAAAAGAGCUGAAGAACAACGAUCGAAAAACCAAUUGCGUGAUCCUAAAGAAAAUUUGAAGGGGAACAGAAGUAAUUCCAAACACCUACGUCAAGAUUCCUCACCAGAGCGACGAAGGGGCUGAGGAGUAAAAAUAAUUCCUACUCUCCGAUAUAACUAGACUCCGAAAAUAGUUUUUCUUCUAGACUCAACAACGGCCAAACUACACGAUCAAUCCAGGGGGGCUCCUAAGGUCGGUCGAGGCUCUGAUACCAACUUGUCACGCCCAAUAUGCGACCCUAUCCAAAAGGAACUCGAAGGUCCCACCAAGGAUAGACCCGCAUAUUGAAACGCUUUUGCAAGGUGGAUAUCAUUACAUCAACAUUACAUAAUAGAUGGGGAUACAUACAUAAGGCAUACAAUGCCACACGAAUACAUCAUCACAAUACAUAAGAGCAUCAUCCGACUAUGGAUGAAACACAAACAGAAGCUCAAACGACAUCCACCCUGCUAGCCCAGGCUGCCGACCUGGAACCUAUCCCCUGAUCAAAGAAGAAGCAGAAGAAGAACCCAACGCAUGAUCAUUGAUUAACCUGUACCUGCAACUAUUGUUGUAGUAAUCUGUGAGCCACGAGGACUCAACAAUCCCAUUACCAUGGGUAUCAAGACUAGCAAAGCUUAAUGGGAAAGGAAGGGGUAAAGUGGUGAGGUUGCAGCAGCGACUAAGCAUAUAUGGUGGCUAACAUACGCAAAUAAGAGCGAGAAGAGAGCAAGCGGAACGGUCGUGAAGCUAGCAAUGAUCAAGAAGUGAUCCUGAACUCCUACUUACGUCAAACAUAACCCAAAACCGUGUUCACUUCCCGGACUCCGCCGAAAAGAGACCAUCACGGCUACACACACGGUUGAUGCGUUUUAAUUCGGAUCUGGUGUCAAGUUAUCUACAACCGGACAUUAACAAAUUCCCAUCUGCCUAUAACCGUAGGCAUGGCUUUCGAAAGAUUAUACCCUGUAGGGGUGUCCCAACUUAGCCCAUGAUAAGCUCUCGCAAUCAACGAAGGAUAUACCUUCUCCCAGGAAGACCCGAUCAGACUUGGAAUCCUGUUUUACAAGACAUUUCGACAAUGGUAAAACAAGACCAGCAAGACCUCCCAAUGCGCCGACAAUCCCGAUAGGAGCUGCACAUAUCUCGUUCUCAGGGCAACACCGGAUAACCUAAGCGUACAGGUACCGAUGUAACCCAAGUUGCCAAGGGAUGGUCCCGCACGGUGCUCUAGUUUGGACCAACACUUAGACAAGCAUUGGCCCGGGGGGGCUGUAAUAAAGAUAACCCUUGUGUUAAUUACUCCCAAGGGAACUAUAGGUGGUGGUGAGGCAAAUGGUAAAACCAAUGUUGGGCCUUGCUGGAGGAGCUUUAUUCAAGGCGAACUGUCAAGGGGGUCCCAUAAAUCACCCAACCGCGUAAGGAACGCAAAAUCCGGGAACAUAACACCGGUAUGACGAAAACUAGGGCGGCAAGAGUGGAACAAAACACCAGGCAUAAGGCCGAGUCUUCCACCCUUUACCAAGUAUAUAGAUGCAUUAAUUAAAUAAGAGAUAUUGUGAUAUCCCAACAUAAUCCUGUUCACCAUGGAGAAAUCUUCAACUUCACCUGCAACUAGCAACGCUAUAAGAGGGGCUUAGCAAGGCGGUAACAUAGCCCAGCAAUGGUUUGCUAGGAAGGGUGUCAAAGGUUAGAGGUUCAUGGCAAUUUGGGAGGCAUGAUGAGCAAAAGAUAGGUAACGCAGCAAAGCAAUAGAACGGAGCAACUAGCAUAGCAAUGAUAGUAGUGAGAUCCAGGGUAGCGGUCAUCUUGCCUGAAAUCCCGCAAGGAAGAAGAACAGGUCUAUGAAGAAGACGAACGGAUGAAGCCGAACCAAGCGUAGACGAAUGAGUCCUCACGAUCGCAACAAAACAGGAACUAUCGAGAAGACGCACACAACAAGGUAAACACACCACACAUAGACAAGACAUGAUGCACAACCAAGCAUGAUGCAUGUCAAGACUACUCAUGGCAAGAGAUGAUGCAAACAAGAGCAGCACAUCAAAGCAAGUUUAAAUGAUGCCGGGAACAACAUAUAACAAUUCCGGUAAGUCCUCAUAUGCAAGUUACGAAAUUGGUCCAGAUCUGAAUAAACCUUAUGUUCAAGUUGUUAAACAGCAAGUUAAUAUGCACCAAGAUGAUCUACACGAGAUUCUAGUCAAGUUACAUAUAAAGUUCAUUUAAUUCAGAGAUACGGCCUAAAAGAUAUGAGCAAAACAAGUUAAACAUGGCAUUGGUGCAAAAUGCACCCAAACAUCAAGCAAACACCUCAAAACAUGGAUGCAACAUGAUAAUAUGAAGCUACAUGCAAAAUCAAGCAAGUUUCAUAUAGAGCACACUCAAAACGGAGCAACGGUUCAACACACACACACUAUACAAGUUAUAGCAACAAUCUGUCCAAAACAACAACUAGGCAUAUUGCAAGCACCAAAACAAUAUGCUACAGCACCACAAUAUGAAAACAAAAGGCAUGGGCAUGAUGUACAGGUAAAGCAUAACAAAACAUGAACACUGAGCUAACUCCAGAAAUCACUAGAACAUGCUCAAACACACAUGGCAAGAUUGCAAAUAAUAACAGUUCAGACUUCGCAGAAAAUAACAUCAGUUUGCAAUGUUUAGAGCUAUCAAACAACAUGUUACAGGAACUUAUCAUGGCAAACAAAGGCAUGGCAUGAAUCUACUAAUUGCAUAGAUCAAAAGUCCCUUACUGACCAUGAGCCAAAAAGGGUCAGAAAAUAUGAUGGCACCCAUGUAAACAUAGCAAGUUAUAUUACAGAUUCAAACAUGGCAGGAACAGCGAUAAGUAGGCAUGUAGAUGAGCUUGUAUCACUCACCACAGAGCAAUACAGGGCAUGGUAAGGCAACCAACAGUAAGAAGACAUAUUUGUGAAGCUAAGCAUGGCAAUAGCAAGUUCAUAGGGUACAUGAAUCACUAGCAACAAUCAUGGCAAAAACUGAACUUAAUGUUAACAGGCUGACAGCAACAUAAUUUAGCAACUUUGGAGCAAUAUUACAACAAUCUACAGCAAGCUAUAAAUGCAACCGGAGGCAUGGGUGGAUAGAGCAUGACAUGUAUAACAAAACACCCUUAAUGGACAUCUCCAGAUUAUGCAUAGAAUGAUUUGUAGAAGUAGGUUUACAUAGCAUCACGAAAUAACAGAUUUAGCCUAGCAAAACAGUAAAGCAAGUAAACUACUUAACAAGCUCGAUUCACUCACCACAACUCAUUGCAUGACAAGCUAAGCAUUGCAUCAGCAAGAAGGCAUGUUUAUGAAACAAACCAAGGCAAGAACAAGUUCAUAGUAUGCAAGGAUCAACUACAACAACCUUGGCAAAAUUGAAUAACAUGUAAACAAUCUGCCAGGAAACAUUUUGUAGCAAAAGUAGAGCACGAAAAUGAUAUGCUAGACUACCCCAUAAUUGCAAACAGAGGCAUGAAUGGAUAGAGAACAACCAUAUGUUCAAAACACCCUUAGUGAAGUAUCUCAAAAUAUGCAUGGAUCUCUCUGUAGCAUCAAGUUUACAUGGCAUCAAAAUAAUAGCAGAACAGGGACUAAAAUCAGCAACAUUACGAAGCCUAGUUUGCAUGCUUGUGCUAGUCACCACAUUGAUCACAAAAAUACAUGGUAAGCACCUCUGUAAAGAAGAGAUGGCAUAGAUCAAAACACAUGUAGACAUCAACCUCAUAGGAUGCACACAUCAAUCAUGGCAAAAAUGACAAAAGAGCAAGUUCUGUUAACAGACAGCAGACAACAUCAUGAAGCACUCUUGCAACGAUGAUUCAGGCAUCAAGAUGAGCUCAAAUGAACAUGAUGCAAUGGAAUGAAAUGAAGUACUCAUUGAGACGAACAAUUUGACAUAUUACACGCACGAAACUGAGCUACAGGUGCAGAGAUACAGUGCAAUGAACAUGGCAUGAUUAUGUCAGGGAUUCGGGGACGGUGAAAUCGAGGUCAACCUGCGGAUCUGCACGGUUUGCGAGGUACGCCGGAGUUGCCGGAGAACACGUCGGAGUUGCCGGGGACGAUGCUGGGGAGGAGGAUCCAGGGCUAUACCAAGGCCACUUGGCAAGCCUCGGGUCAUUCCGAGAAAGUUUAACACCCGCUCACAACAGGAGACAAAAAAGGGAACGCCGGAGGGCAUAGAAGUGCCGGAUCGCAAAACGGACAACCGGGAAAAUGCUUGAAUGCAUGAGACGAACACGUAUGCAAAAUGAAAUGCACAUGAUGACAUGAUAAAAUGCAACAUGCAAGCAAAUGACAUGGCAACGACGGCAAAUAACUGGCAGACACCCGGCGCAUCGAAUCCGGGGCGUUACAGAGCCCCCCCUGAAAAUCGACUGACCCAAAAGUCGAUUCAGUCGACUGAAGUGUAGCUAAAUCGGAGCAGAGCAGCAACACGAGCGAGGGGGAGAGCAGCAGCAACAGCGCGAGCGAGCGAGCGAGAGCCGGAGCCGCAGCAGCUGGGCAAGCGAGCAAUCGAGGAGAGCCGGAGCAGCAGCAGUAGAUCCUGGCUCAUAUGGCUGCCAUCGCCGAAGGGGUCUCGCAUUGGGGGAGAGCCGUCGUGGAGAUGUCGCCCGCAGCGCGGGCUUCAAGGUAGCCACUCCGUGGGGGUGCGGGAUGGAGCACUGUCAGCGUGAGGAGGUCGAGUUAAGGAGAAGGUGCGAUGCGAUGAGUGUACAACCUCUUUGGUGGCACCGAGUAGGCCUCGGCUUUGUCCGACGAGUCGGUGAGGAUGUUGCGGUUCUGGUGGAGUAGGUUAAGGCGGCGCUAUGGGGAUGGAGCAGCCGCGAUAGACGAGGCGAUCAUCGGAGCAGCUCCUUGGAGGUGGAGGACGGGGCGGCUGAACUGGCGGGACGACGAGAUGGACGACGGAUCCUCAUACGGGUAGGUGGACGAGGGACGUCGAGCUGUUGUGGUGGACGACAUCGUCGGGGAAGAGGCUCCGGCUGGGCAGUGGUGAGGUGGCGGACGGAGAAGGGUGGGGUUUUGCGGCUGGAGCAGAGAGAUUAUAGCGGCCUGGGAUUUCAAAUGGCGAAAAGGAGGCGAUAGGAGGGGGUGAACCAUGACUUAGGGACGCGAUUGUCCAAAAUGUAGGGUGUGUUACAAAAGUACCCCCCACCGAUUUGAAAUAGCGGCCCUUUCGGCUCGGGGUUAGAAGGGGGAUUUCGUGUGUUAGGAUUUGGCAGCUGGAGGGAGUUUUCGCGUGCGUUGUAAUUUCGGGAUAGUAAGGCGCGGGUUGUGAAGGCGCCAGUUUUGGGAGCAUGAUAUCUGAAUUUUCGGGAUAUAACAAGGCGCGGGUUGAAUUUUAUGGACAUGCCUAACGUGUAAUAUUGUACUCGUGCGUACCAAAUCAAUUCGCACUUCCCUCAACCAAAAAGAAAAUGAAAAAAAUAAAACUAUUCACACCACACAAAGAGAGAGUCUUGCUCCGUUUUACUAUACAAAUGCUAUUCAAAGCUAUUCCCUCCUUCCAUCUAAAUACGGCCUAAUGCGUUUUUCGAUGCUAACUUUGACCAAAUAUUAGAGCAAUAAUAUAUGACAUGCAACUUACACAAAGCACACCGUUAAAUUCAUGUGUGAAAGGAGCUUUCAAUGAUAUAAUUUUCACAUUGUGCAUGUCAUGUACUAUUAAUCUUGUCAAUAGUCAAAGGCGGUCUUAAAAAACGCAUUAUGCCCUAUAUAGAUGGAAGGAGGGAGUAUGAAUCCAUGUUAUGUCCAAUUAAACUUUUUCGCUAGCUGUAUAAUGCAUGUAACCUACUCAUACCAACAUUUUAGUGCAUUCCAAAUGUCUAUACUUCCGCUACAAUUCAAAUUGAAUUUGAAUUUGUUUAUGUAUUUCAAUAAGAAUCUACAAUCAUGAUUGUUGCCAACUUCGACAAUCAUUCGUGUAUUACCUUAAUAACACACCACAUGAUUACUAUAGAGAUAGAUAUGAACUAUGUGUACUACAUGAACUCGAAUUCUAUUUUUUGAAUACACUGGAUGUUGAUUCCAAAUAAUAGUACAUUUGACGUACUAACUAUAUAUUCAUAAUCUAAACCAUGUUCCAUACGUACACCGUGUUUAUCACACAAAGUAUAGUGCCCCGCCCCCUACAUUAUGACAAGUAUUUAGACCUGAGCUGCAAAAGCCACACAUUAGCCCAAAUUAUUAUCAAUGUUUUACAUUAUGAUAUCUUCUUCAAGUAUCCGUAUCCACUUUUUUAUAAUGAAGUAUGAUCUUUGUUCAUGUUUUACACCUUCACGAUCCUCUUCAAUUUGUAGCUAGGUAGCACUAACUUUCUAUCGUGCAUGCACACGCCCGCCCCCUCUUACCCACCCUUAGUGUCCCCUCCAUCACGCACGUUCGUUAUUUCUCUUUAGGUCGUCCACCUGCGAUGUGUGUAGGCCCCUGACUCCUUCUUUCCGGCACACACCGGUCGGUAUACCUCUCUAGCCAAGUGUGCCUACAACAAACACAUAUAUGCUUCCCCUCUUCUCUUCUCACCGUCCAUGCCCCCCUAUGUCCAAUACGGUUCCACGCAGGUGCACACUCCCGCCCCUCUUUUCAUUGACAGACAAACAUGUGCAUAGACAGACAAACAUCCCUCGCCCUCUCUUAUUGAUAUUGCACUCGUACCCUCCAUUUGUCUAGCAGGCCUCUCCCAUCAUUUGUGAGACGCCACUCCAAACCCUCCAAUGCUCUACCUUUGUCUUUCUCCCAACCUUAUUCCUCUGCUACACAUAUCCAUGGAUGCCGAUCGAUAUCCCUCAAUACAUAGCUAUCUCUCUCUCCUUCCCCACACAUAUACUAGUCGAUCGGUCUAUGCCUCCUCCCCCCCCCCACACACCGAUAGUCGAACGUUGUAGGUAGGUAUCCAUGCCACGGAGAAAAACUGCACCUCUGCCCUCUCAAAUUCCAGUAGGCCAACUGCCCUGUAUCUUUGACGUGGGCAAACACAAAUUUGAUGGCACUCUUUAUCGAUCGCGCAGCCACACACUUCAUCCCUGUUUUCAGUUCUAUCAAUAUCUCGCGUCCAUGACUCCGUUUCACACACAUUGCAUAAGUUACGUUUUUCUGUUUGAGAUAUCAUCAACACAUUGCCUCUGUUUCACACAAACCAUCUCUCUCACACCCACCCACAUACGCAUCUGCACCUAAAGAAGAGGUGCAGGCAGGACACACGUACUCACGUCUCGUUCCCGACCACACCCGCGCGGGUACACGGUGGAGUUCGUUUCUGUAUGAAAAGGCAGCCCAUGUGAUAAUUUGACGCAUGUAGCGGUUGUUUACUCGAAGGAGGGUCGGGUACCACGCCUAGACGGAAUAAAGUUUGAGUUGACGCAUUAGUAUUAAAUAAAGUUAUAUAUUUCUCAAUGGCACGCACUACAAAAAAAGACACAUCCGUGAUAUUUUGGGCCGAACAAAUUUUUUUCGUCAUACUUAUGACACUUCUAUGAUGAUAAUUGUGACAAAACCCGGUAUCAUCAUAGAUGUGGUGGGAUCCUACUUCUAUGACAAAAAAUCAUGACAGAAAAUGGGCUUUUCAUCCUGGGCAGGCCAGAGACGCAGCUGCAUGACAUUCUUUGGGCCGUCCAUGAUGGAAAAAACCAUGGUAGAAGCGAGGGCGAGGAAAAUUUCGUGGGGUUCCCAGUUACGGUGGGUGGUCGGGGACUGAGCGAUGUGUGUUUCUCUCAUACACAUACGUGCGUGUGUGCGAGGCAUUAGCUCUAACUGAACCCGAGCGAGGCAUUGGCCUCUAACUGAACCCGAGCGAUUGCACUGCAGGCUAUGCGUUACUGAACCCGAGCGAUCGAUCGAUGGCUGUUAACUGAACCCGAUCGAGCGAUUCCUUCGCCACUGCUGCUAACUGAAGCCGAUCGAUGCUGUCUCUGGGAUGAACAGUGAGUGUUGUGGGGUGGGUGGGGGUGGAUGAACAGUGAGCGGUGGCGUUGCCUCUGGAUGAACAGGACCUCGAUCGAUCGAGCCGGUUGGGGCUGGAUGAACAGGACCUCGUGGUGUAGAGGGCUGGAUGAACAGUAGACGGUGGAGGGGUGCCCGUGGAGGGGUGGUUGAACAGUAGCCGGUGGAGUAGCGUGCGGUGGAGACUGGAUGAACAUGAGCCCGUGGAGGUUGGAGGAGGUCGACGGUAGCCCGUGGAGGCUGGAGGAGGUCGACGGUGGAGAUGAACAGUAUCCCGUGGAGUCUCAUUUUGUGGUACGCCACACCCCUCCCAAUGAACAGGACCACCGUUUCGACAGUAGCGCUCCAACACGAGUCCGUUUCGUCCAUUUUGUGGUACGCCACACCCCUUCCGAUCAACAGGACCCCCGUUUUGACCGUAGGAGUUCCGUUUCCUCCGUUUUGCGGUACGCCAGACCCCUCCCGGUGAAUAGGAUCCCGUUUCGAACAUGGCCGGUCGAACACAAGGCCGUUUCCUCCGUUCUGCGGUACGCCAGGCCUCGUUUCCAUCGCCUGUUCCGUCCAAGCCCUCCCAAUGAACACGACGACGCAUUCCGUUCCAACCCAGCCGGUUGGCUCCCCAUGAACAUGACGACUAUGUUGUUUCUUUGUUCCGACCCAACCAUGUACACAAGCACUGGCCGUACAUAUGCGUGAAUAGGCGUUUGAGACCGCGCCCGUAUGUACACAUACGUGGCCAUAUUUUCUUUCUUGCACACUGGUCGAUGUACGUACGUGUACAUGCUACGUGUGUGCCUCUACUACGACACGUGCGCGCCUCUACAUCCACCAGUAUGUACGUACACGUUCGCGACCAGAAUGACAAUGCUACGUACGCUUCGACCAGGUGGGUCCCGACUGUCAGGCACUUCCUUGCGUGCGAAGAUGUAGCUGGUGGGUCCCAGUAGUCACGGGGGCGAAUCGUUUUUUUUUGCCUGGACGCACUUCCUUGUGUGCGAAGGUGUAGCUGGUGGGUCCCAACAGUUAGGGGGGCGAAUCAUUUUUUUUCGGAUGCACUUCCUUGUGUGCGAAAGAUGUAGCUGGUGGGUCCCAGCAGUCAGGGGGGCAAAUCGUUUUUCCCAGACGCACUUCCUUGUGUGCGAAGAUGUAGCUGGUGGGUCCCAGCAGUUAGGGGGCGAAUCAUUUUUUUUCGCAAAAUACGGUGGCCCGUCUGGUGGGUCCCCGCUGUCAGGUGGAGGAAUAAUUAUUUUGCGCGUAAUAAGGAGGCACUUCCUUGCGGCUAUCGGGGACCCAGCUGUUAGCCUCUCCACGUACAGUACUCUUCCGAUGGAAGUCGGUCGUUGACCACAUUGACCACGCCGCGCCGAGAGCACCACAGCGGUGGACGACGGCGAGGCCUAGGAAGGGGACAACGUGGAGCCGGGGAAAACGCGGCAGUGGAUGCCCACGCGUAGAGGAGUAUGAGGGUUCACUCGUUCGGCUGUGGUGUGAGGCUGUCGUCGCAGCAGAAUAACAGGGGGUGUGGGUGAGUGGAGGGAUGGCCUGGCCAGCGGCAGGAGUAGUAGGGGGCGGUGAGGUCUCCACGGCAUCACAGCCAGCCAUGAGAGGUAGGAGCAGGCGACACGAUCGGCGCUGCUUUGGGCGGCUGGAGCAAGAGACCAGUGGUUGAAGAAGCACGAUGGUCGUUGGAUGGACAUCGUACGGUCACUGUAGCUAGAAUCAUUCAUAUUGACAAAGUUGACAAAGCCCUCCGUCCCCGUCAACUUAGUGGGCCCACAAGUCAGCCUCCCACCAAGAUGGGUCUCAGCUAGCAGGGGGAGUAUUCAUUUUUUUCUGCUUAAUAAGGAGGCACUUCCGGUGGGUCCGAGCUGACAGCGGGGGGAAUGUUUUUUUGUGAAAUACGGUGGCCCGUCAGGUGGGUCCCAGUAGUCAGGGGGAAACGUGUUUUUCGCAAAAUAUGGUGGCCCGUCCAGUGGGUCCCUGUUGUCAGGUGGUGGAAUCAUUAUUUUCCGCGUAAUAAGGAGGCACUUCCUUGCUGCGGCCGUGUACCCAGCUGUCAGCCUCUCCACGUACAAUAUACUUCCGAUGGAAGUCGUUCCUUGACCACGUUGACCACGCCGUGUUCCGUUGCAUGCAUUGCAUCCAUGGGCGUGGUGCAUCCCCACUGUCAGCCUCUCACGUACAGUCAUCUUCCGAUGACUCUCGGUUGUAGACCACGUUGACCACACCAUGUCGAGCACACUAAGGCCGGUGGACGACGGUGAGGCUCCCGACUGGAACAACCCGAAGAUGGGGAAGACGGGGCAGUGGAGUCGCAGAUGGAGAGGAGUGGGAAAUUUGACUGGUACAGGUGCGCAGCAGCACAGCCGCGGUGUCGCCCACGGGAGACAGGAGCAAGAACAGAGGUUGAAGAAGGAGCACAGCUGUUGGAUUAACAUCCAACGGUCCGGCUGCUAGAAUCAUUUGUUGAUUAAGUUGACAAAGUCGUGCGUACACGUCUGCUUAGUAGGCCCACAAGUCAGCCACCAAAUCUGACGGGUCCCAGCUGUCAACGGGAUGAAUAAUUGUUUUCACAAAACAAGGAGGCACUUCCUUCCGUGCGAAGAUACAGCCGGUGGGUUCCAGCUGACAGGUGGAGGAAACAUUUUUUUCAGCUUAAUAAGGAGGAACUUUUCUUGCGUGCGACCAUGGACCUCGUGGGUCCCAGCCGUCAGGCUCUCCAAGUAUAGUCCUCUUCUGAUGACUCUCGUUUGUUGACCAUGCCGCACCGAACGCAGCGACGCGGUGGAUGACGGCGAGGCCCUGGACGGGACCGACUCAGAGAUGGGAAGACACGGCAGUGGAGUCACAGAUUGAGAGGAGGAGAAGGGUUAUAAGUGGUUCUGUUGCGACGUGGGGCUGCAGUCUGUGGAGAAUAAGAGGAGGUGUCGAGGGGUGGAGGGAUAGCCUGGUCGGCGGUGGGGUAGCGCUUUGCUGUGAUGCGUCCUAAGCAGAGCCGCUAGCCGCAGGAGGCUAGACCAGGCGGUCCCGGCGAUGCUGGAGGAAGAAGACGAGAGAUUGAAGGUGCAUGCCGGCCGUUGGAUAUAAAUCCAAUGGUUGUGGAUGUCACAAUCAUUUGUUGACCAAGUUGACAACGCCAUGUGUAGGCUUCGACCUAUUGGCCCACAUGUGAGCCUACAAAAAUGUGGCAUAUAUUUAACCAAUGUUUUCUAGAAUGUAGAGUCCAUUUGCUGGGCUGGGUGAACAAAUAAUUUCGCGUCAAUCAAACCCAUUUAUAUUUUCUAAGAAAUCCCAGCUCAUUUGCACUUCCUUGAAAUAAACAAAUUAGUUGCUCUCGUUAUAUAUAUAAUGUUAUGUUAGAAGGAGCAAUUAAUAUCAAAGAAUAAACCGGAGAGGCACAUUUUAUAUAUAUAUAAUUAACAAAUUAGCGAGUUAUUGCUCAAAAUAAAAAUGAGCGCAUUAUUAUUCAAUUGGUCCUUAAAAUCUUCGCAAGCUUUUGUACGCAAUCACUAGGAUUUUCCUUGCCUGUGAGACAAAAACAACCAGGAUUUUCCUUGCCAACUUCCGUUAAACAUUUACUCUUAUAAUUUAAUAACACGUGGGAUGUUUUUAUAAUGUAUAUAUAAGUCUCUAUAAAAUAUACGAUAAUAGUAAUAAUAUAAAUAUAUAUAAUGUGGUUAGAAGGGAAAACAUAAAUUGGGCACAUGAUUAUAAAUAGAUAAAUAGAACAGAGACCUGUGUUUUAUUAAAAAAUACAUUGGGCUGCCGAUUUAAGAAAAAGCCCAUAGGAUGGUAUGGACCACAAAAAAUAAGUUGAAACCACUGUCUCCGUAUGUCGUGGGCUACAGAUGUUAAAAUACAAAACCUAGGCCUAGCUGAUACUUGUUAGCCCUCUGGAAAAAAUGAUACCAGAUCCCCGAGCGAACUGGAUUAAAGAGGGGGCCGGCAGCACGACUGAAGAAGCACAUCAGGAGCGAUUUUUUUCUUCAGUGGAUGGCUCUUGAUAGUGUUUUUUUACUUGCCUCUGCACCAUACAACUUGUAUUUUUAGCCUCCCAGUCCGUUGUGGUGGACCAGCGGCCCAUUUGCUGGGCGGCCCAACCUACAGAAACUAGCACUCGAUUUUUCAUCAAGCCCCAAAAACAACGCAGUACUAUGUUUGUUUUGAGGCCGAAAACAUUAUGGCAGGGGUUGAGCGGGGGAGAGGGGAAGACAGAGUAAUAAAAAGAUUAAAAAGAGCUGAUGCGUCGUUGCUACCCAAACAAAGCAGGUGCAAUUCUUCUCGGGAAGAAGGUGUGCCGUUGACACCCACACGUCACAUACCCCACAGUAGGCAUACUAACAAGUUCACACACAAAUACAACAGAAAAGGUAAACAUUCGUAUCAAACUCAGGUUCACAGGACACGUUCAUAUUCAUAGCCAACAUUCACUAUCAACAACUCAAAAGAUUCAUAUAUACACAAGUUCAGCAUAUCUAUGCAUCGAAAUGAUUGAUAGACCACACGACAAUAUUCAUACAUAAUUCACAAAAAGAUUCAGAUAUACACAUGUUCAGUAUGUUUAUGCGUCCAAAUGAUUGAGAUCACAGCCAAUAUGAUCCAUGGACGAACUUUAGUUACCUAGGGUAUAGACUGGUAAAUGGUGUUCAGUCGGAGGUACUUCUUGCUAAAAUUAGUUCUUGUACGAGUAAACUUUUGAGUACAUAAGAGGCAGCACAAACAAUCUGAACUUUCCUUGUAGGUUUAUCCUCAAAUAGUGGCCUCGUGCCGAGCGAGGUUUGAGCAACUUGGCCACUAUUUUCAUCCAACUAGUUUACUGGCUCAUCUUGGUCAUGUAGCUCACCAAAAUUCUACAUUGCAGACGAGAAAGGAGGCGGUUGAGAAAAAGAACCACCCAAAUUUUUUGUGCAGUUCAACUGAAAUGGAGCAUCCCUGGCGUGCAGACUGAUUAAGUGCCAGAUGAAUAUACGCGUCAACCAACUUGUCUGGAAUCUUUAGACUCCAUGCCAUACAGUUCGCUACCAUAUCUACCGAUAACCAAAAGGCACAAGUUGGGAUCAAAGACUGGACUAUGUUCUUCUGAGCUAUGCGCCAAGCAAUAUUUUUGGCGUUCACUCUGCUAAUACUUGGGAGUUUGACAACUGGUUGACACCGGUUGAUACUCGAAUGAAUAUAGGCACGUCUUGUCAACAUCGAUGCUUGUCUGAGUGAACUUUGGAGUACAUGGCAGCAACGUAAGUAUCUGCCAUCUGAUCAUUUUGUGCAGUUCUACUGAAAUCACCCAAUGCAAUGAUUUGCCUGCAAGUUCAAGCUCCAAGUUACUCCUUUAUAAAAUCGGCAAACAGUAGCACAAUACCAAAUUACCAAUACAUGACAAGCACAAUAAUCAGGAUAAAGACCAGUACCAACCUGUGUGAGGUAGCAUAUCAAUUAUUAUUUCCUUUGACUGGAAGCCGAGAUAAGCGAAGUGACUGACAGCGAAGGAAGAAAGCAAGCCGAGAUUAGCGACUGACAGGAAAGGAUGGAAGUUGUCGAGGCAAUGAAGCACCCAAAGUUUUUGUGCAGUUCUACCAAAAUCGAGCAUCCCUAUUGGCACAUAUAUUGAGAGAGUGAGAUUACUGUAAUAGUGGGACUAGUUGAUGAAACAUACAAUAACAAAUAGAAGCACCCUCAUUAUCUUAAUUGGUAUAGUUAGCAACAUAGUAGUCUUGCUUAAAGAGAGGUAUUAGUUUAUUUAAUCAGUGCCAAUUAGCUCAACACUCAAAGCAUUGCCAUUUAUAAUAGGUUGAAAAACUUUAACGUGCAAAGAUAAAGGAGUUUCUCAUGAUAGUAGCACAAUACAAAUAGAGAUGACAACAGACUAAUAUGGAUGAAGGCCUUAGGCCCGUACCAACCUGAGAAAAAAAUCUUAUUCAUGUAGUCCCAUAAGAGAUGACAAAGCACAUACUGGAAUCACAAAAUAGUAUAUAUUUUUGUGCACUUCAAAUGUAUGGUUGAAAUCACUCUUGUUUACCAGUGCUGAGAUUAUAUCAAAAGAUUAUCAAGAACUUCCAGCAGAGUUAAAGCACUGGCUGGGAUACAGUUCAUUUUAUUGUCCUGUGUAGUUCCACUAAAAUGUAUGAUUGGCACAACAUGAUCCCUGUUUGCACAAGUAGGAACAUGGUCAAACCUUCAUUAGCUUAGUGAGAAAGGAUAGGAAGACAUUAGCAUAUUACUCAAACAGUAGCAUCGAAUUCAUGAUGGACAAUAUGCAAAACAUUGCCUCAUUGAACCAAUGGUAAUAAAUUGACAUGCAAAACAAUAGCACUAUUAUGUCAUGACACUAAUAAUAUUCCCUCCCUGCUCCACCACAUGAUUCACCUCCAUAGACAAACAUACACACGUACAUGAUUUAGCAUAGGGUCCUACUAAAGAUUUGUUUAACUCCGAUAGAAAAAUUAGGCAGCAAUAAAUUAGUGGUACUUAAGUACUCCUAAUUAAUAAGUGAGACAACAGAAGUGGAAGGGCUCCCUGGAGGAUCGUCUCACAUGUAAGGUAGUCGUUGUCAGAGCCCUUGAAUGGCCUCGACUGAGGCCUUUGGCUUCAGCAAGAUCGGCUUGGUACUGUUUAUUCUUCUUCCUCCUCUUCAUGCUCUGUUUCUCUUUCUCCUCAUCAGUUGGUGAAACCAAGUACAUGAUUGGCCUUCUAAUUCAAAAUUGGUUUUGUCAGUGAGGGAGUACUAGUAAAAAAUAGCAUUAUUUUCUCAUGGCAGUCGGAAAAUAGAGAUGAACACAUGCAUUAAAUAUCAUUCUUACCUAAAGGAAGGUUAUGGCGCCAAUAUGGAUGAUGAGGAUUGGAACACAGAUCUCCCUUUGUGCAGUUCCACCGAAAUGAACCAACUGUUCCAUUCUGACAUUCCAGUUAAACAGCACAAAAGUCACUUCUUUUAAGAAGAGUUUUGUGCAGUGCACCAAAAGGUCACAACAGCACCCAGGUGAAUUGGAUAUCCCUGUUUGCACAAAAAGGUACAGAGGAAAUAGUCAGAGUCUCAAACAAUUACAGGCAAAAACAUUUGGCUAAACUUGUCAUUGCUUAUAACAGUGGCAUGGCUUCAUUUUUACCAGGGACAUUUGAUUAAGAACAACUAAAUAUUUGGUAUAAGGGCAUGGGAAAGUGGGUGCACCAGCAGUCCAGCACCAUGUACAUAAACAGGGGCAUAAAGUGGUGAUUCAUAGUUUGUUGCCCCGAGAAACAAACAUCCAAGAAACAUAUCUGGGUUGGUCCCAUUUUUAUUCACUCUAGCCACCUACUCCUAUGUGUGGAUAGCCAAUCUAGUCCUGGUCAUACCACUGUGUACAACGUUACCCCUAUAUUUCCCUUUUCGACCAAGAGACCGGUUGGAUGACUAGUCUGUACUACUUUCACCCCCUUUCCUUCCUGUUUGUACCAAGUCCGAUGUACAUACUAAAUUCCGCCACCCCCAUUUUAUUUAUUGUUUGGACCAAGUACUCCCUCCGUCCGGAAUUACUUGUCAUCAAAAUGGCUGUGUCUAGAACUAAAAUACAUCUAGAUACAUCCAUUUCAAUGACAAGUAUUUUCGGACGGAGGGAAUACAAGAUUCAACUCCAUGAAGUAGCUUUACCUCUAACACUAGAAAAAAAAUAGGUGACCAUCCGACCGAGAGGGGCUGAGAGGUAGCAAAUGAUGCACAUGCAGUGACAUAGUGAGUUGGGGAAGUAGAGCUAAGGCGGUUUUGAAUGAAGAUAUACCUGAAGGUCGUCGGGAUGUGGAUAGGUGGGCGGCGGGAGGCCGGAUCCGCCCACAGGCAACGACGAAGGGAUACGAGGACCCCCCACACCGGCACUCGGCCAGAGAUAAUGGUGCGGCCGGCAGUGGGUCUCCUCCCUCGCUGUCGACGAUGGCCUAAAUGUUGCCCCUCCUCCCCUUCACUGGCGGAGGGGGAUACGUCCGGAUCUGUAACCAGCGAUGAGGAUAGAAAGACAGUGUUUUUUGAAGGGAUAAAGACAGUGUUACUACCCCUAUCUUGUUUAGAUCCGGAGAGGAUGAGAGUGUGUGAAUAGAGCAACCCUAGCAAGCAAGCGCGGAGGCUCCGGCCUAUAUAUACAUAGUGGGGUAGUUUUCAUUUUUCACUCCACCAAAACAAUCGUUUAAAAUUGUGUACUACUACAUGCCAGGUCGCGGUUUUUUAUUUGUUGAUUGUUUUUUGAGAUAGCUACCCGCUUGUUCCAAGUGGUGUUACGGUGUGCCAGGUCGCACUUUGUAUCGUUCAAGUCUGGUACUACAAGUCCCUCCAUUAAAUGAACAACCACCCCCUCGUAAAAAUUGUGAACAAGCCCGCGGCUAAAAUUAGCGGAAACGUGGGUUGCCCCAACAUGCAUUAUUAUUUAUAUUUUCUACUCCCUCCAUUCCUAAAUAUAAGUCUUUUUUAUUAGCCACACCUAAGACAAUAAUUUUUUUAUUAGUAGUAAACCCCACAUGUCAUAGACACAAAAAUUGUGGCAAGAUUCCCUUAGGCAAGCCAAAGUGUGUCUAACAAUUUGAGCAACUCAAGUUAGGCAAGUGUGGCAAGUGUGGGAAAAAUAAUGUGGCAACAUAAGACAAAUAUAGUCACAAUCCAAACAGCCCCGUAAUUUUUUGUGACAUGCAUGAAAAUUUGGUUAGUUAAAUUUAUAGUCAAAAUUUGGCAAGGUGCAUCAAAUCUACACAUGCAAGUAUCAAAAGGAAAGUCACGGCAUGCAUGCAUGCGUUGUACUCCCUCCGUUUCCAAAUAUAAAUCUUUUUAGAGAUUGCAACAAGUGACUACAUACGAAGCAGAAUAUGUCUACAUACAUCCGUAUGUUGUAGUCCAUUUGAAUUGUGUAAAAAGACUUAUAUCGAGUGCAGUGCUUUGAAGUGUCGCGUCAACUCGUACAAGACCGAGAAAUUUGAUUAUUACAACACCCUCUCCCUCGCGGACUGAGCUCCGGUGCCUUAACUGCACCUGCCUUUGGCUGCAUGACAGGAGGGCCAACCACCUGUUGGGCCCACCUGUCAUAGGCGCAAAGACAGGAGCAGUAAGUAGAAGCUUUCGCUACACGCUCUCCCUCCCGCACGAGGUGGACGGACAUGCAACAGUGGAUUCGAUACUGUAGAAGUAGGAGUAACAUCAUUGUUCGUCUUCUCGAAGAGGCAAAGAUCCAAGCGCAACCCGAACGUGGUAGUUGCGAACGCUCGUGUGGUGCGGUGCCUUGGAGCUCGCAUAUAUGAGUAGUAGCCAGGCUCUUGCAUGAGGAAAAAUUUCUAUUUGAGCCCACUAUUGUAGUACUAGUACUUGCUACUCCCUCCGUCUAGGUGAGUAAGUCAUUGAAUUUGUAGCUAAGAUUCCUUCAUUGAAUUGUUUAGCAAUUAAACUCCAUCAUCCAUUGGUUGAUACUCAUUCUGCAUAGGUCCACGCGCUUAGCACUGUUUCCUCCUGGGGUCACCAAUGUUUAUUUUCUAAUUAAUAGCAUUGCAUGCAAUGAACUAGCCACUGGAAGUCAUUAAAAGCAUGCACACCUCUCAAAUCUUAUUGGUUGAUAUGUCAAGAAACAAGAAACAAGGUAGAAGUUAAUGCACCGCGCCUAAGUGUUUUGGGACUAUUUCGCUUUCGUAAAAUGACUUACACACCUAGACGGAGGGAGUAGUAUAGCCCUGUAAACUGGAAAGGAGUAUUUGCCUUUCUAGAGAUUUCAACAAGUGACUAGACUACACCGCGUGCAGUACUCCCUCCCUUCCGGUUUAUGGGGCUCAAAUCUCAAAUCUCAUGAACCACGGCAUUUUGCGAUUGGAGGAAUGUAUCUCGUACUUUACAAAACUACCCUAAUUAAACUCAUGCAUUAAUUACGUAGUUCUCUCGUUUUCCUCUCCGCCUUGGUCGUGGUGCACAAUAUUGAGCACUCCUAUAUGACUAGCCGCUCUAUCUACAUGCAAUACAUUUCAAAGCAUCCGGGCCUGCGUGCCAUCCACCAAAUGACAGCGAGGUGCUACAGUUGAGACUCACCUGUCACCCCGGUGUGGCCAUCAUGACCCGUCAUAUCACAAAACCCACACCUUUACCAGUAGUGGUAAGGUGGCCUCCAAGUUGGACUGGACGAAGCAACGAUCAUUUCACUGGAACGCUCGUUGAAGCCCUUUCUUCCCUUUCUUGAAGAAAACCUCACUCCAGGCUACUCACUUCUGCCAUUUUUCUUCUGUACCGACAAAGGAAAGGUGGGCAAAUCAGUUAUGCUGCUAUAUUUUCAUUCCAAGAAUCUUCUUUUUGCGAAGCACCGACCAAUUCUCACAUCCUGUUCUUUUCCUGUUUUCAUUGCGAUUGUGGUUUCCUUUCGAUUGCUUUUUGUUUGUCAGUUCAUUGAUGGAUCCUGGAGCACUAGGCAAAGAGUUACCGGUGGGCAACCCCCUGGAGAUAGCGAUCUCCAGGAAGCGAGCACUGACCAACGAGUUGACCAUGUUGGAGGGCCAACCCAUGGAGACGAAGAACUCCAAGAAACAAGCAUUGGCCAAAGAGUUGACGACGUUGGCGGACGAACUCCUCAAAGAAAGUUGGAAGAACAGCAAGGGCCCCACCGUGCCUACCCCAGGAACUCUGAUGGCCACCUAUGCAAGGCUCACGGCCGAGUUUGAGGAGAUAGUCGCCGUUGAGAAGCAGUAUUCCCCUGGCAAGGUGAUGGCCCCCAUCGAGGACGAGGAGAUGGCCCCCGGAGGGAUGAGAUCCCCCGGUGAGCUGCACAAGGUAAAAAAUAAUGGCUUAUUACCAUAGUUGUGGUUUUUGAUUAUUUGCAAUGUGCUUGCUAAUGUGUUAGGGUUGUGCAGGUGCCGGUGGACGUCCUUGAUGAUUCCGAUGUCGCAGCCCGUCCUGUUGGGAUCGCCCCGGAGAUCGAUUCCGAUGCCACUGUCCAUCCAGUGGACAUCGCCCUAGAGAUCGAUUCCGAUGUCGCGGUCAGUCCCGUGGACAUCGCCCCAGAGAUCGAUUCCCAUGCCACUGUUCGUGCUGUGGUCAUUGCCCGAGGGAUCGAUGACAAGAAUUAGUUGGUCGCGCUAAUCCUUCAGGGUAGUUUGCCUUGCCCUGUGUUUAAUUACCAGAAUGAUGCGUGUUAUCAAACCAUCUUAGGGCUAGUGCACUGUCUUGUGUGGGCGGUACUUGCUACUUUUGUUUGAUAGUGAAUCAUGCGAACCCUCUCCGAGUUAUGGAAACAGAUGUAUCCUCACCAAAUUUUGAUGUAAUAUAUGGCAUGCUUAGAUGUAAGUUUGAACUAUUUAUCAUAUCAGCAGGGCUUGUUUGAUGAUUCUUGGUGUUAGUAGGCUAGCUACUGUGCGAGCUAUAGUACUUGCAAAACACUCACCGAAGAGAAACGUUGGGGCUGAUGAGAUCGUGGUAUGCUUAUACUUAUCUGUCGUCGAUUGACCAAUAGCCCUAGCUCCUAAAAUUGUAGGCUUAGCGAUCGAUCAGACAAUAGUCGACACGAAUACAUUCAGGCCUCAUUUGGUUUAUAGGGUAGGAAAAUUGUAGCAAAAGUACAGAGACGUACAACACAAAAUCAUAGCAGUGCAGAGUCGUACUCCCUCUGUUCCAAAAUAGAUGACCUAGGCGGGCUAGUUUGGCCUAGUGGGUUUCAGUGAUAUGACGUGGUACAGUGCCUUAUAGUCUUCGCGUGUGGUAGCAGUAUUGCGGGUAUAGUAAGUUUUCUUGAAGAAGCGGAAUUCAACGAAAUCAUGAUGGUUCCUUCAUCCGAACCACUUACAGUGGGAAAGGUUGGGCCUGCGAUAAGACCGGGGUAGACCAGGAUAAUUUUGUGCAUGGCAGGUGGACCAGGAUGGUCGACGUCCCAUAUGUCGGCGAAUGAAAGUAUUAUUUCCGAUAUAGAGGAAGAGCAAUGAUUAUUCGUUGUUUAUUUUUGAUGAAAACUAUUGUCUCCACUGUUACGACGGAGGAGUGUGAAACACGGCAGCCCAGUGAACUUGGCAUGUGCACCACUCCCUCCUUCCUCAUGUAAGUCUGCCAUACUGUUGACUAUAAGGUUGGCUAUAAGGUUACAACUUUUUCUCACUUUCUCUCUAUCUGUUUCCUCUCAAAUGUUUUUUACCUUUGUUUUUUUAGACACAAUUGUUUUUUAUGCCUUUUUUAGAAUUAUUUUUUAUACCUAGGAGCACGUGUAGAGACGGGCUCUUGCAGAGCCCACUCCUUGACUUUGUUAAUGCCUCUCUCUCCUCCAUAUAAGCUGGCUUAGGCCUUGUACAAUGGGAGAUGCUUAGAAAAAUAAACCAGGCUUCUCUUAAGCACCGGUGCCUAUUUCUACGGGAUAGAUGCUUAGUUAAGCGUCUAUCUUGUACAAGUAAGCACCAGUGCUUAACAAAAGCCUGGUUUAUUUCUCUAAGCAUCUUCCCUAAGCGUCUCCCAUUGUACAAGGCCUUAUAGCCUAGUUUUUUAGUACUUGCUAUGCAUGCAUGCGGCGGGCAGCUGGCAUCUUGAGGGGCCAGGGCGGUCAGAGCGGGCUCUGGAAGCGGUCCGGACUCCAGCAUGGCCCACCUCACAUUAUCACCAUAUAUUUCUUGGAGUUCGUGUGCGACGGGCGGGCGAUCUCUUCUCCCUCCCCUGUUUCUCUCUUCUCAGCCGACGCCCGCCGAGCGAUUAGAUUUCGGCUAUCGACAAUUUAUUCAAUAAUAGUGCCACAUGUCAGUGAAAUUGCAAGACAAAGCGUGUCCCCUCUGGUGAGCGGCGUGCGAGCCGGACUGUCGGGGGUGCGACACGUACGAGUCGUAAGUGUGUCGCCUUUUCCUUUAGAACUUGAGAGGCAUAACAUUUUCGCGCGAUCGAUCGAUAGAAAUCCAGAACAAAAUGACGAGGGCAGUGCUUUCCCGCUCAUUAGGCGGGCUAAUUCCAGUGAUAUGACGUGCUACAGUGCCGUCCACUUGCUCCAUUUUUAUGUAAGCAAGAGUUUACACUCUUAUGCGGGAGGAGUGCAAAACACCACGGAUCUGAUUUUGAUCGAGGGAUAACUGUUCCCUGACAAAUAAUGGAGGACUGUUAGCGAUUAUAGCAUGAUAGUUAGGGCAUCUCCAGCGCUGGCCCACAAAUUUACACCGACAUCUGUCCGAGGACACUGAUGGAUGACAUCUGAUGCUGCCCGCAUACCUUUCGACAACUAUAUGAACUAACCGGACGAAAUUCGUGCAAACAAAGCAAAUUUCAAAUUAACCGGAUGAAAUUCAUUACAUUUUGAAAACUUUUCCUACAAAAUGGAUGAAAUUCAUUACAUAUUUCGCACAAACUGUACUAAAACCUACUGUAAACCUAAUCUAAACGAUCACUGGUGCCCGACCACCAUGUCUGGCCAUGAACCCGAGAAAGCCGGCCAUUGCCUUUGCCUCUCCCUUUAUCCGCCUCGAUAACCUCCUCUCCGGAGCACAAGGUUCUGAAGAUUUCCGCCUCCAUGUCGCCGUCAAGUGCCUAAUCGGUCGCCAAUGUUUACCCCACGAAGCUUGGCCUUGAUUGAAUGUAGUAGUUGUGGCCUUCCUGGGACCAGAGCGGCGGCGACCUACCGUGUACUACUCUUCCUCGCCGCCGGCUACACCCGUGCACGUGCGCCGGCUUCGUUGUCGUGGCGGCGGAGGGCGGCUGGGGGGGGUGUCGGCGAUCUCCUUCGUUUGCUCCUGCGACAGUACGUCGAAGAGAGCUUUGGAGCGCGCCCGGAGCAGAGCCACCGAUGUCCCUCAUCUGCUCCUGCGACAGUACGUCCAAGAGAGCUUCGGAGCGCCAGGAGGCCAUGGUUGGAGUGGUGCCGACGGAAGGAAGGGACCGGAAGAGAAUACGUGUGGGUCUUUGGCUAUGGCUGGGAGCUGGGGCUCAACUUAUUAUAGCGGGCGAAUGGCAAUGAGCUGCGGCAGACAGAUGGACAACUGGCGCAGGAGUAGGUUCGUCGGGCGUGAAUGCGGACACUACUUCAGUGAAUUAACUGUAGAUGCGUUGGGUUACUGACAUGUGGGCCCAACGGGCAUCUAGCCCGCAUGUCAGUGACACACCAAUUGCAACUGCAGUUAAGCACGAUGAAUGCGGCAUUGACGUUCUGGAGAGACGGUGACAGUUUCAGGUGGGAAGCACGCGCUAGCGAUGGAAGGGGUUUCAGUGUGCAGUGGCACUAACAACGGUCGCUCACGAUAGUACAUACUCCAUACCAUACUAUCAUAGUACCCUCUCUAGCUAGGUUGUUUUAUAGAUUGUCGUUGUGAUGGACGAUAUACAUGAGCAAGGCGCUCCGAGUAUGACCGUUGGCGUUGAGCCAGGUGAAUACAUGCUCGGCGUUCGCGUAGGCCUCCAUCAAACGUCUAAACGGUAAUGUCAGGCACCGCCGGGGCGCGUAGGUGAUGGGCUCGCCAUUUGCGUUGUGCCAUGAGCAGGACUUUCAUUUAGAGGGCGACGUGCAUGCAUUAGCAUGCUUUGACAGCAUGAGGUGAGUGUCUGACGUGAAGUAUUUCAUUUUCAUUUGGCUGACGAGGGUGCGUUGCAGCGACGAGUCCGUGGUUUGAUUCCCCACAUACGCAUAAUUUUGGUUUUUAUAGUAUUUCUUUCUCCAUUAACAGGUAGGCCCACAUAGAUAGAUAAAGAACACGAGCUGAUGAGGCGCAUGCGGACUGUUUGACUGGUCAACCAGACAAAUACGGAGCUAUACGCUGAGCCAAUGACCGUAUAAUCACCAUAUCUCGUAUACAAUGAUCAAAGUGAGCUAUCAAGACAAGUUCGAUAACCACCAAUGCAUUUUACUCGGUAAUAAAUGACCAGGAUUGAAGGGGAAUCCAAAUUUCCUUCGUCUUCUAUCCUUGAGCUCUUGACAAACCAAUGCACUAUACGGUUGUCCGGCCACUCCACCCCAGAGCUCUCACCAAGCGUCGUUCAUGCCACCGCACCGCACACUAACCGGUAAGGCAGCGAUGGCAUCCCGCCACGCCGAGUUCCUCACCGCCCACGACCGCACACAAAAUGGUAGGGAAGCGAUGGCAUCCCGCCAUGCCGAGUUCAUCGCCGCUCGCGACCUCACAACUAUGUGGGAGGAAUUUGAAUAUGCCAAGGCCGAAUGGGUGGUAGAGCAAGAGGCGGCCAAAGCCGCACAGAGGGAGCAGAAAAGUCAGAAAGCACUCAAGAAAAGAGAGGCCCGCCGUCGCAAGAAAGAAAAGGACGCACGCGCUCCUGCAGAGAGGUCGGCGGAGAUCCAAGCAUGGUGGGGUGUCACCGAGAAAGCCAGGAAGGAGAACGACGACGUCUGGCCAGCAUGUGAGAAGUAGUAGUACUAGUAGUUAGUGUGUGUGUCUGUGUCUGAGUACGAGCAUGUACCAGUACUACUAGUUACUACUGUAGUUUUUAGAGCAAAUUACCAGUACAUUAGCCUAGACUAAAUGGAAAAAAUUCCUAACCUAUGCAUCAAAUGGCAUCUCUUUCUCUAUAGGAAUUGAGAUGCAUGUCAUCUCACUUCCUAUGAUUUUCAUAUUCCUAUAAAAUUCCUAUCCUAUGAAGAAAAGGAGGCCUCUGUUGGAGUAACUAUUGUAGCUAGCAGUACUGCUGGUACAGUAGUUUUCUUCAAGAAGCGGAAUUCAAUGAAGUCAUGAUGGUUCCUUCAUCCGAGCAACUUCAAAGUGGGAAGUGGGCAUGUAAUUUUACGGCUCAUUAGUCAUUGUUACCGCGGCGCGACGACCGGGGUGACUCUCCCUUGGAGUUUUGCGUGCAUGGCAAGUGGACCAGGAUGGUCGACGUCCCACAUGUUGGCAAACGGAAGUAUUCUUUCCGAUAUCGAGGAGCAAGGAAACCGCGUGGUAUAGUAUCACUGCUGAUUGGUUCUCAAAAAAAUAGUAUCACUGCUGAUUUAUAAUUAUUUUUUAUUUCUGAUGAAUGCUAGCAUUUCAACUCUUAUGACAAAGAGUGUCAAACAUGGCACGUGUUGGAUGUCCCACACGUCAGCGAAAGGAGUGGGACAUGAACAUCGUGGUAGAGCCCAGCAUAAAAAAACAGCAUGGUAGAGCUUCUCCACUUCUUCCAGUUCUGUGUCGGAGACCACACGUAGUAGUACUUAGUGGUAUGAACGAUACAAAGUGCAACCUGGAGAGAAAGACACGUCUAGUUGGAAGGUCUCGGGGCAUACACGUAAACAAAUAUAAAAGUUAAUAUGUACCUCCAACUAAUAUAGUAGCAGUAGAGUACUUAGGCACGUGCUCCAUAACAUCACCGUGCAUUGCACGUACAACAUUUAGUGGCAGUACGUAGUAAGAGACAAAUGUCGUCCAAGAGUUCCCUUCUCGACCUACUUUUGAGUGUUUGGUAGAGUGUAUGGAGGGUGCAUGAGUCCACACUUGUUUAGCACAAAUACACUAGAAGCAUGCAUGAAGAGGGAAAAACUAUGCUGAGAUGAGAACGCAACCAAACACACCCUAUAUGCCACGCAUGUUCAUACCAUCUGUGCCUUUCUACUUCACUUACUGCGCUACAUAACUCAGGUUCGUACGUCCACUCCUAGGUACAUGUCCGUCUCGUAGUUUUAUUCCCACGUGUUCUUCAUAUAGAUGGAACGAUCCUUGCAUAACACGUGCACCUUGAUGCUAGAUGUCUCGCGUGUUGGCAAAAGGAUAAACAAAGCUCACAUAAAAAAAUAGAGUGGAAGAACAUAGAUUCCCGACGACCGAGAAGGAGCAAGGAACCUCGUGGUAGCGCGCUGCACUCAUAAUAUUUAAUAUUAUUCAGCGAUAUAAAAUAAACCAAUCAUCUCCACAGUGGACUGGAAGAGUACGAAACACGGCAGCCCAGUGUAGUUACAUCAUACUAGUACAUGGCUAACCCACGCUAUCACCAUAUUUCUUGGCUUUCGUGCGACACCUAUGUCUAGUAAUCCAGUAGCCUGUAUCGCUUCUCCCUCCUCGUCUCUAUCAAAGUGCGGUGGGCUGGCGUUUUUGCCGUCUAUUGAGGUCGGUUAACUCAUCACAUAUUAGCGACAUGCCAAGAGCAUUCUAAAAAAAUUCCUUUCACGUUCUGUUUUCAAAAAGAAAAAGCCUUUCCCGUACGAAUUUGACUGUAUGCUUUGAGCAACUUGCAUGUCCUAUACUGCUCCUGUUUGAUACUCUAACUUAGCUAGAGGUUAGACUAACUCAUGACUAACCCUGAACUAACUGUAGCCAAAGAGGUUUUUGGGUGACAGGGUUAGAUUGACAAUAAAUGCACUUGAUAGAGAGAGAAAAUUGAUUUUUCAGUGGUCCCAAUGAGAACUAUCUCCAGUUAGCACCUCUUGGGUGGGAUAGUUUUUUUUUGUGGGUUCGGUGCAACUUGCUCCAAUUUAAACCCUCAUGCUUGGAUACUUUAGGGCUAUUUGAGCUCCAACUAGCUCAAACUAACUCUAACCCAUGGAUCCAAACAGGGCAUAUGGCCAGUCUCGACGCGGAGUAGUCGCGUGCACCGGGAAGCGGCGCUCUCUCGGCCAUCGCGCCACUUCAAAGCCGACGCCAGUGAGAGGUCGCCUCCACUCUGGUCGGGUAUUAAUGCGGCACUGAUGCACCAGGGCGGCGCUGACCGCUUCAUGCGGGAAGCGCGCGCUGGCAAGGGAGUAUAUGUUUUGAACCGUUUCAGGUGUAGUACUGGUAGUUUGCAAAACUACUCAAUUAUUGCACUCAGUUUCCUAAGAAAUUGUGGUAAAAACGUUACUCCACAGCCCGCUUCCCUUCUCCUUCCUCUUCCACCGCUCGCGCACGUCCAUGGGAAGCGACCGGUCAACCCUUAUAUAGGAGUGCUAGCAUAAAAAGAUGCAUGCAUGACCACUAAAAUUUCCAUAUUAAAGCGCCGCUCCGGCGGGAGUAUGGCGUAUGUUGUUACCUUCGACCGGGCCAUGGCUACCGAGCGACGACGACCAGAGAAGAGGCGGCGGGAGGGGAUUGAAUGCAGCUACUGUUUGGGUUCGCCUUCCGACUCAAAUAAAUGCGCAGCAUCACGUGUACCCACGGGUGCACAAAUUGUAACAUACGUGUCUGCUUAAGUGGGCGUCACGUAACUGGUGUGUGUGUGACAGAGAGAUUCUGAGAGACAGAGUGCGUGUAUGCGACUCUACUCUUCGGACAUGUACUCAACCUUUUGCAUCGCGAUAUAAGUAUAAUGGUAUUUACUUUAGCUAGUGAUUUACGUGGCCAUGUUAACGUGGUUGUGUCAAAAAAAUGUCACUUCCUGCUUGUGAUUUGUGUUAUAUAAUUACAAGUAAGAUUCUCGUGCAUUGCACGGAACAUCAAUAAGCAUUUUUUUACAAAACACCUGUUGUGAUUGACCCAUGAAGGAGUAAUCCCAUGUGUAAAAACUAAUGAUAUCUCGAGAAUUUUAUCGGAAAACUGGUAUCUCGAGAAUGUCAUCGAAAAAAAUGAAAGAUGAGAUAUAAGGCGAGGAGGAGUGGUGGUGGUCGGAAUGGGCGGAGGCAUGGGGAUGGACGGCGCGGGCAGGCGGCAGCGGCCACCAUGCUAGAUUGUUGCAGAGACUUCCUUUUUUAAUUGCUGAGCAAUGAGGUUGUGGGAGAUAAGGAUGUGGAGAGAGGUGCGGGUAUCUUUUGUAAAAUUAUCAUAGUUCACUUUCUAUUCGUCAGAUUUAGAUCAUACGGUCUGUAUUACAAGAUGCCAGGCACACCAUCAUCGCCAACUCCUUUUUUUAUAAGGGUACAGAUGAUAAGUUUGCUGACUACUAAAGUAAAGUGGAAUUUGUCCAUGUUAUGCAAGUAAAUUAAGGUGAUUGUUUAUCAUACGGGUAAGGUUGGAUGAAGGCUGGUAGGAACAAAUGCUCUGCCUAGAGCAUGUGUGUGUGAGAUGGAGUCUUAGUGUGUGUGUGGGGUGUGUGUGUGUGUGAGAGAGAGAGAGAGAGAUGGAGUCUUAGUGUGUGUGUGUGUGUGAGAGAGAGAGAGAUGGAGUCUUAGUGUGUGUGGGGGGUGCGUGCGUGCGUGUGUGUGUGUGUGUGUUUGUGUGUGUGNNNNNNNNNNNNNNNNNNNNNNNNNNNNNNNNNNNNNNNNNNNNNNNNNNNNNNNNNNNNNNNNNNNNNNNNNNNNNNNNNNNNNNNNNNNNNNNNNNNNNNNNNNNNNNNNNNNNNNNNNNNNNNNNNNNNNNNNNNNNNNNNNNNNNNNNNNNNNNNNNNNNNNNNNNNNNNNNNNNNNNNNNNNNNNNNNNNNNNNNNNNNNNNNNNNNNNNNNNNNNNNNNNNNNNNNNNNNNNNNNNNNNNNNNNNNNNNNNNNNNNNNNNNNNNNNNNNNNNNNNNNNNNNNNNNNNNNNNNNNNNNNNNNNNNNNNNNNNNNNNNNNNNNNNNNNNNNUGUGUGUGUGUGUCACGGGGUCCUUUGUGGCGGAUGUAAUUUAAGUGUGCAUGGCUUCAUCAUAGAGAGGUGAUGUGUAUGGCACAGGCCACCAGCGAUGGGGUGCGAGAGAGAAAAUUCCCGUAGAGAGGGAAGAGAAGGUGUGUGCGCGUGAGAGGAGUCGACAUCGAGAGAACGUGUUUAUUCAAGAGACACCGAGGAAGACUACUAUAUAUCGAUGGUGCAUGUAGGUGGGAAUUAAACAAAGGGAUGGUCUUAUUGGUUUCGGGGAUAUAGUGGAAGAGUGAGAGGCGGGGGCGGGGGUAGCUAGAAGAAGAUUGUUAAGUGUGAGUGUGUGUUUUACCCAUCCAGGCGGAAGUUAUGUGCACACAAGAGGAGAACUAUUCGAUGUGGUGUUAGGAUUGAGGGUAAUUAACUACAUAUCGAGACAUAGAGACCUUGAACGUGCAUGUGUGAGAGGUAUACAUGUAUACGUGGGAUGUGUGUGUGUGUGCGCGCGCGCAUGAUCGAGAUAAAAGAAAGAAGACAUAAGUCAUAAGAUCAACGACAUGGGAGAUACGGAUCGCUAUGACAAUAUGCAUGCAUGCGAGAAUGCACGAAAGAAGGGCCGAUAAUUGAGCAUGUAUUUUUGUCUUUAAGAGAUAGUGGCGUGGUCUGGAGCAUGCAUCUAUGGCGAGCAGAGGGAGUGAGGCACAAUGAUUGUGCAAAAGAGAUCAACCUAUAAAUGCAUAUGUAUGGAGAGACAUAUAUAGUGUGGGUGAUAGGAAGCAAGACUCCGUGCGAGAAAGAAAUGUUGAAACUACAGAUAGAUAUAGAGAUGGAGAUGCUAGCUAGAGGGACAUCCACUAGUUUGGGUGUUGGAGAUGACCGCCGGGUGGUUCAGAGGGUGAAGUUUUAUAUGUGUGUGAGAGGUCACUUGACUGCAUGUAGAGAGAAACAUAUGUAAUGUGCGUGAUAGGAAUCAAGAGUGAGGGCGAGAAAGAAGGUUGAUGGAGAAACAGAUAAAUAGAAAGAUCAAGAUGCUAGCUAGUGUGCAUUAGAGAUAGGAGUCGAGUGGAUCAAAAGGCUGAGUUAUGUGUGUGGGUGUGAGAGAGAUAGAGAGAGGGUGCAUGUGAUUCACAUACAAACAGAUAUCAGAGAGAAAUGAGAUCCCGAGAGACGGAGUUUUGUGUCUUCGAGAGAGAAAGAUAUUUCACAACGAGAGUGAUAGUUAGAGAGACAUAUGAGGGAACGCAAGAUAUCUCUAGAAAGAGAGUGUGUGUGAGCGACAUACAAGAGAACAAUGGAAAAAUAUGAGACCCGGAGAGACAGAGUUUAUGUUUGUGUGUGAGAAAGAGGUACUUAAGAGGAAGAGUCGUAGGUUCUCAUAUCUAAGGAGCGAAAGACAUCUCUGUAUGAGGGGUGUGUGAGUGGCACACAUGGGAAUAGUAGAGAGAAAUGAGACCCCGGAAGACAAAGUUUUGUGUUUGUGUGAGAGAAAGAGAUUCCACAUGGAGAAUCAUAGUUGGAGACACAUAGUAGAGAGUGAGAUAUACUUAGAGAGAGAUAGAGUGAUGAAGGUCGAGGGAGAGAGUACCGUCAGUGUGCUACGAAGAUAAAAGAUCAUUGUCGACAUAUAGAUAGCACGAGAGAUACCUGAGAGACGAUGAACGCGUAUAGGUCCAGAGAGAUAGUCCUAUAUAAGCAUGAGUGCUAGCUAUAUCAGAUGAAUAUCUGGAUUAAAAGGGAUUCAAAUAUUUAAACUAGAGACCACGACAUCGAUAAUAUCAUAAUGCAAAUUGGUGUAUCAAACAUGCAUAUUCAUUUGAAUUUGGGCACACGUAUAAUGUUAUAUAGUUUAUCAAUAUUGGUGAUCCAUAGAUUCUUUAAUUACAAACAAUGCAUGAUUUAUAUACAAUUAAUGUCUAAACGGGAUUACACUAUAUGUUGCGUGUGUGAAACACAUUAUACAUAUUUGAGAAGUAAAAAAACCCGCAUGAAACACACAUUAAUUGGAGACAGUUAGCGAGGAAUGCAUACAUUGAAUUUCAACAUAAAGUGGUUUCAAAUAUUUGAAAUCCAAAUUGAUGGAUACAACCUUAUGAAUCUGAGAUCAUGCCAUUUGUAAACCAUAUUUAUGUAUAAAUGGUGUUGUGCUUUUGAAAAUCAUGUAUAUAGAAUUUAAUUCCAAUUAAAAAUGGAUCCCACCCAAAAAAAUAGAAUACAAACAAGAUUCGAAUUGAGUUGGCACGGUCAACGUGCACUCUACAAAAUUUAAACGAAGCGAGAAAAGUCGCAGUAACCGCCCGAAACCAAAAUCUGUGAGAUGGAAAUUACUACUGCCUAUCCCUGCCACGCAAAACCUAUCUGUCGGAUUUCUAUAGGUUUCGAUAGAGGUAGGUUUGUAAUUUCACCCAAACGUGACGUAACCGCUUCUCACCCGGAUUCAUACACGGUGGGCGCCAAAACACAGUGUGUCCUCGACCGAAAUCGACUCCCUCCCCUAUUCGCCCCGCCGCCACCGUCUACCCUCCUAGAUCUGCUUCCACGCCGCCGACAGCCAUCGCUAUCGCAACACCGUCAAAUUCUCAGCAGAUGCGUACACGGCGCCGCACCAGAGGCGAUACUCUUUCGUAUCUGCUCAACUUAUUUAUUGCAGCAAGAAAAUAGAUUGCCGCUGCUUUACUUUGAUUUCUUGUCUUGGUUGCGAAGUUGCCUUUGUCUGGUUUGCACCUUCAGAUCCGCCAUGGCACACUCAACACUAUACUCCCAAUACAUAUGGUUUUCGCCUUUUAUAUUCCACACUAGUUAAAUCACAGUAGAUUAAAUUUCAAAAUUGGGUCAGUCGAUUUUUUAGAGCUCGGCGGAGUUUGCCAGUGCGAACGAAGGGGCUCGGGUGGUUGUGGGGCCUCGUUGAACGAAGAAAACUCGACGCGGGUGGGGGUUGGGGCGGGGGUGGGGGUGGGGGUGGCGGAGGAACACAAGCGGUGGGGGCCGGUGGUCCGGCCGGCGGUCCGUGCGGUGUUCUGUAUGGGAAGAAUCAGAGACGAGGAGAAGAAGGGUUAGGAUAUGUAGGAUCUUCAUCCAACCGCCUGAAAUGAUCGAGAGAUAGCUGGGAGUUGCAUUCUUAAUGCGCUCUGGUUCAUCAUGUGUGGGCACUGGGCAACCAACAUUUUAUUAUCCAAAAUCUGCUUACUCUUCUUUACCAUGUUCCUUUUCCGUUCUUCUUUAAUAUAUACUCUCUCCGUUCCUAAAUACAAGUCUUUGUAUAGAUUCCACCAUGGAAUACAUAUCGAGCAAAAUGAGUGAAUCUACACUCUAAAAUGUAUCUGGAUACAUGUGUAUGUGAUUCAUAGUGGAAAUCUCUACCAAGACUUAUAUUUUGAAAUGGAGGGAGUAUGAUAGUAGUAUGCUACGUCUUGAGCUUGCGUUGGUUUUCCUUGAAGAGGAAAGGGUGAUGCAGCAAUAGUAGCGUAAGUAUUUGCCUUAGUUUUUGUCAAAUUUUGGGUUCCGGCAGACCCUUGAGGUUCGAACUCUAGGGUGCGCACGAAGAUCUUUCCCCUACCAACUCACGUCUUGAAGCCUCGCAAGGAAUCUAGGCUAGAAAUAAGAACACACAAGGGACACGAGAUUUAUACUGAUUCAGGCCACCAUUAUGGUGUAAUACCCUACUCCAGUGUGUGGUGUGAUGGAUUGCCCUAGGGGCUGAUGAACAAUACAGAGGAAGAACAGCCUCGUGAGAGGUGUUCUUGAGCUGGUGCGAUGAACUGCUUGGGUGAGUUCAGUCGCCUCUUUCUCUCUAGUCUACCCAAAAUCUCUCCCCCUUACUCUGUGGUGGCUAGCUCUAUUUAUAGAGGGAGGUCCUGGGCCUCUUCCCAAAUAAUGAGCAGAAAGGGCGUCAACAAUUGGCCAUUUUGAAGGGGAACAUCUAGUACACUUAUCCUGACUAAAGUUGGUCUUCGACUGUCAAAGACUCUGACGGUGACGUCGUUCUGGGCUCCACGGUGACCUCCAUCCUGCCGUCCCACUGAUCUUGGUCUUGUUGCACCGAAACAGUAACCUUUGCCUGAUGCCUUGGCCUGUGCUUCCCCCCUUUGCACCAAAGGGGAAACAAGGACACUGCACAAGCCGGCGCCCGCCUGGCGCCCUCCUGGUCUCGAUCGUCAUGGCUUGCGUCACGAGCACCUCGCGAGGUACUCUGCCUUGAUCUCUCCGCCUCCUCGUGAGCCCGCCUAAUGAGGGUGCUCCUGAGGAAGCUUCCUAUCGUCCGCCCCGCGAGUUUUGGCCCCUCACGAGGGUCUUGCGCUUGAGCUGAUGAAGCUCGGCUGCACUGUGCCUCCGCUUGAGCCACGUCGCAGGCCGCAGGCAGGCAAGUCUGGGGACCCCCGUUCCCAGAAUGCCGACAGUAGCCCCGGGGCCCAAGGUGCGCCUGGACUUGGCUUAGCAGAGAAGCGAAGGGUCUGAAGCGCCGCGGGCCCCAAUAGCCUGCGGCCUUGGGCGCCGUGUGGCGAUUGAUUGGACAUGGGCAUUUCCGCUUCCCCAUGAUGCCUCAUUACGCGCCCAGCUAGGCGGACCCGUGGUUGCAUACAACUAUUCCCCUUUCGCCGUUCGCGCGCUUCCUGCCCUUCCUCCUUCCUCGAGCUCCAACCCCCGCCUCCAAUCCAACUCGAACUCUCCCCCCUUCCCAUCGUCAUGGCGCCAACGAAGAAGGAAAUGGGAAAGAAGCCCGCGCCUUCACCCCGCUCGUCUCCGGUGGCGGCCCCCGCCGUUGAUCGGUCAAUCAUACUCAACCCUGAAGCCUUGGACAAGGUCCGUUCUGCUCUUGCCUCCAUCUUCAACGAGUGCGGCAGGACCACAGUCUGGCCUGCGUCCCAUGCCUCCUUUGAUAGGAUCGUCACGGAGGUCCGGUUCUUCGCCGAUGCCCUGUGGGCGGGUCUGGUUCCUCCCUUUUCCGCUUUCUUUAAUGCGGUGCUCUCCCAUUCUCAGAUUCACAUGAUGCACUCGGGGCCUGAGUCCAUUACCCUUCUGGCUGUUUUCGCCUUUGUUUGCGAGGCAAUGAUGGGCAUUCCUCCUUCUGUUGCCCUCCCGCGCCACUUCUUCUCCCCACUCAAUGCUCGGGGUGUGUGAGCUUCCUCGCCGUGCCAGAGACGGCUGCUUCGGGGAUCAAUUUCGGCCUUCCUUCUUUAGUUGUUUGCUUAAAUCGUAUCUCAGCCGACGUACUUUCCAUCUUGCAAUCUCGUCCUCAAACCAUUUUUGAUAAAUCACCAUGUUAUAUCUUUCCCUUAUUACAUGGAAUAUGCUUCUUUUUUGUCGGUGUAUGUGUCUUCAACUCGUGUUAUUGGGCAAUAAUUGUUUCCUUUCAACCUCCUUUUGCAAACAGGGCUAUCCAUUUUCACCUCGUUGGUAUUGCGACCUUUUGGUAAACUGCACAAAUCACUUUUUUCUUAAGAGUGUUUUAUGCAGUUCCAUCAAAAUGUCACAUGAGCAACGUUUUUACAUUUCUGUGGGACUGCGGAAAGGGAGAUUGGUUUUGCUAUCCUCCUCAUCCAACUCCGUGCCUAAUCUUCUCCAACAAAGAAGUUAGUCCUAAAGAAAGAUCGUAGAGGUGAUCGGCUUCUAUUUGUGUGUGUUAUGUUUCAUCAUCUAGUUCCACUAUUAUUGUAAUCACACUGACUGGAUAUCUUUGCAAACAGGGAUGGUCCGCUCGAUUUUUGUGGAGCUGCACAAAAUGAUCGGAUUGUGGUUUCCUCCAUACACCUCUUUUUUUGCUACAGAGCUGGGUGAAACAAGCUGCCAAGCAAUGAACGCUGUGCCAAGGAAAUGGAGCCAUGCCUACGAACAACAUCGAUCAAUUUCUUUUUUUUAUUUGUACACCUUCUCACAACUUUAUCUUCAGUUGUGAUGUGAAUAUUGACGCUGAUCUACGAACCAUUGAGAUGCAUUAGCCAUGGUAGCUGUGACGUCCCGUUACGUCCAACAGAGUCAGGCGUAACGGAAGCCGUCACUUCAGAGUUGCAUCAGGAUCAGUUAAGAAAAACAGUAUCAUGUACAAGACGAAGCAGCUGCCAUGAGUAGGCAAGCUUUUAUUACAUAGACACCUCAAGUGUCGACUAAGCCUAAGCGACCAUGACGAUAGAUUGUCACCCAUUUCUAGUGCGAGCCUUCUAGACCAACCAUGGAGGGCAUCUACUCUUCAUAGACUUGAUUGCCAACAUCCUCAUAAUCAUACUCCACUUCAGAAUAACCAGAGUCGUCAAGAUCACCAGACUCAUCAUAAGUACCAUUCUCUAGUGCCUCAGAGUUCUCAUAACUCCCUUGUUCUGAAAAAAACAUAAGUGCAGCUGAGUACGUAUAAAAUACGUAAUCCGCAAGUCGCAGGGAAAAGUGGAUGUAUGAGUUUUUUUAAAGAGGAAAAACUUUAUCGGCCAUGGCUACCACCACCGAGCCAUUAGCUCAAAAUACUUUGUAGGUAAAAAAAAUAUAUUUUCCCUUAACCUAUUAUGUUGAAAAUUAAUUUUAUUUAUAAAAUCUACUAGCGAUAGAGCGAUGUGGGAUCUUACAUCCUGUGUUACAGGAAAACCCACACGACGCACUUCCAACCCCGAAAGCUGGGAGUGAUAUCACAUUUAUUCUGAUCAGAGAUGUACUGCUUUGCCCAUAGCAUCACUAGGUCCAAGUCGUCCAUGCGCUACUCGUGCGCACGAUUAGACCAAGGAACCAGAACCUUUAACCAGCCCGUAGACUACCUCUGCUUUUCCACCUUGCCUUACUAUAGGCCCGCGGGUCUAGACCCCUGACCGGCGGUCCCACCCUAGGGUGACUGUACCUACCCGGGUACAACCACCUUCUCACUCAUGCAGAGGUAGCUACUUGGCAUGGGUAGUCGGUUCAGCCCGUCCCAUUCCAGGUCUAUGGUCAGUAUGGUUUGUGCCGCUUUUGACGUAAGCGCUAGUUGGUUGUGUCCUAAUGUAAUAUCCUAUAUAGAGGAGUCUGCCAUCCAAGCCAACCCUAAACGGAUUGCCUUCACCAACAUGAGCUCCCCUACCCACCAAAUUUUUAUUUAUAAUGUAAUCCUGCCCGAGUCACGACUACUUAAUAUAGAUACUUCACCUGAUCUGGUCCAAUUGCCAAAUCAGUGGAUCCACCUGAUCCAAAUUUCAUUUUAUUUAUGAAAAGUAUUUAUUUUUAGUUCUUAUGCAAAAUUUUGGAAAUGACCCAUAGCCCGGAAAACAUUUAUCAAGACAUGAUCAAGGAGAUGACGACUUGCCGGGUAGCGCUCCGACCAACUCGGAACCACCAGAUGUGGGUCCUAUGCCUGAUAAUUAUUUCACAAAGAAGUUUAUAUUUUUCCCUAAUCAAGAUCCAAGCAUCAAGCAACACUUCCAUACGGUGCAAUCCAUUUUAAUUAAAGAGGUAAUGAUACAUGCUAGUGUGUAAUUAGAAGCAAAAUGCAUACAGCACAUCAAGAAGUACUCCCUCCGUUCCAAAAUAAUUGUCUUUCUAGCCAUCUCAAAUGGACUACAACAUACGGAUGUAUGUAGACAUGUUUUAGAGUAUAGAUUCACUUAUUUUGCUUCGUAUGUAGUCACUUAUUGAAAUCUCUAGAAAAACAAUUACUUCGGAACGGAGGGAGUAGUACGCACGUGCACAUCACAAAGAGCAAGCAAGCAAGCUCAAAAGGAAAAAACGUGUUUAGCUGGUCGAACCCAACCCCGGCAGAAAUAUCAUUUCUUUUUUCUCCAACUAGUCAUCUUCCCCAGCUCUCUACCUCUCUCUCUCUCACUAUCACUGGUAUGCUCAGCCACGAACAGAACCAACUCCAUCUCUCUCUCCCUAACUACAGAGCAGGUCGCCGCCGGCUCGAUCUGCCACUUCCGGACAUCUCCGGCGACACCGUGGACACCCACAGAAUCCCCUCGACUCCCUCUACCAUAUCCCCCCAUUUAUUUGAUCCGCCGCCGCCAAAAUCGCCGCCACCCUCAAACCCCAGCGUCGUCUGCAUCGGGUCCGAUGGGUUCACCACGGGCCGCAGUAGCAAUGGCAUAUCCCUGCCUACAACCUCCUCCAGCAGAGCUGCACGCACGAGGCAUGCAACUACGGCCGUCGGGAGCGAGCAUCUUAACCGGCGCGGCUCCGGCAACAUGGCCGCUACCGGCGCCUGGCUCGCCUUUGUCUACUGCUACUAGUGUAAGUGUCAGUCCAAAUUUCUCUCUGUGCAGUGUUCUUACCUCUACUGCUAGUGUUUGUGCUAUGACUCCCCUUACUGCCAUGCUUCUUGUUAAUAUCAAGACCAAGGAAUUAAUCAAGCUUUACUCGAUGGUGUGGACGUGGUCUCCAGAUUUAUUCUAUAUUGUUUAUUCAAUUUUUAGCUCUACUACACUAUCCUCGCACUACUAUGAUUCUUUUUUAAUUAAGCUCAUAACUAGGAAUUAACCAGUGAAUUCCUACUAUUACCGACUUGAUCAAAAAGCGACAAGUUAAUUGCUUCUGAUAGUUAGGUGCUGCCACAAACUAAAUCUAAAUGUUGCUUCUACUGUGUGUGCGCGUGCACUCAUUUCUGGACCCUACAAUAGUCAAGUGAACAUUGACAUUGAUCACUCAAAACAUACUUAGAAAGGGGAUCAGGAAAGGGAAAAUAAAAGGAUAACAGGAAUUUAUUUGUACAAGAUUUGCACAAAGUAUGUUUAUUUAUUUUUCUGUUUUCAGAAUGAGGCAUGUGCAAAUGAGACAUGGCAAACAUUAGCCAAACAGUGUUCAAUACAACUAGGAAGGGAUCAUUAAGAUGAGUAGCAUACACAGGAAGCUUGAGCUAUUAGCUGUACAUGUAAAUCUUAGCAAGUUAAUAUUUGGGAUUUAAUUCUCAGCAUGACAUGUCUAUUAUAUACAUAGAUCUAGUACAAGACAGAGAUGGACAUGCAUAUUACACAUGCAUCACUAAACCACCAUGUACCAAUUUGUCUUCAUCUAAUUUAUGUGCUUUCUUUUUCUAACCAUCAUUCUUCUUUUUACAAAGUAACUAGAGUCCAAAAGAUCAGGUGUUCAUGUUCUAAGCAAAGGUGAAGAUGGAUCAAGCAAACAAAGCUGCAAAAGCAAGGCACUUGAAUAGUACCUGAUGGCAACUCAGCAUCCGACCAAAAGAGUGGAUGGGGAUGGUGGGGAGAGCUUGGUUCUCUCUUGUGCGUGUUGUGUGCAGUAGAGGAAGUCAAAGGUGAAAGGAGGAGGCUGCUAUUUAUAGUAGUGUAGGGUGCUAGGUCGGUUUGGUAAAAGAGAGAUGUGGCUGACAUGCAUGGUUGCAUGAGCAUGCAAGCCUCCACAAGUAAUCAUGUGAGUUGUACAACGGACAAGUGUAUAGUGCAUGGUUCGACACGAGAUGGCAUAUAAUUUGUGUGUAAGGAAUGAGACAAGGGACUAAUUAUAAAUCUGCAAACAAUAAGGGAGUUGGAGAAGAACCAUUGUACAUGGCUAAAUACUAACUUUUUUGGUUGCAAUAAAUUUUUGAUAUUAGUGUUGUGGUUAAUUAUAAUUAUUCAACUAACUAUGCCUUGUGACACUGGUGUAACAUAGCGCCGUCAAAAAUAUUGUUAUCUAAUUUUGAGGGUUUUUACAUCCCUUCCCCCUUCGAAAAAUUUCGUCCUCGAAAUUUGAGUUGUGACUCGUAUAGGCUGGCCCAAGUCUAACCCUCUCAGUCUAAUCAUGUAUAGGCUAGCAUUAAAGAUUAUACACUCAAUGCAUAUGGGAUUGUUGUGGAAGACAUGCUCAACAAUUAUUGGGCCUCCGAGUGAGUCUACUUCUAUGAGUUUGGCUAGGGAGGUUCGGUCCAAACUACAUGUCUCAGCAAAGUGUCGGGAUAUGAAAGGAUAUGUUGCCCUUGAUGUAAUAAAAUAAAUAAUAAUAAUACUAAGACUACUUCAAGAGGGAUUUGUAGGUUACUGAUGACCCACAAGUGUAGGGAAUCUAUCGUAGUCCUUUCGAUAAGUAAGAGUGUCGAAUCCAAUGAGGAGCAGAAGGAAAUGAUAAGCGGUUUUCAGUAAGGUUUUCUCUGCAAGCACUGAAACUGUAGGUGAUAGAUAGUUUUGUGAUAAGAUAAAUAGUAACGAGUAACAAGUAAAUAAAGUAAAUAAAGUGCAGCAAGGUGGCCCAAUUCUUUAUGUAGCAAAGGAUAAGCCUGGACAAUUUCUAAUAGUGAUAAAGGAGCUCCCGAGGAAACAUUGAGAAUUAUCGUCAAGCUAGUUUACAUCACGUUCAUAUGAUUCGUGUUCGGUACUUUGAUAACUUGAUAUGUGGGUGGACCGGUACUUGGUUACUGCCCUAACUUGGACAAGCAUCCCACUUAUGAUUAACCCCUAUUGCAAGCAUCCGCAACUACAAAAGAAGUAUUAAGGUAAACCUAACCACAACAUUAAACAUAUGGAUCCAUAUAAGCCCCUAACGAAGCAACGCAUAAACUACGGUUUAAUCUUCUGUCACUCUAGCAACCCAUCAUCUAUUUAUUACUUCCCCAUGCCUUCCUCUAGGCCCAAAUAAUGGUGAAGUGUCAUAUAGUUGACGUUCACAUAACACCACUAGAGGAAAAGACAACAUACAUCUCAUCAAAAUAUCGAAUGAAUACCAAAUUCACGUGACUACUAAUAGCAAGACUUCACCCAUGUCCUCAAAAACAAACGUAACUACUCACAAAGCAUAUUCAUGUUCAUAAUCAGAGGAGUAAUAAUAUGCAUAAAGGAUCUGAACAUAUGAUCUUCCACCAAGUAAACCAAUUAGCAUCAACUACAAGGAGUAAUCAACACUACUAGCAACCCACGGGUACCAAUUUGUGGUUUUGAUACAAGAUUGGAUACAAGAGAUGAACUAGGGUUUUGGAAGGAGAUGGUGCUGGUGAAGAUGUUGAUGGAGAUUGACCCCCUCCCGAUGAGAGGAUCAUUGGUGGUGACGUUGGUGAUGAUUUCCCCCUCCCGGAGGGAAGUGUCCCCGGCAGAAUAGCUCUGCCAGAGCCCUAGAUUGAUUCCGCCAAGAUUCCACCUCAUGGCGGCGGAGUUUCGUCCCGUAAGCUUGCCCACAAUUUUUUCCAGGGUAAAAGUGAUGAUAUGGCAGAAGAUGGACGUCAGAGGCCCACCAGGGGGCCCAGGAGAUAGGGGGGCGCGUCCCCUGUCUCCUGGACAGGGUGUGGGCUCCCUGGCAUAUUUCAGGACUUUUGGAGCUGUGCAGAAUAGGUUUCCAACGUUUGCUCCUUUUCUAGCCAGAAUUUCAGCUGCCGGCAUUCCCCCUCUUCAUGGUAAACCUUGUAAAAUAAGAGAGAAUAGCCAUAAGUAUUGAGAUAUAAUGUGUAAUAACAGCCCAUGAUGCAAUAAAUAUUGAUAUAAAAGCAUGAUGCAAAAUGGACGUAUCAACUCCCCCAAGCUUAGACCUCGCUUGUCCUCAAGCGGAAGCCGAAAUUGAAAAAUAUGUCCACAUGUUUAGAGAUAGAGGUGUCGAUAAAAAUAAAAUACGGACAUGAGGGCAUCAUGAUCAUUCUAAUAACAACUACAUACAUAAAUUUUGUCAUAUGAUUCUCUAUGCUCAAGCUACAAGCAAUUCAUAAUGUCAAGUAUGGUUCAAAAACUUCAUUGGGAACUAACAAACUAUGAUCUCAGUCAUUGAAGCAAUUGCAAUUUAUCGUAACAUCAGAAAGAGUCAAUAAUGGAGCUUUUCAGCAAGCUCACAUACUCAACUAUCUCUUAGUCUUCUACAAUUGCUAACACUCACACAGUACUUGUGGUUAUAGACUUUCAGCCGGACACUGAGAAAGAUAGGGACUUAUUGUGUUGCCUCCCAACGUAUUCACCUUUAGGUGAUGUCAACAAUAUUAGCCCAUGCUAACUUACAUCCAAUUGGAUAUAUAUAUCAUGAUCUUUCAAACACGAGGAGCUUGCCAAAGGAUAAAAUGAAAAAGGGACAGGUGAGGAUCACCUUGACUCAAGCAUAAAGUAAAAACAUAAAGUAAAAGAUAGGCCCUUCGCAGAGGGAAGCAGAGGUUGUCAUGUGCAUUUAGGGUUGAUGCACAAAAUCUUAAUGCAAAAGAACGUCACUUUAUAUUGCCCCUUGUAUGUGGACCUUUAUUAUGCAGUCCGUCGCUUUUAUUACUUCCACAACAAGUUCGUACAAAGCUUAUUUUCUCUGCACUAAUAAGUCAUACAUAUUUAGGUAGCAAUUUUAUCGCUUGCAACAUGACAACUUACUUGAAGGAUCUUACUCAAUCCAUAGGUAGGUAUGGUGGACUCUCAUGGCAAAACUGGGUUUAAGGGUAUUUGGAAGCACAAGUAGUAUCUCUACUUGGUGCAAGGAAUUUGGCUAGCAUGAGGGGGAAAGGCAAGCUCAAUAUGUUCGGAAGGUCAAUGACAAUAUACUUUAACUGAGAUGUCGGAAAACAUAGACCAUUACGUUGUCUUCCUUGUCCAACAUCAACUAUUUUAGCAUGUCAUACUUAAUGAGUGCUUCACAAUCAUAAAAGAUGUCCAAGAUAAUAUAUUUAUAUGUGAACCCCUCUUUCCUUAUCACUUCCUAUUAAUUGCAACGAUGACCAAGGCUACGUUCAUCAACUCUCAACAAUUUUUAUGCCUCAUACGUUCUAUGUGUGAAGUUAUCACUAUCCAUAAGAUCAAUAUGAACUUCAUUAUUCUUUCUACUUUCUCAAGAUCAUAGCAACAUAGCAAGGCCCUUGACUCGACACUAAUCUUUAUUAUAGAUAACUCACGGACUCGAUUACAAAAAGAGAUCACAAAGCAAAACUCGAAACUACUUGAUACCUAAAUUUCAAUCUACUAGAUCAAGAUACUACUAAAAGGAUCGAACUAAAUAAAACGGUAAAGAUAGGAGUGUGAUGGUGAUACGAUACCGGGGCACCUCCCCCCAAGCUUGGCAGUUGCCAAGGGGAGUGCCCAUAUCCAUGUGAUUAUGUCCUCAGAGGUGGUGAAGUAGGAGUUGUUGAUGAUGUAGGCUUGUCGUCCGUCUUCCAAGGCAUAGGCUCUCCAUCAUAAAAGGAUGAACGAGUCUUCGGGAUCCUUAAAUCUGCAGCCAAACUCAUUCGCUUGAAUCUAUAUUCAUACUCACAGUUCUGGUUUUGUAGGUCAUAGAUCUGGGAUUGGAGGUGCUCGAUUUUCUCUUGAAGCUUGAAGAUGGUCUCCCAAAUGACUUUAGCAUCUAGCUUGUGGUUGUUGGUGAACUCCGUGAUCAUCAUCUAGUUGGCGUUGAGUCCACGCUCCACCAUCCCUUGGCACUUGAAAACUUCCUGUUCCAUGGCUUCGAGCUUUGUCUCCAUGCUCCCGGUAUGCCUUGGUCCCUCCACAUCGCGGAUGUGCAGCACCCCCUCACGCAUCUCAAUGGUUUGAGGAUGAUGCAGCACCUCCGCGAGAUAGGGGUUGAUAACCCUCUCGAAAAACUUGUCCUUGGGAGCGCUUGGAGACGCCAUGAUGCUCUAGAUCUGAAACAGUAACAACUCGAAACGAAAACAGUGGAUAUUUGCGUGAUACGGUGGUCAAAACCUUCGGGAGUAUAUAUAAUGAAUUUUUAUCAACCAAAAUACAUAACGUGCAAGAAAACGGAGUCCGGGAGGCACACGAGGUGCCCACGAGACAGGGGGCGCACCCUACAAGGGGGGGUGCCCUCCACUCUCGUGCGGGCCUCGUGUCCCUUUCGGACUACUUCUUUCUUCCUAAAAUUCUUAAAUAAUCCAAAACUGAUAAAAAUUGCCAUUAGAGUUGUUUUGGAGUCGGUUUACUUACCGUACCACAUACCGAUACCUUUUCGGAGUCUGGAACGUUCUGGAAAGUGUCCCUUAUGUAUUCCUCGGGGGUUACUUUUUCAAUAAUAUUAGUUUCAACAUUGAUAGGAUUACCUGAAAUAUAAUGUUUAUUUCUUUGACCGUUUACCACCCUCGGAUUUGUGCCUUCGAAGUUGUUGAUUUUUAUAGCACCAGAAUGAUAGACCUCCUCGAUAACGUAGGGACCUUCCCAUUUUGAGAGAAGUUUUCCUGCAAAAAAAAUUAAACGAGAGUUGAAUAAUAACACAUAAUCUCCUACAUUAAACUCGCGCUUUUGUAUCCUCUUAUCAUGCCAGCGUUUGACUUUUUCUUUGAAUAGCUUGGCAUUCUCAUAUGCUUGGGUUCUCCAUUCAUCAAGUGAGCUAAUAUAAAACAACCUCUUCUCACCGGCAAGUUUGAAGUCAUAAUUGAGCUCUUUAAUAGCCCAAUAUGCCUUAUGUUCAAGUUCAAGAGGUAAAUGACACGCUUUUCCAUAAACCAUCUUAUAUGGAGACAUACCCAUAGGAUUUUUGUAUGCAGUUCUAUAGGCCCAUAAUGCAUCAUCAAGUUUUUUGGACCAAUUCUUUCUAGAUCUAUUCACAGUCUUUUGUAAAAUUAAUUUGAGCUCUCUAUUGCUCAACUCUACAUGACCACUAGACUGCGGAUGAUAAGGAGAUGCUAUUCUAUGAUUGACAUCAUACUUAGCAAGCAUCUUACGGAAAGCACCAUGAAUAAAAUGUGAACCACCAUCAGUCAUAAGAUAUCUAGGGACUCCAAACCUCGGAAAAAUAACUUCUUUAAGCAUUUUAAUAGAAGUGUUAUGAUCAACACUACUAGUUGGAAUAACUUCUACCCACUUAGUAACGUAAUCAACAACAACUAAAAUAUGUGUAUAACCAUUAGAGGCAGGAAAAGGUCCCAUAUAAUCAAAGCCCCAAACAUCAAACAAUUCAAUAACAAGAGAAUAAUUCUUAGGCAUUUCUUGACGUCUACUAAUGUUACCUAUUCUUUGACAUUCAUCACAAGAUAAGACAAACUUACAAGCAUCUUUAAAGAGAGUAGGCCAAUAAAAACCAAAUUGUAGUACCUCGUGUGCAGUUCUAUCUCCAGCGUGGUGUCCCCCAUAAGAUUCAGAGUGACACUUGCGUAGAAUCUGUUCCUGUUCAUGCUCAGGCACCCAACGUCUAAUAACACCAUCUACUCCUUUAUAAAGGUGUGGAUCAUCCCAGAAGUAAUGUCUUAAAUCAUAGAAGAACUUUUUCUUUUGCUGGUAUGUGAAACUAGGCGGUAUAUAUUUAGCAACAAUGUAACUAGCAUAAUCAGCAUACCAAGGAGCAGUACGAGAAGCAUUGACGACCGCUAAUUGUUCAUCAGGAAAGCUAUCAUUAAUAAGCAGUGGGUCAUCAAGAACAUUCUCUAACCUAGACAAGUUGUCUGCAACGGGGUUCUCAGCUCCCUUUCUAUCGAUAAUAUGCAAGUCAAAUUCUUGGAACAAGAGAACACAUCUAAUGAGUCUAGGCUUAGCAUCUUUAUUUUCCAUAAGAUAUUUAAUAGCAGCAUGAUCAGUGUGAAUAGUAACUUUGGAAUCAACAAUAUAAGGUCUAAACUUAUCACAUGCAAACACAACUGCUAAGAACUCUUUUUUAGUAGUAGCAUAAUUUCUCUGGGAAGUAUCAAGAGUCUUACUAGCAUACUGGAUAGCAUUCAAUUACUUAUCGACUCUUUGCCCUAAAACAACACCUACAUCAUAAUCACUAGCAUCGCACAUAAUUUCAAAAGGUAAAUUCCAAUCAGGCAGCUGAACAAUAGGUGCAGUGAUCAAAGCUUUCUUAAGUACUUCAAAUUCUUCUACACAAUCAUCACCAAAGAAAAGGAAUAUCUUUUUGCAAUAAAUUAGCCAGAGGCCUAGAGAUUUUAGAAAAGUCCUGAGUGAACCUCCUAUAAAAACCGGGGUGACCAAGGAAACUUCUUAUACCUUUUAUGUCCUUGGGACAUGGCAUCUUUUCAAUAGCAUCAUUGGCCUUAUCAACUUCGAUACUUCUCUCAGAGAUCUUGUGCCCCAAGACAAUGCCUUCAUUAACCAUAAAGUGACACUUUUCCCAAUUCAAGACGAGACUAGUGUCUUCGCAUCUCUGCAAAACUCGAUCAAGAUUGCUCAAACAAUCAUCAAAAGAGGAUCCAUAGACUGAGAAGUCAUCCAUGAAUACCUCACAAAUCUUUUCACAAAAAUCAGAGAAUAUAGCCAUCAUGCCUCUUUGAAAGGUUGCAGGUGUAUUACAUAAACCAAAAGGCAUAUGUCUAUAAGCAAAAGUACCAAAAGGGCAAGUAAAAGUAGUUUUAGAUUGAUCCUUCGCUGAUACAGGUAUCUGAGAGAAACCAGAAUAACCAUCUAGAAAGCAGAAAUGUGCGUGUUUGGAUAGUCUUUCUAGCAUUUGAUCAAUAAAAUGUAAAGCAUAAUGAUCUUUCUUAGUAGCUUUAUUUAACUUAAGGAAAUCAAUUACCAUCCUAUAACCUGUAAUAAUUCUUUGCGGGAUCAAUUCAUCUUUAUCAUUAGGAACAACGGUAAUACCUCCCUUUUUAGGAACACAAUGUACAGGGCUUACCCAUUCAGUAUUAGCAACGGGAUAAAUAAUACCUGCCUCAAGGAGUUUUAGUAUCUCCUUUCUUACCACUUCUUUCAUCUUGCGAUUUAAUCGUCUUUGAGGAUCUCUAACUGGUUUGGCAUCUUUCUCCACUGAAAUUUGGUGUUGACAUAAUGUGGGACUAAUGCCCUUAAGAUCAUCCAGAGUAUAGUCAAUAGUUGCUUGGUGCUUCUUCAGAGUUUUCAAUAAUCUUUCUUCUUCUUUCUCUGAAAUGUUAGCACUAAUAAUAACAGGAUAUAUUUCUUUUUCAUCAAGAUAAGCAUACUUAUGAUUAUCAAGUAAGGGUUUAAGUUCAAACACGGGAUCACCCUUGGGUGGAGGGGGAUCCCCAAGAAUUUCAACGGGAAGGUUAUGUUUCAGCAUAGGUUCCUGUUUAAGGAACACUUCAUCUAUUUCCUCCCUUUCCUUCAUAAACAUAUCGUUUUCAUGGUCUAGCAAAUAUUGUUCUAAAGGAUCAGUUGGAGGAACAGCAAUGGAAGCAAGACCAAUAAUUUCAUCCUUACUAGGUGGUUCCCUUUCACGAGGUUGUCUACUAAACUUAGCGAAAUUAAACUCAUGAGACAUACCAUCAAUGCCAACAGUGACAAUAUUCUUUUCACAAUUGAUCUUAGCACUAGCAGUAUUCAAGAAGGGUCAACCAAAAAUAAUGGGACAAAAAUCAUCUUGUGGGGAACCAAGAACAAGAAAACCAGCAGGGUAUUUAACCUUCCCACACAAAACUUCAACAUCUCUAACAAUCCCAAUAGGUUUAAUGGUAUCCCUAUUAGCAAGCUUAAUAGUAACAUCAAUGUCUUCUAAUUCAACAGGUGCAAUGUCAUGCAUAAUUUCUUUAUAUAAAUCAUAAGGUAUCGCACUAGCACUAGCACUCAUAUCACAUAAGCCAUGAUAACAAUGGUCUCCUAUUUUAACAGAAAUAACAGGCAUGCCUACGACAGGUCUACGUGUCUUAGUAUCAGGUCUAGCAAUAUUGGCAGUCUCACCCAAGAAAGAAAUAACAUGCCCAUCUAAAUCCUCAUCCAAGAGAUCUUUAACCAUAGGAAUACUAGGUUCAACAUUAAUUUGCUCAGGAGGUGUAUAAGUCCUAGUAUUACUCUUAUGAACAACAGUCGAAGCAUUAGCAUGAUCUUUUAUCCUAACAGGAAAAGGAGGUUUUUCAACAUAUGCGGUAGGAACAAUAGAAUCACUAUAGGUAAUAGUCUUUUCUUCGACUGUAAUAGGUGCAACUACUUUCACUUCAACAGGAGGAUUAUAUUUAAACCACUUCUCUUUAGGGAGAUCAACGUGAGUAGCAAAAGAUUAACAGAAAGUAGCUACUAUCUCAGAGUCAAGUCCAUACUUAGCGCUAAAUCCACGGAAAGCAUCGGUAUCCAUAAAGAUUUAACACAAUCAAACUUAGGUGGCAUACCUGACUCCUUACCAUCGUCGGAACCCCAAUCUUUAGAGUUGCGUUUAAUUCUUUCCAAUAAGUCCCAUUUGAAAUCAGUAGUCUUCAGCAUAUAAGAACUAGCACAGGAAGUAUCGAGCAGGUUGCGAUUAUCAAGAGAAAGCCGAGCAUAAAGGUUCUGAAUAAUCAUUUCCUGAGAGAGCUCAUGAUUGGGGCAUGAAUAUAACAUUGACUUAAGCCUCCCCCAAGCUUUAGCGAUGCUUUCUCCUUCGCGAGGCAAGAAAUUAUAUAUGUAAUUACGAUCAUGAUGAACAAGAUGCAUAGGAUAGAACUUUUGGUGAAAUUCCAACUUCAAUCGCUUAUAAUGCCAAGAUCCCAUAUCAUCACAUAGCCUAUACCAUGUCAAUGCAUCUCCCUUCAAAGAUAAAGGGAAGACCUUCCUUUUGACAACAUCAUCGGGAAUACCUGCAAGCUUAAAUAAUCCACAAACUUCAUCCACAAAGAUAAGGUGUAAAUCGGGAUGCAAUGUUCCGUCUCCUGCAAAUGGAUUAGCUAGCAGUUUUCUAUCAUACCCGAAGGAAUCUCAAAGUAAAUAUUUUCAUAAAGUUCAGUAGGUUGAGAAGCAACUCUUUGCUCUUCUGGUUGGGGUGAAGAUACCCCAAACAAGCCCCUCAAAGGAUUAGUUUCCAUAGUGACAAGUAACAGAAAAUCUCAGCACACUAUAUAAAUGUUUCUUUACCAAGUUCCACUCACCAAAAGCGCUACACUCCCCGGCAAUGGCGCCAGAAAAGAGUCUUGAUGACCCACAAGUGUAGGGGAUCUAUCGUAUUCCUUUCGAUAACUAAGAGUGUCGAACCCAACGAGGAGCAGAAGGAAAUGAUAAGCGGUUUUCAGUAAGGUUUUCUCUGCAAGCACUGAAACUGUAGGUGAUAGAUAGUUUUGUGAUAAGAUAAAUAGUAAAGAGUAACAAGUAAAUAAAGUAAAUAAAGUGCAGCAAUGUGGCCCAAUCCUUUAUGUAGCAAAGGAUAAGCCUGGACAAUUUCUAAUAGUGAUAAAGGAGCUCCCGAUGACACAUUGAGAAUUAUCGCCAAGCUAGUUUUCAUCACGUUCAUAUGAUUCGCGUUCGGUACUUUGAUAAUUUGAUAUGUGGGUGGACCGGUACUUGGGUACUGCCCUAACUUGGACAAGCAUCCCACUUAUGAUUAACCCUUAUUGCAAGCAUCUGCAACUACAAAAGAAGUAUUAAGGUAAACCUAACCACAACAUUAAACAUAUGGAUCCAUAUAAACCCCUAACGAAGCAACACAUAAACUAGGGUUUAAGCUUCUGUCACUCUAGCAACCCAUCAUCUACUUAUUACUUCCCCAUGCCUUCCUCUAGGCCCAAAUAAUGCCGAACUGUCAUGCAGUCGACGUUCACAUAACACCACUAGAGGAAAAGACAACAUACAUCUCAUCAAAAUAUCAAACGAAUACCAAAUUCACAUGACUACUAAUAGCAAGACUUCACCCAUGUCCUCAGGAACAAAUGUAACUACUCACAAAGCAUAUUCAUGUUCAUAAUCAGAGGAGUAAUAAUAUGCAUAAAGGAUCUGAACAUAUGAUCUUCCACCAAGUAAACCAAUUAGCAUCAACUACAAGGAGUAAUCAACACUACUAGCAACCCACAGGUACCAAUUUGUGGUUUUGAUACAAGAUUGGAUAUAAGAGAUGAACUAGGGUUUUGGGAGGAGAUGGUGCUGGUGAAGAUGUUGAUGGAGAUUGACUCCCUCCCGAUGAGAGGAUCGUUGGUGAUGACGUUGGUGAUGAUUUCCCCCUCCCGGAGGGAAGUGUCCCCGGCAGAACAGCUCUACCAGAGCCCUAGAUUGAUUCCGCCAAGGUUCCGCCUCGUGGCGGCGGAGUUUUGUCCCGUAAGAUUGCCCACGAUUUUUUCCAGGGUAAAAUUGAUGAUAUAGCAGAAGAUAGAUGCCGGAGGCCCAAUAGGGGGCCCAGAAGAUAGGAGGUGCGCCCUAUAGGGGGGGCGCCCCCCUAUCUCCUGGACAGGGUGUGGCCCCCCUGGCAUAUUUCUUUCGCUCAGAAAUUCUUAUUAAUUCCAAAAAGUUGUUUCGUGGAGUUUCAGGACUUUUGGAGCUGUGCAGAAUAGGUUUCCAAUGUUUGCUCCUUUUCCAGCCAGAAUUCCAACUGUCGGCAUUCCCCCUCUUCAUGGUAAACCUUGUAAAAUAAGAGAGAAUAGCCAUUAGUAUUGAGAUAUAAUAUGUAAUAACAGCCCAUAAUGCAAUAAAUAUUGAUAUAAAAGCAUGAUGCAAAAUGGACGUAUCAGUUACCCGUGACCACGUCCGAAUCUGCAUUCACUUGUGUCGCAUCCAUGUGUUUCAGGUGGUAUGGUACACGUGCUAGACCACUAGGACCACGUCCGCGGCUAGCCACAGGCGCAUUCGCACGUACUUGUGCUGAAUUAGCCUGAUGCUUGUUUUGAGGUGGGACAGUUCCACUCGUGCCAGGUUGUGGUUGACUCUUACUCAGGCAUUUGUUUUGUAGUGACCCUUUUGUCCACAACCAAAAUAGACAACACUCGCCUUUGGGCAAUCUCGAGCGAUGUGUGGUCCACCACACACAUGACACUUGAUAGGGGCUUUAGGAGGCAUAAAGGGUGGUCUAGGGGCUUGAGGGAGAGGAGGACAGAUGGGUCCGGCCAUUGGUGGGCGGACUAGGCCAACAGAGUUGUAUCCACUCCUCAUGAGGAACCUCUGGUCCAUUCUAGAUUUCUUUCUCCAUUCUUCCUCUAUGGCUAAUUGCCGAUUCUCAAUAAUAAUGACUCGAUCUACUAGCUCCCGAAACUUAGUUAUAUUUAUAGGGGCUAUGAUCAGCUGUAUGGAUGGCUUCAAUCCUUCUAUGAACUGGUACACCCUUUUGGUCUCAGUGUUUGUGUCUUCUGAUGCAUAGCGGGAUAGUGAGUUAAACUCAUCUAGGUACUCUGCGAUGGUUUUAGACCCUUGUUUAAGGCUUAGGAAUUCCUUACUUUUUAGUUCCAUCGCACUUUGCGGGACAUAGUUAUCUCGGAAUCUCCUCUUAAAUUCCUCCCAAGUAACUAUGUGGUUUUCGGGUAUGAUAAUUUGGACAUUUCUCCACCAUGUGGCAGCAGGACCAAUUAACCGAUGGGAUGCAUACCGAACUUUUUCUUGAUCCGUGCAUCCCACAGUGUUAAGUUUCAGCUCUAUGUCCAUCAACCAAUCCUCUGCGGCUAAUGGAUUGUGGCGGUUGAAAAGGUUGGUGGUCUAGUCUUUUGGAAGUCUCCAAUCGUGACACCUUGUUCUGGGUUUUUAGUCAGUUGGCCUCUCGUCAUACUGAACAUCUGCUCCAUGAACUUAUUCUGGUGUUCUAGAGAGUCUCGAUGAGACUGCUCCAUCCACUGAUACAUUAGAGCAAGUUGAUCGGAUCCAGGGGCAUGAUGGGGUAAUGGUGGAGGUGGAGGUAACGUCACUCUAGAUAGCAAAUCUGCCAUGUUCCUUAGCCACUCGGGUGCUAAAUCUGAUGGGUUCCCAUUGUCUUCGAAUGACUGACUACCAGAUGCCAUCGCUACCGAUCUGGUGGGCAAGGCAUAGGUUAUAACGAUAGCUACUACAUGUGAAAACAUUUUAUUUAUUUGAUUAGAGGUGAGAUUUUAGCCCACACAGUACACUUCACGCUUCCUUUUUUGGAGCAUCUAUUUAAACAGUGCACUUAACAGCGACAUACUAGAAAAUUUUGCGAAACAUUUUUUUACUUGUUGUUGGCCGAAGAAUAAAAGCAGUCAAACAAAGUGAUUCUUUUUAUCAUGACAGAGGCAAGAGAUUAAUCACAAUUCAAAAAUAGAGCCACUUGCACAUGCACAUGCACACACAAGUUCUCCACGUACCGGAUUAAAAGCAUUCAAUCAUCAAGUGUGUGACAUACAUCAAUUGAACUCAUGAAGUGCUAGGAAAAAUGUAGCAGCAUCAGCACAUAAUAUAUAUACUAGCCCAACACGUGAUGUACCAAGGCAUGGACUUGAAUGAAGAGAUCACCCGAAAAAAUCUACCAUACAUCAGACGCCAUUAUGAAGCAUUGGCAACAACAUGGCAACAACAUCACAUACAGUAUUCCAUCAUACAGAGCAAGGAGCAUAAAAAGAACCAGAAUUUAAAAUGACAUGGCAUAUGCGUCACACAAGAUCACCUAGUAGUAGAAUAUCAGUACAUCCAUAAGUCCACCAGUCCACAUGAAUACAUCACAUAACAUAAUCGCAACACCACACAUGACUAUUUGUCGUACCAUCAGGUUACCAUCACUAUCUAUAUAUGUACCUAGAAAAAAAGUAUAUACGUCUCCCUAUCUGCCUGUCGGGACCAAUCUGGGUAAAUAUGGCUGUGUAAACUCUAGAAGGGUAGCUAUGUCUACAAGACCUUUCUAAUUAUGUACAAAAUCCAAAAGGAUAGCCUCCAUGCAUCUGCCUAAACAUCUAAUAAGUGGUGGAACUAACUCUGCGAGGAGUAACUAUCUAGCAUGAUGCCACAACCUUGCUAGAAAACUAACUACUACUACUAAUAGUACGAAGUCAAUCCUCCCUGAUGAGAAGACUAGGUGAAAUGGUGAGGAGCAAGUCGGGGUUGAGGACAGAAGUCGGUGAAGGUAUAGACUGACUGGGUGUGGUGCCUCUGAAGAGUGCCUACUUGGUCUAACAGGUCCUGAACAAGCUGAGGUGUAGGUGGACACCCGUACGGUGUAGAGGGACGAGACACUGCUCGAGCGGGGGAACCCCUAAAAACUCUAGGAGUUGGGCAGUCUGCACGAGUGGGUGGAACUGCUGGGUACAAAUGAGGAAGAGCGGCAGUCAGAGUUAGUGGUGGUAAAAACGUGAGAGGUAAAACAGGAGGAUGUGGUGGAAGUGGAAGGAAAGCAGAAGUGGACGCAAAAAGGUGAAGGAGCGACAGUGGGUGGAGGUGCUGACGAAUUCCCUGAUUACUCUUAUUGAUGAGCCAAUUGCCUCUACCACGCAAACAAGGAGAAGGUGGCAGGCAUAGAAAAUAUGUAAAGUGGCAUUCCAUGCCGCACCCUAAAGUGCUGAAGCAAAGUUGUAUUGUGCGACACUAUGCCUAGAUGGGACAUCUAAGCCCUCGGGUAUGUGCACUGUGACUAAGUACCCUGUGGAAUGAUACGUCUCUAAAGUAUCUAUAAUUUUUGAUUGUUCCAUGCUAUUACAUUACCCCUUUUGGAUGUUUAUGGGCUUUAUUUUACACAUUUAUAUCAUUUUUUGGGACUAACCUACUAACCGGAGGCCCAUCCCAUAUUGCUGUUUUUUGCCUAUUUCAGUAUUUCGAAGAAAAGGAAUAUCAAACGGAGUCCAAACGGAAUGAAACCUUCGGCAACAUGAUUUUUUGGAAGAAUAUGAUCCUGGAGACUUCGAGUCCAUGUCAGAAGAUCCUCGAGGGGGCCACGAGAUAGGAGGUCGCGCCCCCCUUGCAGGGUGGUGGCCUCCUGUCUCGUGGGCCCCUUGAGCACCUCCCGACCGACUUCUUUUGCCUAUAUAAGCCUACGUACCCUAAAACCAUCAAAAAUCAAGAUAGAUUGGGAGUUCCGCCGCCGCAAGCCUCUGUAGCCACCAAAAACCUCUCGGGAGCCUAUUCCGGCACCCUGCCGGAGGGGGAAUCCAUCACCGGUGGCCAUCUUUAACAUCCCAGCGCUCUCCAUGACGAGGAGGGAGUAGUUCACCCUCGGGGCUGAGGGUAUGUACCAGUAGCUAUGUGUUUGAUCUCUCUCUCUCGUGUUCCCUCUAUGGCACGAUCUUGAUGUAUCCCGAGCUUUGCUAUUGUAGUUGGAUCUUAUGAUGUUUCUCCCCCUCUACUCUCUUGUGAUGAAUUGAGUUUCCCUCUUGAAGUUAUCUUAUCGGAUUGAGUCAUUUAUUUGAGAACACUUGAUGUAUGUAUUGCCGUGUUUAUCUGUGAUGGCAAUGGGAUAUCACGUGCCUCUUGAUGUAUGUUUUGGUGACCAACUUGCGGGUUCCGCCCAUGAACCUAUGCAUAGGGGUUGGCACACGUUCUUGACUCUCCGGUAGAAACUUUGGGGCACUCUUUGAAGUACUUUGUGUUGGUUGAAUUGAUGAAUCUGAGAUUGUGUGAUGCAUAUCGUAUAAUCAUGCCCACGGAUACUUGAGGUGACAAUGGAGUAUCUAGGUGACAUUAGGGUUUUGGUUGAUUUGUGUCUUAAGGUGUUAUUCUAGUAUGAACUCUUGAAUAGAUUGAUCUGAAAGAAUAACUUUGAGGUGGUUUCGUACCCUACCAUAAUCUCUUUGUUUGUUCUGCGCUAUUAGUGGCUUUGGAGUGACUCUUUGUUGCAUGUUGAGGGAUUUUUAUAUGAUCUAUCUAUGUUAUUAUUGUUGAGAGAACUUGCACUAGUGAAAGUAUGAACCCUAGGCCUUGUUUUCUAUCAUUGCAAUACCGUUUACACUCACUUUUAUCAUUAGUUACCUUGCUGUUUUUAUAUUUUCAGAUUAGAAAUACCUAUAUCUACCAUCCAUAUUGCACUUGUAUCACCAUCUCUUCGCCGAACUAGUGCACCUAUACAAUCUACCAUUGUAUUCAGUGUGUUGGGGACACAAGAGACUCUUUAUUAUUUGGUUGCAGGGUUGUUUGAAAGAGACCAUAUUCAUCCUACGCCUCCUACGGAUUGAUAAAUCUUAGGUCAUCCACUUGAGGAAAAUUUUCUACUGUCCUACAAACCUGUGCACUUGCAGGCCCAACAACGUCUACAAGAAGAAGGUUGUGUAGUAGACAUCAAGCUCUUUUCUGGCGCCGUUGCCAGGGAGGUUAGCGCUUGAAGGUAUAUCUUUAGAUCUUACAAUCGAAUCUUUUUGUUUCUUGUUUUAUCACUAGUUUAGUUUAUAAAAGAAAACUACAAAAAAAUGGAGUUAAGUUUGUCUCAUAUUAUCUUUUUAAUAUCUUUCGUGAGCAUGAUGGAAAGGAAAAUUGUGCUCAAGUGCUAGAAGAAGAAUGCAUUAAAAUGCUUGGUAGUAAAUCUUUGAAUGAUGAGCAUGAUUGCAAUGUUGUUAGUAUGAAUUCCUUGAAUAUCCAUGAUGCUAAUGAUAUGUAAAGCCACAAGCUUGGGGAAGAUAUGUUUGAUGAAUAUGAUAUAUUUUGUCCCCCAAGCUUUGAUGAGCAAAUUUAUUUUGAUGAUAGCAUGCCUCCUAUUUAUGAUGAUUAUAUUGAUGAAAGUGGGUUUGGAAGAGUGUCAACUUUAGGAAGUAGUGAUCCCACUAUUUUGGAGGAUGUUGAAUCUUAUUAUGAUGAACAUGAAAGUGGAUUUGGAAGAGUGUAAACUUUAUUUAGUGAUGAAUCCACUAUUUCGGAAGAGGUUCCAAUUGAUUAUGAGAAUAAAGUUGCUAUCUAUGAUGAUUAUUGUGAUAACUUGUUGUCAGGACCCCGACUCAAUGCCACAUCGAUCUAGCAUGUAACACCUCAUAUCACUUUGCGGCCUCACGCACGGUAUUCCCACGGGUGUCGCCUUACCUUUGCCCGGGACCGUUUGCGCCUUUUGGCACACGUAUAUGACAGUGUCGCUAGCAUCCAUAUGAUAAGGAGCCCGGGCUGACAUGGCUAGUCGUAAACCCAAAGUGGCACAAACUUACAGGGACAGGCAUCCAUGACCCAGCAUCGAACGUGUUGGUCAUCAGCGAGUGAAUCCAGGCUGUAGCACUGGGCUAGCAGGACUCUGGUGAACCGGGCUGUAGCGGGCUAACAGGACUCCGGUAUUCAUCGCGUGACAUUUCCCCGAAGGGACAGACACAGGAACGAAGAAGGACACAUGCCGGCCAGCCUAAGUGUUCCGGAGCAGUAGCAAGCUACCAUGGCUUGGUGGAAACACUAGGAGACAUUUCCCGGUAAGAGAGGCUACUAAAGAUAAACAACUAGAUAGUCAGAUCCCACACAUACCAAGCAUUUCAAUAACAUACACACAAUAUGCUCGAUAUGUGCAAUACAACAUGGCAUCACGAAAUGACUCUACGACUCAGUAGUUUUUAUUCAAUAGGCUCCGAGGAGCGAGAUAUUACAAUCAUGGGUCUCAUGACCCAACAAUCAGAGCAUACAAGUCAAAGCACAAGCGGAAGCUCAACAUGUCUGAGUACAGACAUCUACAAAUGGAAAAGGCUGAGAAGCCUGACUAUCUACCAGAUCCUGCCGAGGGCACAAGAUCGUAGCUGAGGUAACAAGCUAAACGCCGAAGUCCACGUGGAACUACUAGUGAGACUGAAGUCUCUCUGCAAAAACAUAAAUUAAGCAACGUGAGUACAAAUGUACCCAGCAAGACUUACAUCAGAUCUAUCUACAUAUGCAUCAUUAUCAACAAAGGGGAUGGUGGGGUUUAACUGCAGCAAGCCAGCUUUGACUCGGUGGCUAUCCUGAACUACAACUGCAAUGUAACUCUUUUGAGGUGGCGCACACGAGUCCACAUAUUCACCAUAUCAAUACACCACUAUGGAUCCGCUCCCAUCUCCCUACGAGAACGCCAUCCAUAGCACUCACGCUUAUCUUGCGUAUUUUAGAGCAUCCACUUUCACUUGUCUAUGAACUAUGCAAGGGGUCCAAGUUUCCAUAUCCGAGGAAUCCGGCUAUUCGAAUAGAUAAUGAUAACCCUGCAGGGGUGUACUUCUUCACACACGCUCCCGCCACUUACCGCCCUGUACACAUCAUGUACCUCGGCAACCUUCAAGCGGAAGCCGGGCGAGGGAGUCGGCCACGACCUGACUAACCGAACAAGUCUCUAGUCCAGGUUUAUCGCCUAUUCGGGUUCCAUCCGCAAGGAGAUCCGGCCGGGGUGUCGCUUACGGCCCCAAACGAUGUGUGCAGGGUUCCCAAGCCCACCAACCGGGUGCCACUUGGUACACCGGGCCACUGUGCCUAGUCUGUCCCAAGCCCACCUGUACCGGGUGCCACUUGGUAGACUACUAACACUACCUACAAACACCAGAAACUAGUUGCAACUCCUGGACAGAGAUCAAGUUGAUUAAUAAGCCGAGAGGGGCACUUAAGCAUUCCAAUGUGUGGUAGUAGCUGGUCAUGGAUCACAAACACAGAACUCAGUUCCUGAGGACGGCUGCAAUGAGACAACCCACCAUGUACUCCUACAUGGCCUCUCACCGCUACCUUUACCAAAUCGUGUUCACACACUUAGCUCACACACAGCAGGACAUGUUCACACGCCUCUGAUUCAUCCCCGAUGAAUCAGACCUGACUCAACUCUAAGCAGUAGCAGGCAUGACAAACAAGCAUGAAUGAGUAGGCACAUCAGGGCUCAAACAACUCCUACUCAUGCUGGUGGGUUUCAUCUAUUUACUGUGGCAAUGACAGGUCAUGCAAAGGAUAAAGGGUUCAGCUACCGCAGCAAGUAUCAAAUAUGUCGUUGUUGUCCUAAUGCAGUAAAAGAGAGCAGGAGCGAGAGAGUGGGAUUUUAUCGGAAUGAACAAGGGGGUUUUGCUUGCCUGGCACUUCUGAAGAUAACAUUGAGUCUUCAUCAGUGUCAACGAUCACGUCAUCGGUAAUUAAUCUACCAAACCAUAGUAUACCUUGCACAUGCAUGACUGACUUGGGACGAUUCCACAGGAAGAAAAACUAACUUUCUCGAACCCACGGCGGCAACUUACGUCAAAUGCACGUGAAUCAAAGAAAGUCACUUCUCUCAUCCAGCAUAUACUUCAUGAACGGGGCAUGAAGAAAUUGCCUAUAAAAGUUUCCAACACUAGGUUGAUGUUCAACAUGAAUCAUGGGGGAGACAAAAUGCUGCUGAUGGCCUCAACAACAACUCAUCGGAAUUUCCAUAUCACUGGACUUCCACCAUCAUGUGAACACGGUGAUAGCAUUGGUCAGACCCAAAAGAUAUAACGGUGUAUGCUCGAGGGAUCAACCACGAGUAGGACAACAUUACGAACAUCGUUGGUUCUAUCUUGAUUUGACGAUAGCCCACACUCAAAUCAAAGGAUUGAUAAGACAAUAGGUCCAGCAACUGAUCACAGGGACCAAUCGAUGAAGAUAUCAUCUUUCUUCAACACACACUACACAAGAAUAUCCCUUUGGAACGAACUAAGUCAGACAAGCUUUUAUCUUCCAACUCUCCAAGUUGUUGUCUAGCUUAACCAACUAGCUCAGGGAUAUCUAACACCGAUUCUUGGAGAGAAGGUGGUUCAUAAGAAACCAAUUGAUCACGAGCUCAACAUAACGGUCAGGUGACGACCUGGUGAUACUUCCGAGAAGACAUUCAGAAAAUCACGAACCACCGGUAUGUUACUAAGCUCGAGAACAAUCUCGCUUUUGAGGGCAAGACGAUAUGAUCAAAUGAGUAAGGAUUGGCACUAUCCUAACUCACUGAUCGGAGAGUGCACCAGAAAUAAGGACUAGGUAGCACAAUCAACCUUAGGGUGACGAUUCAAUAAUCAACACGCUAAGAAUGAGGUUAUCGUCCAUUUAACUACCAAGCAAUGGAGUUGCUAGCAGUAUUGAUUUCACACGCCAUGAUUCAUUUGUCGGCAUUCCGGUUACAAUAACACGGAAACCAAGAAAUUAUCAAUGAUGAUCAGAAGUAUUACUGCGUCAAGAAUUCAUAAGAUGGUGUGCAAUUCCCAUGAUAUUUCUGAUAUAAAGAUGGUAAUACUUCAAGGUAGAACAGACCAGAAGCUAGAUUGGCAUUUUGAUCUGCGGAGCACAACUUCUUUGACCCAAUCCUGGAUAUGGAAGAGGUACUAGAGUUUGUUUCUCCUAGUCAUUCUGCGAUAGAAUGGCUUGACGGACCACAAGAGUAAUAGGCAUCGAUAGACGAACGCACGCAUACUCUUGACAAUCAAUUGAUAGACGAGGGUCAGAAUGCAACUAAAGAGAGCAACUCAAAGGAACAUGCGAUUUUCUGAGUUGUGGAUGCAUGGUUUAGCAUGUCGAACGAAUUCCACAUAUUUCUUCCGGAUAACCCAUGCAGAAAGGUAGAACUGGCAGAGUCACAAUGUAGAAUCGAGAACCCAUCGAGAGCACUCUGAAUGUGAUCUUUCGAUCAGCGAGGAACAUCUGCCAUAAGCGGUUCAUAGUAUUUGGAAGAAAAGAAUACCACGAACAUCGAGGACUAAUGCAAAAGGUUACCAAUAUCCUGAAGGAACUAGCAAAUACUAUCAACAUGAAGUAAAUAGGGUGAAUCUCGGGUUCAAGAACCCAGGGAUAGAAUACCUACUACUAAGUAGCAUCACGGGAUGCUUUCGAGAAUGAUGGCCAGAAUCAUCACACUGGGAACACAAAUCAUGGCUAAAUUACUAGAUGACUCCCUAAAUACCUAGGGUCAUAAUAGUAACUCCAACAUAAAUGUCAAGGCAACAGAGUACCUCAACUCACUGAUUAGUGUGGUUAAUCUGGCCCAAAGGAACAUUGAAACGGAAGGAAAGAAUCUACAAGUGCAUCAGACUGUUUAGAAACCUGGAAUGACUCGGACAGCAUAACGGCUGUAAAUGCUCAGAAAAGAUUUGAGACAUUCACAAAAAUGGUGGCAUAACCACUCAGAAGCACAAUAUCAAGGUUUCGAGACCAACAAUUAACAUACAGAAGUAGUAAGAACUGAACUGAGACUUAAAUCCAACAAUCUAUAAGUCUACGGAUUAGUAACACGUGAUCCUGAUAGAAAGAAAAGAUAGCCUAGUUCUUAAUCCCCGCAGGAAAGAUAAGAUGACUCAGAUCAGAAGGCAUAAGGUAUAGGCAGUAAAAAGAGCCUUACGUUCCAUCCCACAAUCAAUUCCCUUAUAUAACUAAAGAAUUUCUAGACUCAACUUCGACCAGUUUGGCUUGGUAAACCUACAGGCAGUCAAGCUCUGAUACCAACGCUGUCAGGACCCCGACUCGAUGUCACAUCGAUCUAGCCGGUAACACCUCAUAUCACUUUGCGGCCUCACGCACGGUAUCCCCACGGUGUCGCCUUACCUUUGCCCGGGACCGUUUGCGCCUUUUGGCUCACGUAUAUGAUAGUGUCGCUAGCAUCCAUAUGAUAAGGAGCCCGGGCUGACAUGACUAGUCGUAAACCCAAAGUGGCACAGACUUACAGGGACAUGCAUUCAUGACCCAGCUUCGAACGUGUCGGUCAUCAGCAAGUGGGUCCGGGCUGUAGCACUGGGCUAGCAGGACUCCAGUAAACCGGGCUGUAGCGGGCUAACAGGACUCCGGUACUCAAAGCGUGACAUUUCCCCGAAGGGACAGACACAGGAACGAAGAAGGACACAUGCCGGCCAGCCUAAGUGUUCCAGAGCAGUAGCAAGCUACCAUGGCUCAGCGGUAACACUAGGAGACAUUUCCCGGUAAGAGAGGCUACUAAAGAUAAACAACUAGAUAGUCAGAUCCCACACAUACCAAGCAUUUCAACAACAUACACACAAUAUGCUCGAUAUGUGCAGAUACAACAUGGCAUCACAACAUGACUCUACAACUCAAGUAAUUUAAUCAAUAGGCUCCGAGGAGCGAGAUAUACAAACAUGGGUCUCAUGACCCAACAAUCAGAGCAUACAAGUCAAAGCACAAGCGGAAGCUAUCAUGUCUGGGUACAGACAUCUAUAAAUGAAAAAAGGCCGAGAAGCCUGACUAUCUAUCAGAUCCUGCCGAGGGCACAAGAUCGUAGCUGAGGUAACAAGCUAAACGUCGAAGUCCAAGCGGAACUACUAGUGAGACUGAAGUCUCUCUGCAAAAACAUAAAAUAGGCAAACGUGAGUACAAAUGUACCCAGCAAGACUUACAUCAGAUCUAUCUACAUAUGCAUCAUUAUCAACAAGGGGGUGGUGGAGUUUAACUGCAGCAAGCCAGCUUUGACUCGGUGGCUAUCCUGAACUACGACUGCAAGUAACUCUUUUGAGGUGGCGCACACGAGUCCACAUAUUCACCAUAUCAAUACACCACUAUGGAUCCGCUCCCGUCUCCCUACGAGAACGCCAUCCAUAGCACUCACGCUUAUCUUGCGUAUUUUAGAGUAUCCACUUACACUUGUCUAUGAACUAUGCAAGGGGUCCAAGUUUCCAUAUCCGAGGAAUCCGGCUAUUCGAAUAGAUGAUGUUAACCCUGCAGGGGUGUACUUCUUCACACACGCUCUCGCCACUUACCGCCCUGUACACGUCAUGUACCUCGGCAACCUUCAAGCGGAAGCCGGGCGAGGGAGUCGGCCACGACCUGACUAACCGAACAAGUCUCUAGUCCAGGUUUAUCGCCUAUUCGGGUUCCAUCCGCAAGGAGAUCCGGCCGGGGUGUCGCUCACGGCCCCAAACGAUGUGAGCAGGGUUCCCAAGCCCACCAUCCGGGUGCCACUUGGUACACCGUGCCAUUGUGCCUAGUCUGUCCCAAGCCCACCUGUACCGGGUGCCACUUGGUAGACUACUAACACUACCUACAAACACCAGAAACUAGUUGCAACUCCUGGACAGAGAUCAUGUUGAUUAAUAAGUCGAGAGGGGUCGAGUUACCGGAACCCAAUGUGUGGUAGUAACUGGUCAUGGAUCACAAACACAGAACUCAGUUCCUGAGGACGGCUGCAAUGAGACAACCCACCAUGUACUCCUACAUGGCCUCUCACCGCUACCUUUACCAAAUCGUGUUCACACACUUAGCUCUCAACGGUAGGACAUGUUCACACACCUCUGGUUCAUCCCCGAUGAAUCAGACCCGACUCAACUCUAAGCAGUAGCAGGCAUGACAAACAAACAUGAAUGAGUAGGCACAACAGGGCUCAAACAACUCCUACUCAUGCUAGUGGGUUUCAUCUAUUUACUGUGGCAAUGACAGGUCAUGCAAAGGAUAAAGGGGUUCAGCUACCGCAACAAGUAACAUAUGAAUUGUUGUUGUCCUAAUGCAGUAAAAGAGAGCAGGAGCGAGAGAGUGGGAUUUUAUCGGAAUGAACAAGGGGGUUUUGCUUGCCUGGCACUUCUGAAGAUAAUAUAGCUCUUCAUCAGUGUCAACGAUCACAUCAUCGGUACAUCGUCUACCGAGGGGGAACAACACCGGCAAACAUAGAAGAAACACGAUCAAUGCAAUGCACAAUAUGAUGCAUGCUAUGACAUGGCAAUAUGAAUGUGUUUUGGGCUAAUGCAUCUAGCAACAGGUUAAAUGAAGUUGGUUUGAAUACAAGAUUCAAAUUCAAACUCCAUAUGUAAUUAUUCAAAUGCCAUUUAAUUGAUUUGUGCUAAACAGCAGCUAUAAGUUGUUCUAACAUGCAUGGAAAUGGUACAGAUGGAUUCCUUGAAUUUUUCUGAUAAUUUUUCAUAUAUAAAUUAUUUAAUUUGGAGUUACGGUUAAUUUUCUAUGAUUUAUUGUUAGCUAUUUCUGGAAUUUCCUGAUUUUUAUAAAAUAAACUAAAUUCCAGAAAAGGAAUAUUGCGUCAGCAUGACCUCACCCUGACGUCAUCAGGUCAACAGGGCGGGUCCAGGUCAAACCUGACGUGUGGGGGCCACACGUCAGUGUCACAGGGCUGCUUAGCUCACUGACAGGUGGGACCAAGUCAACGGCCACGUCAGCUUGGUCAAAGCUGACGUGUGGGCCCACGGUGGUUAGGUUAAAACUUAACAGAAAAUAAUGAAAAUUAAAUAAGGGCGUGGGGCCCAUACGUCAGUGACCCAGAGGGUUGGUUAGUGGUGUGUUUAGGCCCUAAUCACGACCACGUUAGCGGUCGACGCCGGCGACCAAAAGCACGGCGGUGGCUCGCCGGAGAUGCUCGGGGACGGAGCUACGGAGCAUCGUUUCGCUCGUGGUUUGCAGCUAUGGGACGCUGGCAGUGAGGCGCAUCCGGUGGUGGCCGCAUGGUGUGCUGGGGGUGUGUGUAACAGCGGCGGCGGCGAGCCGGGCGGCCGCCGGAGUUCGGGAAUCCAGGCUUUGGGCGUUACGGGGCACGGCGGGCGCGGCCGAUGGGCUCUACGGGUUGCUGGGGUCACCAGGAACACUCGGAGGCAACGAGCGCAGGUGGAGGAGCUCGGGAGCACGAAGCUCACCGUCCAUGGCGGCGGCCGGAGCUCGGGUUCGGCGGGGCAGCUAGCUAGGGGACGAAAUCAAGUGCGCGGAGUGAGGGGAAGAGAGGAGGAGCUCACGGGGAGUCGGACGAGAUGCUAAGUGGGCUCGGGGACGUCCUGUCGGCGGCGAAUCGACGUCGGCGGCGACCGGCUUCUGAGAAGGAAAAAGAUGAGGCCGUCGGCGAUGCAGGCCGUCCCAGCGCUUGGGGCCAGGUUGGGGCGAAGCGGCGAUCGAUGGCGGGGCUUCGGGUCAUGUAGGAGAGGCGAGGGGGAGAUGGUGGCCGUGGUGGAGCUCGUCGGUGGUGGCGGCUCCGUUCGGGUGAGCUCAGGGAAGAGAGCCAGGGGAGGAGAGAGGGAGCAGCGAGAGAGGAAGAGGAGCGAGGGGACACGGGGCGUCGUCGUGGCGUCGUUAGGGAGGCCGGGGGAAGCAGGAGGUGGCCGAGGCGGCGUCGGCGCUCGCCACCGAGCUGCUUCGGUGCGAGGGGAGGAAGACGACAGGGGGUUAGCGGUGGCGGGCUGGGCCGCCAGCUGGAGUUGGGCCAGGCAGGUAAGUCAGGUAAGUGGCUGGGCUUCUCUUUUUUUUAAAUUUCUGUUCUGUUUUGUUUUUCAAUUUAUUUUGCCACUGUUUUGAAUUUAAAAAUAAUUCAAACAAUGCCAAAAUCUCCUCUGAAUAUUUUUAUUUUGCUAGAUGGACUUUUCCAAAAGCUCAUAAAAUAUUUCAGGGAUAUUUGAAAUUAUAUUCUAAUUAUAUGAAUAUAAUUCAAAUUCAAAUAGCUAAUGAAUUAAAUUCAAAGUCCCAAAAAUAAAUCCUUAAAAAUGUUCAAUAUUUUGGUUGGGACCAGAACCCUUGCCAAAAAUUAUCAAACAUUUAAGAAGAGCAUUUUGGAACAAUGAAUGAGAUUUUUAGGGUUUUUGCCCUUCUUUUAAUUAAGUUUUUGAGGCUUUCAAAAUUCCUCAAUUCAAGUUUCAAAAAUAUAGACAUGAUGCACAGAUGGAAGCAAGCCUAGGUCAGGCCAGGACUAGGGAUGUGACAACUCACCCCCACUAAACAAGAAUCUCGUCUCGAGAUUCAAGCGUAGGGUAAGAUGAAGGGGAAACACAAACUAGUAUAAUCUUCACGAUCCAGGUUGCACUUCAAAUGAACGUUGAUUCGUUCACCAUCAUUGUCUUGAUGUCUUGCUCCGAGAAUUCCAGCUAACAUGACGAGAAGAGGAAAGGAAAACCUAGAAGAAUCUAUCUUCUCGAAGAUCAAUCAACUUAGGAUCAGCUCACAAAGUGAGUCAUAGCAACAUCUCUUGAGCUGAGACACGAAGCAUACAUCUGAGGAAAUGGAGUGAGACAGAUGACGAGGGCUCACUAAGUAGACAACAAUUUCACACCUAAAAAGGUGGUAAACGAUUGUCAACGUAGCGAGGAGUUGAGUUGCCAUGAUACCACAACGAACACCUUAGGAACCGUGACUCGUAGAUAUAUCCCCUUAAGUGGCAAAAAGAAUUACCUUUGAUAUAGAGAUCAUUGAGACUCUCUAUAUCAGCCUAAGGCAAAUCACAGCAAUCGAUUGGCGGGGGUCGGUAGAAUGGCAUACUCGGACUUGGAUGAUGUGGAUUACCUUGUUGAAGACAACGUAAUGGAUGAAUUUGCUUACCACCGGAAAUGGAAGAGACCCAUGGUAGAAUGGCACAUUGGCGGUGCAAGCUGGGAACAAAAUGCAAAUGCUGGGAAUGAUUCUGGUAACUGGGGAAGAACCCAACAAUAGAGAGUGCAUUCACUGUUUGAAAAGGUCAUAGCAUAACCGAGGAAGCUGAGAGCAAACCCAGUUAGUGCCGAUGAUAACACCUAGCGCUUGCGCGUGCUCUCAAGAACUUGAGCCUUUCCACAAUCAUCAAGUUUUUAUCAACAUCCGUGUCAAGGGUGCUGACAACACAACAUACUACCAUGAUGGCUAAUGAUGGAUGAUGCAGAUGCAAAGGAAGAUAACACUUUCUCAGAUUUCACCUUAGCGAGGCCAAGGAACCAAAAUCUGCAUGAUCGACCAAGAGACAUUUAGCACUCGGCUUCUAAUGUUCUCCUUGACGUGCUAGUGUAUCCCAUUCAUAGAUAUGGUUUGAUAACUAGAACAUCAAGUAAAGGUCAGACUUCGGGAGCAAUAGAAUCCAUAAGGAACAGUUAUGGAGGUAAAUCCUACGAAAUCCUUAUGGGGAGGUGGCCAACUUCUUCAAUCAAGAUACUACCAUAAUAGGUCUUCCGGCUGGGUGUGUUAGCCACGACAUCCACUUUACCGGUUAUCGAGGGACCAAUAUUAUAGUUCUUGGGAAAUGUUCCAACCAUCAUAUCUGCCUGAGGUUCAGAUCUGGUUGGUGUCAGGAUAUUCCAGACUCAUCGAGUCUAGGAAGAAAAACGAAAGUUUGCAACACAAAUCGAUGAGAUGACGUUGCGAGAUUCUCGGGAAAUGAACUACGAUAGCAAGCUCCAAAACAUGAGCUGGUUCUGCUACACAUGUGUGAACAUGCUGUCUCAGACAAGCAUGACCACAUGGUAGCCUUAUAAUAAAAUACUACCGAGUUCUGGUUGGGAACCAUCAUCGAGGAUAUCAAAGUUCUUGAUUAAGCCCGGGUUAGCUCUUAAAAAGAACUCCUUCUCCUGGAACAAAUCAGUCAGUGGCUUGGUGUGCUACAUAAUUCAUAUGGAACGAAGAUGAUCAGUCUAACAGACCACAGAAUACUUUGCACGUGCAUGGCUGACUUGGGAUGAUUCUAGAGGAAGCAAAAAUAGACUUUCUCGAAUUCACGGCGGCAACUUACAUCAAAUGCACGUGAAUCAAAGGAAGUCACUUCUUUCAUCCAAACAUAUACUUCAUGAACGGGGCAUGAAGAAAAUGCUUACACAAGUUUCCAACACUAGGUUGAUGUUCAACAUGAAUCAUGGGGGAGACAAAAUGCUGCUGAUGGGCUCAACCGUAACUCAUCGGAAUUUCCAUAUCACUGGACUUCCGCCAUCAUGUGAACACGGUGAUAGUAUUGGUCAGACCAAAAGAUGUAAUGGUAUAUGCUCGAGGGAUCAACCACGAGUAAGACAACAUUACGAGCAUCGUUGGUACUGAUUUGAUUGAUGAUAGCCCAUACUUACAUCAAAGGUUUGGGUAAGAUAAUAGAUCCAACAAUUGUUCACAAGGGCCAAUCGAUGAAGAUAUCAUAUUUCUUCAACACACACUACACAAGAAUAUCCCUUUGGAACGAACUAAGUUAGGCAAGCUUUUAUCUUCCAACUCUCCAAGUUGUUGUCUAGCUUAACCAACUAGCUCAGGGAUAUCUAACACCGAUCUUGGAGAGAGGGUGGUUCACAAGAAACCAACUUGAUCACGAGCUCAACAUAACAGUCAGGGGACAACCUGGUAAUACUUCCGAGAAGAUAUUCGGAAAAUCACGAACCACCGGUAUGUUACUAAGAUCGAGAGCAAUCUUUCUUUUCAGGGCAAGAUGAUAUGAUCAAAUGAGCGAGGACUUGACAAAAUCCUAACUCAUCAAUCAAAGAGUGCACUAGGAAAUAAGGACUAGGUAGCACAAUCAACCUUAGGGCGAUGAUUCAAAAAUCAACAUGCUAAGAAUGAGGUUAUUGUCCAUUAACUACCAAGCAACAAGGUUGCUAGGAGUAUUGAAUUCACACAUCACGAUUCACUUGUCGGCAUUCCGGUUGCGACAACACGGAACCGAGGGAUGAAUAAUGAUGGCGAGAAGUAUCACUACAUCAAGAAUUCACAAGAGCCGGUGCAAUCCUCAUGAAAAUCCUGACAUAAAGACGGUAAUACUUCAGGGUAGAAUAGAAUCAAAAGCUGGGCUGGCAUUUUGAUCUGCGGAGCAUGACUGCUUUGACCCAGUCCUGGAAAUGGACAAGGUACUGGAGUUUGUUUCUCCAAGUCAUUCAGGACAGAAUGGCUUGACGGACCACAAGAGUAAUAGGCAUCGAUAAACGGACGCACGCAUACUCUUGACUAUCAAUUGAUAGACGAGGGCCAGAAAACAACUAAAGAGGGACAACUCAAAGGAACAUAUGAUUUUCCAAGUUGUGGAUGCAUGGACUAGCAUGUCGAACGAAUUCAACAUAUUUCUUCCGGAUAACCCAUGUAGAAAGGUAGAACUGGCAGAGUCACAAUAUAGAAUCGAGAACCCAUCGAGAGCACUCUGAUUGUGAUCUUUCGAUCAGCGAGGAACAUCUGCCAUAAACGGUUCAUAGUAUUUGGAAGAAGGAAAUACCACGAACAUUGAGGACUAAUGCAAGGGUUACUAAUAACCUAAAGGAACGAGCAAAACUAUCGACAUGAAGUAAGUAGAGUGAAUCUCGGGUUCAAGAACCCAGGAAUAGAAUACCUACUCCUAAGUAGCAUCACGGGACGCUUUCGGGAAUGAUGGCCAGAAUCAUCACACUGGGAUCACAAAACAUGGCUAGACUACUAGAUGAUCACCUGAGACACCUAGGGUCAUAAUAAUAACUCCAACAUAAUUGUCGAGGCAAUAGAGUACCUCAACUCACCGAUUAGUGUGGUUAAUCUGGCCCAAAGGAACAUCGAAACGAGAGGAAGGAAUUGCAAAUUGCUUCAAACUAUUUAGAAACCUGGGAUGACUCGGACAGCAUAACGGCUGUAAAUGCUCAGAAAAGAUUUGAGACAUUCACAAAAGGGUGGCAUAACCACUCAGAAGCACAAUAUCAAGGUUUGGAGAUCAACAGUUAACAUACGGAAAUAGUAGGAACUGAACUGAGACUUAAAUCCAACAAUCUAUAAGUCUACGGAUUAAUAACACGUGAUCCUGAUAGAAAGAGGAGAAAGCCUAGUUCCUUAACCCCGUAGGAAAGAUAAGAUGACUCAGAUCAGAAGGGCAUGAGGUAAAGGAGUAAAAAGAGCCUUACGUUUCAUCCCACAAUCAAUUCCCUUAUAUAACUAAAGAAUUUCUAGACUCAACUUCGACCAGUUUGGCUUGGUAAUCCUACAGGCAGUCAAGCUCUGAUACCAGCGCUGUCAGGACACCGACUCAAUGCCACAUCGAUCUAGCAUGUAACACCUCAUAUCACUUUGCGGCCUCACGCACGGUAUUCCCAUGGGUGUCGCCUUACCUUUGCCCGGGACCGUUUGCGCCUUUUGGCACACGUAUAUGACAGUGUCGCUAGCAUCCAUAUGAUAAGGAGCCCGGGCUGACAUGGCUAGUCGUAAACCCAAAGUGGCACAAACUUACAGGGACAGGCAUCCAUGACCCAGCAUCGAAUGUGUCGGUCAUCAGCGAGUGAAUCCAGGCUGUAGCACUGGGCUAGCAGGACUCCGGUGAACCAGGCUGUAGCGGGCUAACAGGACUCCGGUAUUCAUCGAGUGACAUUUCCUCGAAGGGACAGACACAGGAACGAAGAAGGACACAUGCCGGCCAGCCUAAGUGUUCCGGAGCAGUAGCAAGCUACCAUGGCUUGGUGGAAACACUAGGAGACAUUUCCCGGUAAGAGAGGAUACUAAAGAUAAACAACUAGAUAGUCAGAUCCCACACAUACCAAGCAUUUCAAUAACAUACACACAAUAUGCUCGAUAUGUGCAAUACAACAUGGCAUCACGAAAUGACUCUACGACUCAGUAGUUUUUAUUCAAUAGGCUCCGAGGAGCGAGAUAUUACAAUCAUGGGUCUCAUGACCCAACAAUCAGAGCAUACAAGUCAAAGCACAAGCGGAAGCUCAACAUGUCUGAGUACAGACAUCUACAAAUGGAAAAGGCUGAGAAGCCUGACUAUCUACCAGAUCCUGCCGAGGGCACAAGAUCAUAGCUGAGGUAACAAGCUAAACGUCGAAGUCCACGUGGAACUACUAGUGAGACUGAAGUCUCUCUGCAAAAACAUAAAUUAAGCAAUGUGAGUACAAAUGUACCCAGCAAGACUUGCAUCAGAUCUAUCUACAUAUGCAUCAUUAUCAACAAAGGGGAUGGUGGGGUUUAACUGCAGCAAGCCAGCUUUGACUCGGUGGCUAUCCUGAACUACGACUGCAAUGUAACUCUUUUGAGGUGGCGCACACGAGUCCACAUAUUCACCAUAUCAAUACACCACUAUGGAUCCGCUCCCGUCUCCCUACGAGAACGCCAUCCAUAGCACUCACGCUUAUCUUGCGUAUUUUAGAGCAUCCACUUUCACUUGUCUAUGAACUAUGCAAGGGGUCCAAGUUUCCAUAUCCGAGGAAUCCGGCUAUUCGAAUAGAUAAUGAUAACCCUGCAGGGGUGUACUUCUUCACACACGCUCCCGCCACUUACCGCCCUAUACACGUCAUGUACCUCGGCAACCUUCAAGCGGAAGCCGGGCGAGGGAGUCGGCCACGACCUGACUAACCGAACAAGUCUCUAGUCCAGGUUUAUCGCCUAUUCAGGUUCCAUCCGCAAGGAGAUCCGGCCGGAGUGUCGCUUACGGCCCCAAACGAUGUGUGCAGGGUUCCCAAGCCCACCAACCGGGUGCCACUUGGUACACCGGGCCACUGUGCCUAGUCUGUCCCAAGCCCACCUGUACCGGGUGCCACUUGGUAGACUACUAACACUACCUACAAACACCAGAAACUAGUUGCAACUCCUGGACAGAGAUCAUGUUGAUUAAUAAGUCGAGAGGGGUCGAGUUACCGGAACCCAAUGUGUGGUAGUAACUGGUCAUGGAUCACAAACACAAAACUCAGUUCCUGAGGACGGCUGCAAUGAGACAACCCACCAUGUACUCCUACAUGGCCUCUCACCGCUACCUUUACCAAAUUGUGUUCACACACUUAGCUCUCAACGGUAGGACAUGUUCACACACCUCUGGUUCAUCCCCGAUGAAUCAGACCCGACUCAACUCUAAGCAGUAGCAGGCAUGACAAACAAACAUGAAUGAGUAGGCACAACAGGGCUCAAACAACUCCUACUCAUGCUAGUGGGUUUCAUCUAUUUACUGUGGCAAUGACAGGUCAUGCAAAGGAUAAAGGGGUUCAGCUACCGCAACAAGUAACAGAUGAAUCGUUGUUGUCCUAAUGCAGUAAAAGAGAGCAGGAGCGAGAGAGUGGGAUUUUAUCGGAAUGAACAAGGGGGUUUUGCUUGCCUGGCACUUCUGAAGAUAAUAUAGCUCUUCAUCAGUGUCAACGAUCACAUCAUCGGUACAGCGUCUACCGAGGGGGAACAACACCGGCAAACACAGAAGAAACACGAUCAAUGCAAUGCACAAUAUGAUGCAUGCUAUGACAUGGCAAUAUGAAUGUGUUUUGGGCUAAUGCAUCUAGCAACAGGUUAAAUGAAGUUGGUUUGAAUACAAGAUUCAAAUUCAAACUUCAUAUGUAAUUAUUCAAAUGCCAUUUAAUUGAUUUGUGCUAAACAGCAGCUAUAAGUUGUUCUAACAUGCAUGAAAAUGGUACAGAUGGAUUCCUUGAAUUUUUCUGAUAAUUUUUCAUAUAUAAAUUAUUUAAUUUGGAGUUACGGUAAAUUUUCUAUGAUUUAUUGAAGUUUUAGCUAUUUCUGGAAUUUCCUGAUUUUUAUAAAAUAAACUAAAUUCCAGAAAAGGAAUAUUGCGUCAGCAUGACCUCACCCUGACGUCAUCAGGUCAACAGGGCGGGUCCAGGUCAAACCUGACGUGUGGGGGCCACACGUCAGUGUCACAGGGCUGCUUAGCUCACUGACAGGUGGGACCAAGUCAAUGGCCACGUCAGCUUGGUCAAAGCUCACGUGUGGGCCCACGGUGGUUAGGUUAAAACUUAACAGAAAAUAAUGAAGAUUAAAUAAGGGCAUGGGGCCCAUACAUCAGUGACCCAGAGGGUUGGUUAGUGGUGUGUUUAGGCCCUAAUCACGGCCACGUCAGCGGUCGACGCCGGCGACCAAAAGCACGGCGGUGGCUCGCUGGAGAUGCUCGGGGACGGAGCUACGGAGCAUCGUUUCGCUCGUGGUUUGCAGCUACGGGACGCUGGCAGUGAGGCGCAUCCGGUGGUGGCCGCGUGGUGUGCUGGGGGUGUGUGUAACAGCGGCGGCGGCGAGCCGGGCGGCCGCCGGAGUUCGGGAAUCCAGGCUUUGGGCGUUACGGGGCACGGCGGGCGCGGCCGAUGGGCUCUACGGGUUGCUGGGGUCACCAGGAACACUCGGAGGCAACGAGCGCAGGUGGAGGAGCUCGGGAGCACGAAGCUCACCGUCCAUGGCGGCGGCCGGAGCUCGGGUUCGGCGGGGCAGCUAGCUAGGGGACGAAAUCAAGUGCGCGGAGUGAGGGGAAGAGAAGAGGAGCUCACGGGGAGUCGGACGAGACGCUAAGUGGGCUCGGGGACGUCCUGUCGGCGGCGAAUCGACGUCGGCGGCGACCGGCUUCUGAGAAGGAAAAAGAUGAGGCCGUCGGCGAUGCAGGCCGUCCCAGUGCUUGGGGCCAGGUUGGGGCGAAGCGGCGAUCGAUGGCGGGGCUUCGGGGCAUGUAGGAGAGGCGAGGGGGAGACGGUGGCCGUGGUGGAGCUCGUCGGUGGCGGCGGCUCCGUUCGGGUGAGCUCAGGGAAGAGAGCCAGGGGAGGAGAGAGGGAGAAGCGAGAGAGGAAGAGGAGCGAGGGGACACGGGGCGUCGUCGUGGCGUCGUUAGGGAGGCCGGGGGAAGCAGGAGGUGGCCGAGGAGGCGUCGGCGCUCGCCACCGAGUUGCUUCGGUGCGAGGGGAGGAAGACGACAGGGGGUUAGCGGUGGCGGGCUGGGCCGCCAGCUGGAGUUGGGCCAGGCAGGUAAGUCAGGUAAGUGGCUCGGCUUCUCUUUUUUUUAAAUUUCUGUUCUGUUUUGUUUUUCAAUUUAUUUUGCCACUGUUUUGAAUUUAAAAAUAAUUCAAACAAUGCCAAAAGCUCCUCUGAAUAUUUUUAUUUUGCUAGAUGGACUUUUCUAAAAGCUCAUAAAAUAUUUCAGGGAUAUUUGAAAUUAUAUUCUAAUUAUAUGAAUAUAAUUCAAAUUCAAAUAGCUAAUGAAUUAAAUUCAAAGUCCCAAAAAUAAAUCCUUAAAAAUGUUCAAUAUUUUGGUUGGGACGAGAACCCUUGCCAAAAAUUAUCAAACAUUUAAGAAGAGCAUUUUGGAACAAUGAAUGGGAUUUUUAGGGUUUUUGCCCUUCUUUUAAUUAAGUUUUUGAGGCUUUCAAAAUUCCUCAAUUCAAGUUUCAAAAAUAUAGACAUGAUGCACAGAUGGAAGCAAGCCUAGGUCAGGCCAGGACUAGGGAUGUGACACUUGUAUGCUAUUAGGAAUAAUGAUAACCAUGAAACUUGUCAUCAUGAUUUUAGUUUUGAAUUGGAUUAUGCCUCACAUGAUAAUUAUUUUGUUGAGUUUGCUCCCACUAUUAUUCGUGAGAAGAAAUUUUCUUAUGUGGAGGGUAGUAAAUUUUAUAUGCUUGUAGAUCAUGAAAAGAAUGCUUUAGAUGCUGGUUAUAUUGUUGAAUUCAUUCAUGAUGCUACUGAAAAUUAUUAUGAGGGAGGAACAUAUGCUUGUAGGAAUUGCAAUAACGUCAAGUUUCCUCUCUAUGUGCUUACAUUUUUGAAGCUAUGCUUGUUUUACCUUCCUAUGGUAGUUGAUUAUUGUUCCCAUAAGUUGUUUGCUCACAAAAUCCCUAUGCAUAGGAAGUGGGUUAGGCUUAAAUGUGCUAGUCAUAUGCUUCAUGAUGCUUCCGUUAUGUUUCAAUUCUUAUCUUUUUGUGAGCAUCAUUGUCAUCAUCAUGCCUAGCUAGAAAAGCAUUAAAGAAAAGCGCUUGUUGGGAGACAACCCAAUAUUUAUCCUUACUGUUUUUGUGUGUCCACAUGAUUAUGCUACUGUAGUAAUCAUGUUUUAUAGCUUUUGUUUCAAUAAAGUGUCAAGCAAGACCUUUAGGAUAGCUUAUGGUGAUAGUUGUGUUGAUCCUGCUGAAAAUCAGAAACUUUUUCACCCAGUAAUUUAGUUUUUUUUAAUUCACAGAAACGUUCUUCUGGUCUGAUUCUUUUUUCUCUGGAUUGGUACACAAAUUUCUUAGGACUUAUGGUGAUAGUUGAGUUCCAGAAGUAUACGUUUGAUACAGAUUACUACAGAUUGUUCUAUUUUUGACAGAUUCUAUUUUCUAUGUGUUGUUUGCUUAUUUUGAUGAAUCUAUGAGUAGUAUCGUAGGAUAUGAACCAUAGAUAAGUUGGAGUACAGUAGAUAUUACACCAAUAUGAAUUUAGAAUGAGUUCAUUACAUUACCUAAAUGGUGGUUUUAGUUUCUUGUACUAAAGGAGCUUACGAGUUUUCUGUUGAGUUUUGUGUUGUGGAGUUUUCAAGUUUUGGGUAAAGAUUCGAUGGACUAUGGAAUAAGGAGUGGCAAGAGCCUAAGCUUGGGGAUGCCCAAGGCACCCCAAGUUAAUAUUCGAGAAUAGCGAAAAGCCUAAGCUUGGGGAUUCCCCAGAAGGCAUCCCCUCUUUCGUCUUCGUUCAUCGGUAACUUUACUUGGAGCUAUAUUUUAUAUUCACCACAUGAUAUGUGUUUUGCUUGGAGCAUAAUUUUCUUUUCUUAGUAUUUUCUUGCUGUUAUUUAGAAUAAUGUUUUGCAUCUUUAGUUUCAAUAAAAAAGUCAAGGAUAGCCUUUGCCAUGCUUAUUUUGCUAGUAUACAUGUUGCUGUUUGAAAACAGAAAGUUUAUCGCUGUUGCAAAAAUUCCCUAGAAAAGUCAGAGAAUGGUAUAAUGUUGAAACCUUUUGCAUGAUGAGAUCUGAUAAAUUUACUACAGUGGGAAUUUUAUUUCAUAAUUGUUGGAGUUAGUGAAGUAUGGAUACUCUUGCAUUUUUUACAGACUGUACUGUUUUGGCAGAUUGCUGUUAUGUUUGCAUUGUUUGCAUAUGUUUGCUUGUUUAAUAAUUCUAUUUGAGGAUAGGAAUAUUAAAUAUGCAGAGGCAUUUAGUAUGAAAUGUUGAACAAUAAUUUUAUUGAUUUGUUAUAGUAGAAUAUGAUAAGGUUUUGCAUUGGUUUGUACUAACCUAUCUCACGAGUUUUUGUUGAGUUUGUUGUGAAUGAAGCUUUUGAGAAAUAGAGAAUUCAUGAUAUGAGAGAAAUUAAGGAGACACAAAAGUUCAAGAUUAGGGAUGCCCAAGGCACUCCAACAUAAUAUUCAAGAAGUCUCAAGCAUCUAAGCUUGGGGAUGCCCCGGUAGGCAUCCCACCUUUCUUCUUCAACAACUAUCGGUUAGUAUCGGUUGAGCCUAAGUUUUUGCUUCUUCACAUGAGUUGUGCUAUCCUUACAAUGUAAUUUUAUUUUAUUUUGUUUUCUAUUUGAAUAAGAUACCAAGAUCUAAAAUUUCUUAAUGUUAGAAAGUCUUCACAUAGUUGCACAAUUAUUCGACUACUCAUUGAUCUUCACUUAUAUCUUUCGGAGUAGUUUGUCAUUUGCUCUAGUGCAUCACUUAUAUCAUUUAGAGCACGGAGGUGGUUAUAUUUUGUAGAAAUUUUUAGUCUCUCAUGCUUUACUUAUAUCUUUUUGAGAGUCUUUUAGAGCAGCAUGGUAUUUGCUAUGGUUACAAAGUUGGUCCUAGAAUGAUGAGCAUCCAAGUUGGAUAUAAUAAAAACUAUCAUAGAAAGUGAAUUGGAUGCUAUGAUCAACUUGAUGCUUGAUAAUUGUUUUGAGAUGUGGAGGAAGUGAUAUUAAAGGCAUGCUAGUUGGGUGAUUAUGAAUUUAAAGAAUGCUUGUGUUGAAGUUUGUGAUUCCCGUAGCAUGCACGUAUGGUGAACCACUUUGUGAUGAAGUUGGAGCAAAAUUUUAUUUAUUGAUUGUCUUCCUUAUGAGUGGUUGUCGGGGACGAGUGAUGGCCUUUUCUUACCAAUCUAUCCCCCUAGGAGCAUGCGCGAAGUGCUUUGGUUUUUGAUGACUUCUAAAUUUUUGCAACAACUAUAUGAGUUCUUUUGAUUAAUGUUGAGUCCAUGGAUUAUACGCACUCCUUCACCCUUCCACCAUUGCUAGCCUCUCUUGUACCGUGCAACUUUUGCUGGUACCAUACACCCAUCAUAGUCCUUCCUCAAAACAGCUACCAUACCUACCUAUUAUGGCAUUUCCAUAGUCAUUCUGAGAUAUAUUGCCAUGCAACUUUCCACCGUUCCGUCCAUAUAACACACAUUACUUUUGUCAUAUUGCUUUUUGCAUGAUCAUGUAGUUGAUAUUGUAUUUGUGGCAAGGCCACCUUCAUAAUUUUCAUACAUGUCGCUCUUGAUUCAUUGCAUAUCCCGGUACACCGCCGGAUGCAUUCAUAUAGAGUCAUAUCUUAUUCUAUCUUUGAGUUGUAAAUCCAUAAAAGUGUGAUGAUCUUCAUUAUUAGAGCAUUGUCCUAGUGAGGAAAGGAUGAUGAAGACUAUGAUUCCCCCACAAGUCGGGAUGAGACUUCGGACUUUACAAAAAGAAAAAAAAAGGAAAAAAAGAGAAAGGCCAAAAAGAAAAAAAAAAGAGAAGGCCAAAGAAAAAAAAAGAAGAAAAAAAAGAGAGAAAGGACAAUGCUACUAUCUCUUUUUCCACACUUGUGCUUCAAAAUAGCACCAUGAUCUUCAUGUUAGAGAGUCUCAUAUGUUGUCACUUUCAUAUACUAGUGGGAAUUUUUCAUUAUAGAACUUGGUUUGUAUAUUUCAAUGAUGGGCUUCCUCAAAAGUGCCCUAGGUCUUCGUGAGCAAGCUAGUUGGAUGCACCCCACUUAGUUUCUUUUGUUGAACUUUCAUACAUUUAUAGCUCUAGUGCAUCUGUUGCAUGGCAAUCCCUACUCACUCACAUUGAUAUCUAUUAAUGGGCAUCUCCAUAGCCCGUUGAUACGCCUAGUUGAUGUGAUACAAUCUUCUCCCUUUUUUGUCUUCUCCAUAACCACCAUUCUAUUCCACAUAUAGUGCUAUGUCCAUGGCUCACGCUCAUGUAUUGCGUGAAAGUUGAAAAAGUUUGAGAUUAUUAAAGUGUGAAACAAUUCCUUGGCUUGUCAUCGGGGUUGUGCAUGAUUAAAUACUUUGUGUGAUGAAGAUAGAGCAACAGCCAGAUUAUAUGAUUUUGUAGGGAUAACUUUCUUUAGCCAUGUUAUUUUGAGAAGACAUGAUUACUUUGAUUAGUAUGCUUGAAGUAUUACUAUUUCUUAUGUCAAUAUGAACUUUUAUUUUGUAUCUUUUGGAUCUGAACAUUCAUGCCACAAUAAAAAAUUACAUUGAGAAUUAUGCUAGAUAGCAUUCCACAUCAAAAAAUCUGUUUUUAUCAUUUACCUACUCGAGGACGAGUAGGAAUUAAGCUUGGGGAUGCUUGAUACGUCUCUAACGUAUCUAUAAAUUUUGAUUGUUCCAUGCUAUUAUAUUACCCCUUUUGGAUGUUUAUGGGCUUUAUUUUACACAUUUAUAUCAUUUUUGGAACUAACCUACUAACCGGAGGCCCAGCCCAUAUUGCUGUUUUUUUUUGCCUAUUUCAGUAUUUCGAAGAAAAGGAAUAUCAAACGGAGUCCAAACGGAAUGAAACCUUCGGCAACGUGAUUGUUUGGAAGAAUAUGAUCCUGGAGACUUGGAGUACACGUCAGAAGAUCCUCGAGGAGGCCACGAGAUAGGAGGCCGCGUCCCCCUUACAGGGUGGUGGCCCCCUGUCUCGUGGGCCCCUCGAGCACCUCCCGACCAACUUCUUUCACCUAUAUAAGCCUACGUAUCCUAAAACCAUCAAAAAUCAAGAUAGAUCAGGAGUCCCGCUGCCUCAAGCCUCUAUAGCCACAAAAACCUCUCGGGAGCCCGUUCCGGCACCCUGCCGGAGGGGGAAUCCAUCACCAGUGGCCAUCUUCAUCAUCCCGGCGCUUUCCAUGAUGAAGAGGGAGUAGUUCACCCUCGGGGCUGAGGGUAUGUACCAGUAGCCAUGUGUUUGAUCUCUCUCUCUCGUGUUCUCUCUCGUGUUCCCUCUAUGGCACGAUCUUGAUGUAUCCCGAGCUUUGCUAUUGUAGUUGGAUCUUAUGAUGUUUCUCCCCCUCUACUCUCUUGUGAUGAAUUGAGUUUCCCUCUUGAAGUUAUCUUAUCGGUUGAGUCUUUUAUUUGAGAACACUUGAUGUAUGUAUUGCCCUGUUUAUCUGUGGUUACAAUGGGAUAUCACGUGCCUCUUGAUGUAUGUUUUGGUGACCAACUUGCGGGUUCCGCCCAUGAACCUAUGCAUAGGGGUUGGCACACGUUCUUGACUCUCCGGUAGAAACUUUGGGGCACUCUUUGAAGUACUUUGUGUUGGUUGAAUUGAUGAAUCUGAGAUUGUGUGAUGCAUAUCGUAUAAUCAUGCCCACGGAUACUUGAGGUGACAAUGGAGUAUCUAGGUGACAUUAGGGUUUUGGUUUUGGUUGACAAUGCCGCACCCUAAAGUGCUGAAGCAAAGUUGUAUUGUGCGACACUAUGCCUAGAUGGGACAUCUAAGCCCUCGGGUAUGUGCACUGUGACUAAGUACCCUGUGGAAUGAUACGUCUCUAAAGUAUCUAUAAUUUUUGAUUGUUCCAUGCUAUUACAUUACCCCUUUUGGAUGUUUAUGGGCUUUAUUUUACACAUUUAUAUCAUUUUUUGGGACUAACCUACUAACCGGAGGCCCAUCCCAUAUUGCUGUUUUUUGCCUAUUUCAGUAUUUCGAAGAAAAGGAAUAUCAAACGGAGUCCAAACGGAAUGAAACCUUCGGCAACAUGAUUUUUUGGAAGAAUAUGAUCCUGGAGACUUCGAGUCCAUGUCAGAAGAUCCUCGAGGGGGCCACGAGAUAGGAGGUCGCGCCCCCCUUACAGGGUGGUGGCCUCCUGUCUCGUGGGCCCCUUGAGCACCUCCCGACCGACUUCUUUUGCCUAUAUAAGCCUACGUACCCUAAAACCAUCAAAAAUCAAGAUAGAUUGGGAGUUCCGCCGCCGCAAGCUUCUGUAGCCACCAAAAACCUCUCGGGAGCCUAUUCCGGCACCCUGCCGGAGGGGGAAUCCAUCACCGGUGGCCAUCUUUAACAUCCCAGCGCUCUCCAUGACGAGGAGGGAGUAGUUCACCCUCGGGGCUGAGGGUAUGUACCAGUAGCUAUGUGUUUGAUCUCUCUCUCUCGUGUUCCCUCUAUGGCACGAUCUUGAUGUAUCCCGAGCUUUGCUAUUGUAGUUGGAUCUUAUGAUGUUUCUCCCCCUCUACUCUCUUGUGAUGAAUUGAGUUUCCCUCUUGAAGUUAUCUUAUCGGAUUGAGUCAUUUAUUUGAGAACACUUGAUGUAUGUAUUGCCGUGUUUAUCUGUGAUGGCAAUGGGAUAUCACGUGCCUCUUGAUGUAUGUUUUGGUGACCAACUUGCGGGUUCCGCCCAUGAACCUAUGCAUAGGGGUUGGCACACGUUCUUGACUCUCCGGUAGAAACUUUGGGGCACUCUUUGAAGUACUUUGUGUUGGUUGAAUUGAUGAAUCUGAGAUUGUGUGAUGCAUAUCGUAUAAUCAUGCCCACGGAUACUUGAGGUGACAAUGGAGUAUCUAGGUGACAUUAGGGUUUUGGUUGAUUUGUGUCUUAAGGUUUUAUUCUAGUACGAACUCUUGAAUAGAUUGAUCCGAAAGAAUAACUUUGAGGUGGUUUUAUACCCUAGCAUAAUCUCUUCAUUUGUUCUCCGUUAUUAGUGGAUUUGGAAUGACUCUUUGUUGCAUGUUGAGGGAUUGUUAUAUGAUCUAUCUAUGUUAUUAUUGUUGAGAGAACUUGCACUAGUGAAAGUAUGAAUCCUAGGCCUUGUUUCCUAUCAUUGCAAUACCGUUUACGCUCACUUUUAUCAUUAGUUACCUUGCUGUUUUUAUAUUUUCAGAUUAUAAAUACCUAUAUCUACCAUCCAUACUGCACUUGUAUCACCAUCUCUUCGCCGAACUAGUGCACCUAUAUAAUCUACCAUUGUAUUGGGUGUGUUUGAGACACAAAAGACUCUUUGUUAUUUGGUUGCAGGGUUGUUUGAGAUAGACCAUCUUCAUCCUACGCCUCCUACGGAUUGAUAAAACUUAGGUCAUCCACUUGAGGGAAAUUUUCUACUGUCCUACAAACCUGUGCACUUGCAGGCCCAACAACGUCUACAAAAAAAAGUUGUGCAGUAGACAUCAUGGAACACGGGUCAUGAAACACUUUGUAGUACGGUGCAAGCAACACAACAAGAAUACGAAGAAGCACAAUCAAGAAUAGAGCAAAACCACAGUACUCGGCACCCGUACGACACAAUCUACCACUCAACAUCCUACAUUAAGAAAUUAAGAAUUUAGUACUGAUCUAGGACAAAAUAAGUACGUAUAUUCUGAACACAUUUUACUUGCAUAAUUCUAAGUAUGAGGUUUAAUUUAUUUAAUCUACUCUUGACUUGAGUCACUUUUUUUCAAAGAGUAUAUAUAGGAGACGUAGAACUUGAGAUGACAAGAGAUGGAUUUUUUUGAGAAACUUCUAUUUUCUUUAGGUAAGGAGGGAACCUGUCUUUCUUAAGGCUUAACAGACUCUAACUAAGUACAUGACUCUUUCCUUAACGAUGCUCUGAUACCACCUCUUCUGUGACGUCCUGUUACAUCCAACAGAGUCAGGCGUAACGGAAGCCGUCACUUCAGAGUUGCGCCAGGAUCAUUUACGGAAAACAGUAUCAUGUACAAGACGGAGCAACUGCCAUGAGUAGGCAAGCUUUUAUUACAUAGACACCUCAAGUGUCGACUAAGCCUAAGCGACCAUGACAAUAGAUCGUCACCCGCUUCUAGUGCGAGCCUUCUAGACCAACCAUGGAGGACAUCUACUCUUCAUAGACUUGAUUGCCAACAUCCUCAUGAUCAUACUUCACUUCAGAAUAACCAUAGUCGUCAAGAUGACCAGACUCAUCAUAAGUACCAUUCUCUAGUGCCUUAGAGUUCUCAUAACUCCCUUGUUCUGAAAAACAACAUAAGUGCAGCUGAGUACGUAUAAAAUACGUACUCCGCAAAUCGCCGGGAAAAGUGGAUGCAUGAGUAUUUUUAAGAGGAAAAACUUUAUCGGCCACGGCUACCACCACCGAGCCAUUAGCUCAAAAUACUUUGUAGGUAAAAAAAAUUAUUUUCCCUUAACCCAUUUUGUUGAAAAUCAAAUUUUAUUUAUAAAAUCUACUGGCGACAGAGCGAUGUGGGAUCUUACAUCCUGUGUUAGAGGAAAACCCACACGACGCACUUCCAAACCCGGAAGCUGGGAGUGAUAUCACAUUUAUUCUGAUCAGAGGUGUACUGCUUUGCCCAUAGCAUCACUUGGUCCAAGUCGUCCAUGCGCUACCCGUGCGCACGACUAGACCAAGGAACCAGAACCUUUAACCAGCUCGUAGACUACCUCUGCUUUUCCACCUUGCCUUACUAUAGGCCCGCGGGCCGAGACCCCUGACCGGCGGUCCCGCCCUAGGGUGACUGUACCUACCCGGCUACAGCCACCUUCUCACCCAUGCAGAGGCAACUACUUGGCAUCGGUAGUCGGUUCAGCCCGUCCCAUUCCAGGCCUAUGGUCAGUACGGUUUGCGCCGCUUUUGACGUAAGCGCCAGUUAGUUGUGUCCUAAUGUGAUACCCUAUGUAGAGGAGUCUGCCAUCCAAGCCAACCCUACAUGGGUCGUCUUCACCAACAUGAGCUCCCAUACCCACCAAAUUUUUAGUUAUAAUGUAACCCUGCCCGGGUCACGACUACUUAAUACAGAUACUUCACCUGAUCUGGUCCAAUUGCCAAAUCAGUGGAUCCACCUGAUCCAAAUAUCAUUUUAUUUAUGAAAAGUAUUUAUUUUUAAUUCUUAUGCAAAAUUUUGGAAAUGACUCAUAGCCCGGAAAACAUUUAUGAAGACAUGAUCAAGGAGAUGACGACUUGCCGGGUAGCGCCCCGACCAACUCGAAACCACCAGAUGGGGGUCCUAUGGGUCUGAGAUCGACUCCUGAUAAUUAUUUCACAAAGAAGUUUAUAUUUUCCCUAAUCAAGAUCCAAGCAUCAAGAAACAAUUCCAUACGGUGCAAUCCAUUUUAAUUAAAGAGGCAAUGAUACAUGCUAGUGUGUAAUUAGAAGCAAAAUGCAUACAACACAUCAAGAAGUAGUACGCACACGCACAUCACAAAGAGCAAGCAAGCAAGCUCAAAAGGAAAAAUGUGUUUAGCUGGUCGAACCCAACCCCGGCAGAAAUAUCAUUUCUUUUUUCUCCAACUAGUCAUCUUACCCAGCUCUCUUCCUCUCUCUCACUGUCACUGGUAUGCAAAGCCACGAACAUAUCCAUCUCUCUCUCCGUAACUACAGAGCAGGCCGCCGCCGGCUCGAUCUGCCACUUCCGGCCAUCUCCGGCGACACCGCGGACACCCACAGAAUCCCCUCAACUCCCUCUACCAUAUACCCCCAUUUAUUUGAUCCGCCGCCGCCAAAAUCGCCGCCACCCUCAAACCCCAGCGCCGUCUGCAUCGGGUCCGAUGGGUUCACCACGGGCCGCAGCAGCAAUGGCAUCUCCCUACCUACAAACUCCUCCUGCAGAGCUGCACGCACGAGGCGUGCGACUAUGGCCGUCAGGCGUGACCAUCUUAACCGGUGCGGCUCUGGCAACAUGGCCGCUACAGACGCCCGGCUCGCCUUUGUCUACUGCUACUAGGGUAAGUGCCAGUCCAAAUUUCUCUCUGUGCAGUGUUCUUACCUUUGCUGCAAGUGUUUGUGCUAUGACUCCCCUUACUGCCAUGCUUCUUGUUAAUCUCAAGACCAAGGAAUUAAUCAAGCUUUACUCUAUGGUGUGGACGUGGUCUCCAGAUUUAUUCUAUAUUGUUUAUUCAAUUUUUAGCUCUACUACACUAUCCUCGCACUACUAUGAUUCUUUUUUAAUUAAGCUCAUAACUAGGAAUUAACCAGUGAAUUCCUACUGUCACCGACUUGAUUAAAAAGCGACAAGUUAAUUUCUUGUGAUGGUUAGGUGCUGCCACAAACUAAAUCUAAAUGUUGCUUCUACUGUGUGUGCGCGUGCACUCAUUUCUGCACCCUACAACAGUCAAGUGAACAUCGACAUUGAUCACUCAAAACAUUCUUAGAAAGGGGAUCAUGAAAGGGAAAAUAAGAGGAUGUCAGGAAUUUAUUUGUACAAGAUUUGCACAAAGUAUGUUUAUUUUUUUUUUCUGUUUUCAGAAUGAUGCAUGUGCAAAUGAGACAAGGCAAACAUUAGCCAAACAGUGUUCAAUACAACUAGGAAGGGAUCAUUAAGAUGAGUAGCAUACACAGGAAGCUUGAGCUAUUAGCUGUACAUGUAAAUCUUAGCAAGUUAAUAUUUGGGAUUUAAUUCUCAGCAUGACAUGUCUAUUAUAUACAUAGAUCUAGUACAAGACAGAGAUGGACAUGCACAGUACACAUGCAUCACUUAACCACCAUGUACUAAUUUGUCUUCAUCUAAUAUAUGUGCUUUCUUUUUCUAACCAUCAUUCUUCUUUUUACAGAGUAACUAGAGUCCAAAAGAGCAGGUGUUCAUGUUCUAAGCAAAGGUGAAGAUGGAUCAAGCAAACAAAGCUGCAAAAGCAAGGCACUUGAAUAGUACCUGAUGGCAACUCAGCAUCCGACCAAAAGAGUGGAUGGGGAUGGUGGGGAGAGCUUGGUUCUCUCUUGUGCGUGUUGUGUGCUGUAGAGGAAGUCAAAGGUGAAAGGAGGAGGCUGCUAUUUAUAGUAGUGUAGGGUGCUAGGUCGGUUUGGUAAAAGAGAGAUGUGGCUGACAUGCCUGGUUGCAUGAGCAUGCAAGCCUCCACAUGUAAUCAUGUGAGUUGUACAACGGACAAGUGUAUAGUGCAUGGUUGGACACGAGUUGGCAUAUACUUUGUGUGUAAGGAAUGAGACAAGGGCCUAAUUGUAAAUCUGCAAACUAUAAGGGAGUUGGAGAAGAACCAAUGUACAUGGCUAAAUACUAACUUUUUUUGUUGCAAUAAAUUUUUGAUAUUAGUGUUGUGGUUAAUUAUAAUUAUUCAACUAACUAUGCCUUCUGACACUGGUGUAACAUAGCGCCGUCAAAAAUAUCGUUAUCUAAUUUUAAGGGUUUUUACAGUAGCCAUGAUAGUUUCAUUUAUAUUUGAUGGAAUGUUGUAACGAGAUAAUUUUGAGGCAAGACACAUGAAUCAUAAGUUGAAACCUUUUUUUUCCUGCAGGAACCAAAGUGGAAACCUUCGUAGCUUCACAGUACAAUUUCAUUAAAAUUAUGCGUACAUAUAAACAAAUCCUGAAGGAUUGAUAGUAAUGCCAGAAACAAUUCAACUUCGUUUCGCCGACAUGUUGGACAUCCUUCAAUCGCCUUCACCUGCCAUGCAGCAAUAUUGAGUGCACAACACAACUGCAGGGAAAGAUUCACCCCGGUCGUUGCGCCGCAGUAGUAAUGACUAGUGAGCAGUCAAAUCAUAGAGCCCCACCUUCGCCAUAGUAAGUUGCUCGGAUGAAGCAACCAUCAUUUCUCUGUUCCUUGAAUCCACUGGUACUCCCAUAUUCCCACGGUAAUAAGUUGCUCGGGCGAAUCAACAAUCACUUCACCUUUCCCUCAGUAAGUACUAGUACCUCCUUUUUUUACUCUAGAAACAACCACAAGCGAAUAUUGGACGGUAGCAGCACGACAACUGAAUAAAAAAUUCUAUAGUAUGAGAAUAACUUUGAACGUAAGCCAUUGAUUCACUCUAUCCAAUGGUCAUAGUUGGAAAAUCUAAACAAAACCAAGCAUUGGAUCAACUCUUUUAGCACUCAGAUUGUUGCCGCCUACUCAACUGCCUGCCCACCUAUAUAUCCACUGACGUGUGAUGACCACAUGAGCUAUCCAUUCAGAUCGUAUGUUAAAAAAUAAAGGUCGAUAACUAAUGCAACACCUUGGGCCAACGCGGCCAUAUCGCAUUUUGCACGAGAAAUUACGCACCAUGUUUCGUUGACAUGUGGUCCUGUUCCAACAUGUCAGUGAGACGAUGGCAAGUCCUUUUCUACUAGUAUUUCCGAACAGACGUGUAGGCCGGGGCGCCUCUUAGUGUACCGUGGCAAACUGGCAACCGUCCACCGACUCUUCGCCUUUCCCUCUCGAUUUGGAACUACUGUCGCACGCUCUUCCUACCUCCUCCAUUUGCCUUGACCCUUCCUUCUGCCAUUGUUUGAUCGUCUUCUCCAUGGAGAGAACAGGGCCAAAACGACCCCGUUAUUCUUGCCUCGAUCUGAAAGAUGACAUGGUGGAGGAACUCAUUGAUCAGUGUGACGUCAUCACCUCGGCUAGCAUGGCAGGUUCGUUCAAAACCAUUCUCGACUCAACUAAUAACAUCAUUAAAAGGAACCCAAGGGUCCAGGAGCGGUUUGAUCUCCCCUAUCUUCUUCGCUGUGACCCUGAUGACUGGCGCGGGACGACGGAGGCCUCACCUUGUGUAAGUUGAUGCCGCUUGAUAAUGAUACGUAUGAUGUUAAGAUGCCAUCGCUUGAGGGCAAGGAUUGGGCAGGCGCAAAUAGAGAUUGGGUUGUUUAUAUUGGGUACAACUGCGAGUGGGAACUUGUGAAUGUGUACACUCAUCACCGGGUUCCACUUUGAAAAAUCUCAGCAGACUUCCCAAAGGUUGAGCACAUCGGUAUUCUACGCACGUUCAAAUACGAUCAUGGUGACUGUCUUCUACGGAAGAUAGCAAUUCGUCGAGUUCCCAACCGCUCUUGGAAUUACAAGAACUAUGAAGUUGUUGUUAUCUUCGACAAGCUUGUUGCCAUCCUUUGUGGUUCGACUCAAUGGAUAUUGCUCAAAAAUCAGUUUCUAUACAAGGAUGUGUACUGUGAUGCAAUUCAAUACGAGGGUUCUGUGUUUUUGCAUGGGAUACUCGUAGUUUCGAUACGUUUUUCUUCCGCCGUAAUUAUAAUUGUUUCAUCCACAUGCAUGCAGGUUUGCAAGUCUCCCUUUACUAAUUAACCUUCUUCUUGUGUUUCCAAGGUCCUGUGAACAUUCCACCACCUAUACUUGAAAUUUUUUAUAACCAAGGGGGAGAUGAUGAUGGUGAUGAUCACGAGCAUGAGGAUGAGCAGAACUUAUAUACUUAGUGGCGCCUAGCAACUAAUUCCGAUGGAUCACCUCUUCUUGUCUGUAUAUAGCGCACUGAGUUUGUGACUACUGAGGGAGCAUGUGUUGUCUCCCAUGGUCGCACUCUCCAGACCUAUUCCAACACUCGUUGCAUGGUAUUCAGGAUGGAUACUAGUGUGCUAGCGCCAACACCUUCUCCCUGAUACAGUAUUGAUAGUCUUGGAGAAAACUUGCUCUUCCUUGGACAAAACUAUCCGAUGAUGGUGAAAGGCGAUCCAACUGUCGUUGACACAAUGUUACUACCAUUUAUGAGAAGCAAUUGUAUCUAUACCUCGGACGUUUGGGUGGUUCCCUACCCUGGUACUGAUAUAGUAGGCCGCUUCAGCCUGGAUGAUCACUCCUGCGUUGGUCUCGAGAUUGACAAUAGAUGGCCCGUCCUAGAGAAUCACUUGUGGUUCAAAGCAAGUGUUUCCAACGCCGAGGAUUGGUUGAGUUGAAGUUCAUUUCAUUGCUUGUUAUUUGUUGUGUGAUGAAAACUUUAGUAUUUAUAAUGUAUCCUCAUUGUCGUUGUGGGUUGAUGACCUUCUGUAUGUAAUAAAAUGAUAUGCCUGUGAUAAACUUACUAAAUUUAUGAAAGGCAUUCGAGUCGCUUCUCUGAGUGAGUGCUGCGAUGAGGGAAAAAAUAUUUUCCGAAUACAUAGUUGUACGUGCAUUGCAAUAGGUUAUCAGAUGAGGCCAAUCAAUAAUAGUAGUACACUAUUUGUACUAGCUUCACAUGCUUUGCGCACCAAGCGGGUGGUUCUACUAUAGCUGCGAAUCCCAUCAUCCUAGGUUCUCGGAUGAGUCCAGUAGAAAUUGCAUUCUGAUGUUUGGGUUCAAACUUUCAGAACUGCUGCACUAUCUCUACGUCUACGUACACGUAUUACAACAAGUUUUAAACUUGAGACCAGCCACCCACCCGCACAAAGAACACUUUUUAACCUAGCACAGACUCCAGGAAAUUUGGCCAUAGUGUGAGGUGGGCCAUAUGUUAAUGUGUUCGCUGUACAUAACCAACACCUCGAAUCAUCGAUACUACUACUAUAUAAGUAGUAGGAGUAGUAGGGUGACAUGGGCCAGAACAAACAUUCACGUCCAGGAGUACGACACACGCCACCAGCACGACUUCCAUCUGACACCAUAUUUCUUGGAGUCCGUGCCACAACAAUCUCUUCAACCUCGUCGUUUCUCUAACUCAGCCAUCGCGCGUCAGGCGAGGUGCGGGUUUGCCGAUAGUCAGUUUUCUCAACUGCGGUCCCACUUGUAAGGCCAACUCCAACGCACAACCCCAAGCGGACCUCCGUUUUGCUCGGAUUCUGACCGUUUGGGUAGGGCAAUGGGGUUGUGUUCGGGCCAUUUUUAGGAUGUGGUGGCCACGCGCCGAACGCGCGGAUGCAUCCCGGCCGCGUACAUUUUUCUUGGCAAACACAUAUCUUUUUUUCAUCAUUGAUUUUUUGGUACAUGGAAAUACAUCACCAAAAUUUUGACUAGAAAAGCAAGACCAAAGAAAACAAGAGCCACAAGAAUACAUUUUAGAAGAUAUCCAACUUCCAUAACUGCUCCUGUAAGUUGGAUUAGUGCCUUCUCAAUGCAUUCAUUGUUGAUCUACAGAGGCUCGAUCUUGCGUCCUGCUUUCUUCUUUGAGUGUAAAGAAGUAGACAUUGCUUCCUCGCAUCUAGUCUCAUGUCUAGCCUCUAUUCUAUCAACAAGUGCACUAGUCUCAUCUCUAGCCUCUAUGCUAGCUAAAAUUGCUAGAACAUCUACUAAAUUGCGCUCUAUCAAUAUAUCGAUGUACUCUUCUUCCCAAUACCAAAACUUGCAUCCAUUCUACACAACAAAAUUUUAAGUUAGCACAACUAGUCUAAUCCGAGAGCACAACCGAGGAUUUGGUCGAGUUCUUCCUCCUUUUGCCGACACGUGGGACAUCCAGCAUCCAGGUCGUGUCAUGCAAGAAAAUAGAGUGGUAGUUUUAGCCACGUGAUGUGCAUUUGGGUUAAAAUGUAAAUAGAAUCUUACUACUCUUGAGUAACUCCAAAAGCGACAACCGAAGAUCUUUAUUGGAUUUGUUUUUCAUCAUCAGCACAUCGAGGUGAAAGAUGUGCAGGUUCAGUGGGUCCUCUUGCGUUUUCACUGACAUGUGGGACCACAUAUGAGCAAACAGACGAUGGGCUCCGCACGUCUGCUGGCUGGCUGAGAAGAAAGAUAGAGGAGGGCUGAGCACAGACUCUAGAAAAUUUGUUCUACAUAACCAGCACCUCGAUAUUUGUGUGUGGUUGUUUCUAGAAUAAAAAAAGAAGGUACUCCUAUUUAUGUUACUUCCACUACGCCUAGCCUAAGGUUAGUAGGUGACCUUGCGCUUGGCUCUUCGCCUCUUCCAGAAGUCGAACGUUCUACAGUAGUACUUCUGGCAAUCUGACACCAAAUGAACUGCUGCACGUCCACCGCUUGUAAGUAAAAGUUUCUCCUCGUGCUGCGAGCCACCACACAUCUAAAUGUUGCUUCUACUGUGUGUGCGCGUGCACUCAUUUCUGCACCCUACAACAGUCAAGUGAACAUCGACAUUGAUCACUCAAAACAUUCUUAGAAAGGGGAUCAUGAAAGGGAAAAUAAGAGGAUGUCAGGAAUUUAUUUGUACAAGAUUUGCACAAAGUAUGUUUAUUUAUUUUUUCUGUUUUCAGAAUGAUGCAUGUGCAAAUGAGACAAGGCAAACAUUAGCCAAACAGUGUUCAAUACAACUAGGAAGGGAUCAUUAAGAUGAGUAGCAUACACAGGAAGCUUGAGCUAUUAGCUGUACAUGUAAAUCUUAGCAAGUUAAUAUUUGGGAUUUAAUUCUCAGCAUGACAUGUCUAUUAUAUACAUAGAUCUAGUACAAGACAGAGAUGGACAUGCACAGUACACAUGCAUCACUUAACCACCAUGUACUAAUUUGUCUUCAUCUAAUAUAUGUGCUUUCUUUUUCUAACCAUCAUUCUUCUUUUUACAGAGUAACUAGAGUCCAAAAGAGAAGGUGUUCAUGUUCUAAGCAAAGGUGAAGAUGGAUCAAGCAAACAAAGCUGCAAAAGCAAGGCACUUGAAUAGUACCUGAUGGCAACUCAGCAUCCGACCAAAAGAGUGGAUGGGGAUGGUGGGGAGAGCUUGGUUCUCUCUUGUGCGUGUUGUGUGCAGUAGAGGAAGUCAAAGGUGAAAGGAGGAGGCUGCUAUUUAUAGUAGUGUAGGGUGCUAGGUCGGUUUGGUAAAAGAGAGAUGUGGCUGACAUGCCUGGUUGCAUGAGCAUGCAAGCCUCCACAUGUAAUCAUGUGAGUUGUACAACGGACAAGUGUAUAGUGCAUGGUUGGACACGAGUUGGCAUAUACUUUGUGUGUAAGGAAUGAGACAAGGGCCUAAUUGUAAAUCUGCAAACUAUAAGGGAGUUGGAGAAGAACCAAUGUACAUGGCUAAAUACUAACUUUUUUUGUUGCAAUAAAUUUUUGAUAUUAGUGUUGUGGUUAAUUAUAAUUAUUCAAC